rnacentral:lncRNA from 1 species
GGUUUUCAUCACCUGUUUAGCAGCUUCUGGUGAAGAAAUCACAACAGUUGAUACUUCCCCAAGUUGCAGAAGCAUCACUGGACCAUACUUCUGAGCCAAUCGGGCAAGGCAGCGAUGAGGUUGAGUCCCAAUAAGAAGGUGCAAGUUUCCUAUCAGAGGUAAUUUUGGAGGACCAGGUGGUAGCGUUGAUGGAAGGCUACUAGAUUUGGUAUUCGUCCAUGUCCUCAAAGCCCUGAAUGUGACGAACAAAAGGGUAAGAAGGAAUAAGAGAAAGGGAAGUUGGUUUUCCAUGCGAGCAAUGGGAAAGAAUUAAAUGGAGGGGAAAUUUCCUUUAUUGAUUAUGAAUCUCCUCUCUUACUUGGAAAUUGCGGUUGGAGGGAUGAGACUUGGGGUGAAACUAUGGGGAAAACGCAGUGCCGAAAGUAUUUAAUUUGCUGUUAGUGGCCUCAUUUCAUAUAUCUUGUCAACAGCAGAACAGUGCUGUUAUUGAUAUUUGCAUGUUAUAUGUUCCAACCAAAUGGCCUUUUGCAUUUUUUUUUUUAUAAUUAGAUAAAAGAUUCAAACUUUACUCUUUAAGUAAGGGAUAAUGCACCAACUAAUAAGUUAAAUGUUGAGGUACAUCUUUUACGUUUUGUUUUACUAGAAUUAGCAAAACCAUAAUGGAAAAAUGUAAAUUUUGUUUGAUAUAAUGAGAAAUAUUUACUAUUAUAAAAAUAAAUGCUAACUUUCCUACCAAUAAUUGUGAACAAGCAAAUUGUAACUACUAUAUAAUGGAAAGCUAAAGCUUUUCUUGUUUAGCUGGCUUAAAGAUUUACACGUGAAACUAUUGAAAAAAAGAGGUGUAAAGUUAUCUUUUUCAAUCUUAAGAUUUACCCAUGGCUCGACUUGUGGACCAGAAGAAUAAAAUCCUGGUGUUAGUCGUGCCCCACAGCUGUUGCACCAUGGAAAAGAUUAAAGUCUCUAUCAUUUGCUAUUUUUUAAUAUUGUGUUGUCAGUUUUUUAUUCAACUUUGCAGUUAGUGUAAUAUUUUUAUUGGGGUAGUUUGGCUACGUGUUAUGACAUUAUAGGCCACUAAGUACUAGACACAUCACUUGGUAUUUUAUGAUUUUUUGUCUCUUGUAAUGAGAAAUAUUAUAUUUGCAUAAUCAAAAGUGAGCUGUGACUUUGCAAGGCUUCUGCAAUUCUUCUCAUCUCUCACGUGUUUUUGGUUUUUUAUAUUUUAUGUUUUUCUCUCUCUUGUAAUUAGAUGUACUAUAUUUGUUUAAUAAAAAGUGAGCUGUGACUUUGCAAGGCUUCCUGCAAUUCCUCUCAUCUCUCACGUGUUUUUGGUUUUUUGUUAACUCAGUGUUUCUCGUUCAACUUGUUAAUUACUCAAUGAAUUCAUAACCUUUUGAUUUUUGAACAAUUGUUUGGGAAAUCUUUCUCCAAAAUUGAGCAAGUGAAAAAGAUAUUAAAUAGCUUGUCCAAGUCAUGCCAGGCCAAGGUGACCAUCAUAUCAAGAGUUCAGAGUCUUCGUAUGUUACAGUUAGAUAAGUUUACUGAGUUCUCUUUUAACCUGUGAGAUGAAUCAUGAGAGGAUUCCAUUUAAGAAGAUGAAUCAUGAAAGUUUGGUUGUAGAUAGAAAUCAUGAGGAGAUAAAGCAAUGUCCAUGCUAGACAUAAUAGGAUUCAACAAGUUCAUGCGAAAGAAACAAAACCUACGGAAGCAAAAGAAGAAGACAAUGAUCGAGACGUGGAGUGAUAGUGAGAAUGAGAUCUUCGAAGAUGUGGCCUUUAUCUCUCAUGAGUUGUGAUUCAAUUUCACAUACAUUUGAUGCGUUCUCAAAUUGAAAAUAUGAAUCUAGUUAUUCAAAACUUUAAAAAAAAAAAAUUUGAAAGUUUAAUACAAUUUCAAAAAGGGUACUUGAUAAAUUUUUUACAAGUAAUAAAAAUAAUGAAUCAGAAAUUAUUAAAGAAAUAUUAAAAUAACUUGAUUAUAAAAGUUUAAGUAGAAAUUUUCAUCUAAAAAUGCUAGAAUAAUAAAAUUUUUUUAAUUUUAAUAAAAAGGACCUCAUUUGAAUAUUUUACUUUAAACUUUUUAGGUUAUUGAGCCGUCUCUAGUAUUUGAAAUAUAAGAAAAUGAUCACCUCUUAACUUAUUUUUGAUAACUAAACGAGAUUGAGUGUGCCUAUAUAAAAUCGAAACAUAAGUUUAUAAUCCAUGAAUAAUAGUUGUUUAAAGUUGGUAAAAUAUCAAGACCAAAGAUUAAACACAUAAGCACAUCCAAUGCUUUAGCUAAUUACAAAUUUCCAAACAUAUCAAGAAUAAUUAAGCUACAACGUUCUUGAUUAAGCAUAGAUCAUUCCAGGUAUAAAUGAUAGCCAAUCAACUCAAGUUGCGGAGAACAGUUAACAACUUAAUAGAUAUAGACAGGAUGCUUUAUUUUUUUUAUUUUUAAUAAUUAAAUUACCCCAUUUUUUAAUUGAAUUUACAUAAUUUAAUUAUAUUUAAUUUUGCAACUUGUUUUUGGAUCAUUCGAACAGAGUUACAUUUAAUAUGAGUCUCAUCUGUCCUGUCCAUCAUUUGAGGCUCGUGUGACUCAAAUUGUAAGAAGUACAUAUUAAAAAGAGUCUUAGUAAAAUGAAAUAGAAUAAUUCUAAAAAAAAAAUCUUAAUAAAAUUUCAAAAAUGCCAAAAAUGACAAAAAAAAUAUAACGUUUACAAAGAAAUAAAAGUACAAAAAAUUAGAAAAAGAAAGACGAAAAUAAGAGAAAAAACAAGGAUUGCUGCCCUUCCUCCAUAUCUUUCUCCACUACUUUGUGCCGACAGGUGAGAAAAUCCAUAAGAAAUCAUUUGAAAGUUGGGUAGUAUUUAAUUAUUUUGUUUAUAAAAAUAAACAUAUAUAGUAUUUAAUCAUAUAAAUCUCCUUUUCUUUUUCCGUAUGGGACAUGAUUUUAUGUUUAAACUUUCUUGCUAAAGGACAAAAUUAUUAGUUUAAAGGUCCUUUUAUGGAAGGUGUUUAAAGGUCAGAGUCAAAGUCUGAAUCUUUAAAUUAAGUUUAAAAAUUUUACUGUAUAUGAGUUUCAUCAAAUUUUAUAUUUUAUAUUAAUUUAUUGAUUUAUUUAUUUUAUUUAUAAAAAUGUCAAAUUUUAUUACUGAAAAUUUUAAAUAAAUUUUCUUAAUUAAUAAUAAAAAUACACAUAAAUAUAUGCAAAUGUCAUCAUGAUUUAUAAAAGUAAUAAUUUUAUGUCAAAUUACUUUUAUUUUGGGUCAAAUAAACUCUUAUAACUUAUGGUUAACUAACUAUCUUUAUUAAAAAGUCACUUGUCAUUCUAUGUCACAUGGUAGUAAUAUGAUAUGUUAACAUGUUAUAAUUGAUAAUGAUAUAACAUGCUGAUAUAGUAUGAUGGUAUGAUCAUGUGACAUUUUCAUCAUCCACGUCAACAUCAUAUUAACGCCACGUGAGUAUAAAGUAAUAGGCAACAUUUUGACUAAUAGUAAUUAGUCAACCAUUAGUCAUAAGAGCCUAAUUGACCUAAAACAAAAGUAUAAGAGAUUGAUUGAAUGGAAUAUAAAAAAAAGAGUUUGUUCAAUUUUUUUUAAAGUAAUUUAAAAACUUUUUAAACUAUUAUGCCCUAUAUGAACUUAUUUUCUAAAGUUGAUAACCAAUAGUAAAACACUAGAUUACAAGUAAGAAUGAAUAGAAAAGAGGGGAAACAGUUUUCCAUGAGAGAUUUGGGUUGGAUUUUCAAGAAUAGGCGACUACUCGAAGGUUUACAAAUAUUUGGUUUCAUUACUUUCAAACAUACGUUGAUGUUAGUUUUCAGUUUAUUUAACAUUUUAUCAAUAUAAUGUCAAUUAUUGAAUUUGAUAAUACAAUUAAGUGAUAUUAACUUAAUUGAUUAACUUAAUUUAUUUAAUAUUUAUAAAAAUACACAUAAAUAUGUACAAAUAUCAUCGUGAUCUAUAAAAAGUAAUAAUUCUAUGUCAAAUUAGUUUUAUUUCGGAUCAAAUAAACUUUUAUAACAUACGGUUAACUAACUAUUUUUAUUAAAAAGUUGUUAUUUUAUAUCACAUGUCAUAAUUGAUAGUGACAUGGUAUGUUGAUGUGGUAUGAUGAUAUUAUCAUGUGACAUUUUUUUCAUCCAAGUCAAUAUCACAUUAACGCCACAUGGGUAUAAAAUGAUAGACGAUGUUUUAACAAAUGACAAUUAGUCAACCGUUAGUCAUAAGAGCUUAUUUAACUUAAAAUAAAAGCAUAAGAGAUUGAUUGGAUGAAAUAUAAGAAUAAGAGGUUUUUUUUUUUCUAAUUAAGGGAACAAGGAUUCGAAUCUUACUCUUUAAGUAAGGCAUCAUGUACCAACUAGUGAGCUAAAUGCUCAAGUGCAGAAUAUAAGAAUAAGAGCUUGUUCUUACUCAUGAUGCAAGCUAAGGGUGAGAACGAUCCUAAGCUUAAGAGAUCUUUUGAUGAUUGUGGGUAAGGUCAAUGUGCCACUCACACAACUAUAAUGAUUGUUCAUGUGAGGUGAACUAGAUGGUAGUGAGGACUUUAACCACUACCCAUCUAAAGGGGGUGGGACCACUUGAUAAAUCGUGGAUGAGGCUGAGGUGCCAUUCACGAGAGCUUGCUAGGAACUCGAAAUAGUGGAGGUUAAACCACUAUUUGUCAGAACAAGGCAGACCCAUUCAUAGAUGGAAUGUUAUGAUGAAUGAGUUUAAUGAGUUUAAGGAAUGAUUGAAUGAGUAUUGAUUGAUGACUUAUGUUUAAAUGCUUAUUUUAUGAUAAAUGAUUAUCGAAAAUGUUAUUCACAUUAUAAUAUGGUGAUAUUGGUUUGGUUAGAUAAAACCUUAGCUUAAGGAAUAAUCCUAUAAUUUUGGAAAGACUUAUGAAUGGUUUAGGUUCAAAACAUUGCCUAGAAAAUUGAAUUUUGUGGAAAAAGUAUCGAUACAUGUGGAGCAUGUAUCGAUACAUUUUCAACAGAAUGCUACAAGAGGUGUUCUGUGUGAAAUGUAUCUAUACACUCUCAAAAGUAUCGAUAGAUUUCUUGCAUGCAUCGAUAAGUUUCAAAAUGUAUCAAUAGAAUUGUUGCAAAAAAUGAUUUCUAAGUGAUUUUAAAGAGGUUUUCCAGGAUAAAUGAGUUCUAAUGUUUUAAGCAAAGUUGUUUUCCAUUCAAAGUUAUUUAAAGGAUGUUUUAAAUGCUAUGUUACAUGAUCAUUUUGGUAAUGAUGCUGAAUUUAUGAAUCAUAUGUAUUUACAAUUGCGUGGUGUCACAGCCCAAUUUUCGGGCCAUGACUAGCGCAUAGGCCCAAUGGGCAUAGCCCACAAGCCCAAGCAAGUCUCUUUAUGUAAUCCCUGAUCGUCAUUUCAACAAUCAUUCCUAAAGUCACAUUUCGUAAUUCUCAACUAUAAAAUAUUCAGUGAUAUACUAUGGCAAUCAAAUACUUACAUUUAGAUCAUCCAAAAUAAUAUCAUCCAUUGCCAACUCAUAGUGGCAUCAUCAAUCAAAAUAUAUAUACAUUGUUUAUACUAUGAAUCCUAGUGAUUUACAUCACAUGUAUGUAUACACAGGCAAAAGACUAUUGACUACCAGCGGAGUGACUUUGGGUGAAGGUACAACUACUGAAUGCCAUGGUACUUACCAAAAAGAUGAAUAUAUGUGGACACCUCAAUCUAGGUCCCAACUGCCUCUGAAUCUGAAAAUAUGAUGUUUAAAAGAGUGAGUAUAAACCUAGUGAGUGAACAUAGGAAGAGAACAAGCAAACGAUACGGAAAGUUAUAGAAAACAUGAUGCACUUAUGUUAAAAACAAUGCAAUUUAGCUUAAUUUCUUGUAAAGCCCCUUAAUUCAACCUUUGGUUAUUUAAUCCCUUAGAGUGAAGGAUCUAUGAUCAACAACGAAGUUGAAAAGAGUGAAAACUACAGCAAAUAUCCAAGCAAGAUAGGUAAGGCAGAGAGUUUGUCGUUGGAUUGAAAAUCAAUUUGGAAACAAUUAACAAUUUCAACAUUCAACAUUCAUUGCAAUCACAUAAUAUUUUCUCUAGCAUUUCCAUGGUAUGUGUAAGCAUGUAUACAACCAUCGGCUCAUUAGCUUAUGUGCACUCUCACACCGCACAUAGUUAGAAUCACCUGUCAUCAUCGGCAUGUGCACUCCCACACCACACACGCGCGGUUAGAAUUAUCACACAAUAUUAUUAUUCAAAGCAUAACAUAUAUAUCUUCAGAAUAUAGGAACUCAUGGGUUCAUCACAUUACACAUUUUACAACAUAAAACGUUUCAUCAAAGGUUUGUUCCCAAGCAUGAUUUAGAGAAAAAAAAGUCAAAUAUAAUCAUUUAAGUGCUUCAUCUCAACACAUAUGUAUUUCUCAGAAAUAAUUUAAUGCAAGUUCACUCACUUGUCCUUGUUGAUUGUUUUGAUCGACUAUAACUUCAACUAAUUCUCCAAAUGGACAUGUGGAGCCUCGCUGGAACCUAUCACACACAAUAUAACCAUAAAAAAUAUAACAGCCCACAAAUCUAAUUAUUAGCCAUCUUUAACAACUUAAAAUCAAUCCUAACACAUUUCUCACCUUGGUGGACUUGUAGUUGAAUUUUCUUAGUGAGGAUUAAAAGGGGAAAACUCCUUCAAGAGUUUUCAAGCUAAUUUGAAGUGUUUCCCUCUCUAAAAAAUGUUCAGUAGUGAAAGAAAGUACAAAGAAAAAACACUUUUUUUGAGGGUUUUUAAGGUGAAAAAGUGAAAGAGAAUGAAAAACCCUAUGAAAAAGUGUGCAAAAACAUGAAUUUUGAAGUUAGUAUGUGAAGGCUAUGGAGGUUUUAAGGUUUCUUUCCAUGGAGGAUGAAAAGUUCUGCAAAAAUGAGAGAAGAAAUGAGAGGAAGAUGAAGAAGGUGCUGGAACUUUAUAUAUUUAUCUCUAAAGUCAAUCAAAAUUUCACAUAAUUUAUAAAAAUGCCCUUUUUGUUCUUCUGGUGCAGUACCUUCAUUUUGACAAAGAUUUUGACCACUUUACUAUCAGAACUGGGCAAAGUAGAAAACAUCAAAGUUGUAGCCCUACCUCUUAGCUUUCUAAUGGUAUAAAAAUUAUGUCAUUUGGACUUCUUUAGUGGGAUAUAAUCUUGAAAAACCAAAAUAUAUGCAAAUAAAGCAAUAGUUCAUUAUGCACCUUUCUUCACCAAUUGAAAUUAUUUUUGAUCCUACUCCUAUAAAAACAUAAAAUAAUUAUAAAUAACAUAAAACUAACAUCAUUAACUUAAAAUAAACAUUUAAAUAUAAAUUAAACUAAACUAAUAAAAUAAAUAAAAAUACCUAAAUUAUAUCCUAAAUCUAGUCCAACUUAGACUAAUUAGGUAUUUAAUCUUCCAUUAAAUAUGUGAAUUUGAUGCACUCAUCAGUCUACCUCAAGUCACGCAUCUAUGGAGGUCGAGGUUUCACACAUGGUUACGAAAAACUCUUCCCUUUGGCCUGUCCCCUUCUCCAUAUCCAUUCACAAAGUCUUUGUGACUCACACGUUAUUUUUCGUCACUAUUUUCGUUAUGGAUUAAUGAUAGUAUUUUGUAGUAGCUAGUGUCAUGGAUACAAGUGUCUAGUUUUCAUCCUGUGUUAGAUGUCUAAUAGCCACUUGAUGCCUAGAGGGUCGGUCAUGUUUUGUUGAUGAGUCAGUCUUAUCUUUAUGUUUAUGUUUACGAAUUAUGAACAUGUUAUGAUAAUGCAACCAAUGUUUAGGCACUUUACAUUAUGAAUUUUAUGAUUAAAUGUAUAGAGCUGGUUGGAGAGCCUAAAUGGACAGUUGAGGGCGUUAAUAAAUGUUCAUAUGAUACUGUGCACUGAGAUAGUGACACUUUAAUGUUUUAUUAGAUGUUUCCACAUACAUUGCUUAUAUUGAGAGGUUCUUUAACUGUGUAUGAUGCCUAUGAAUGCAUACUUGUUAUAACAAUGUAUGCUUAUGAAACUUUAUAUAUGCUUUCGAAAUGAUGAAUAUUAAAGAGGCUUACUUAAGCUUAGUGGGCUAUACCCGUCUAGGCCUAUGCACUGGUGAUAUCCCAUCGUAAAAUGGGAUGUGACAAAGUUGGUAUCAAAGCUUUAGGUUCAUAGAGUCCUAGGUUUUCCUUGGUUGUCAACGGAAUGUUUAGAGCCGUAUGUAGGAAUCUUGUUUUUGUUUUAUGUACCUAGGCACAAAUUGAAAAUGGGAGACCUACAUAUAACUCCUUGUUUUUUGACCUACUUUAUGCUUAAGAGUUAUGUCUAGAAUUACUAUGAGUUUAUAGAUUUGAGUCUUACAGUAUAUGAUUGUUGUUGUCUAAAUGAGAUAUGUCGCCUAGGACACGAGCUAGUGGUAAAGAUGCGACAGAGCACGAGGCUCCCGUGGAGACUACUAAUAGACCACAUACACCUACUACUAGAGACCAUGGUAGACGUGACAAGGCUGCCAAUUCGGGGAAGAUAGACAGCCCUGCUUGUAGCUCCCCUGCUUGCUUUUGUUGUUGUUGGUGUUGCUUGAUGCUAGUGCUUUUAUUCAUUCCCCUCAUAACUUAGUUAUAAUACUAAAUAUUUGCGCAAACUUAAAAGUACGAUUUAAAUUGAAAAUUGUUGCAACAUAGCUUAGAAAAAAGUCUCAAUAUGCUUUUGCAGAACUUGCUUAUUCUUGCUUACAAUAUCAAUUCUAUAGCGGAUAAUAAAAGAUAAAAGGUAACUAAAAUUUGUUUAACACAGUUUACUCACUAGGCAAAGGAUGGUAAGGAAUGGGAAUUAAGAAGAGAUCAUUCUUUCUUCUUACAGAUAGGCCAAAACAUUCAGUCAUGUCCAAGUCUUCACAUUUGCUUCCAUUUGGGAGCAUCCAAUCAAAAUGGUAUAGCAAUUGUGCAAGGGGUAGCUCAAUGUUGGGGAGUGCAAAUGAUAUGCCUGGACAUAUCCUCCUUCCAGCACCGAAUGGAAUAUAUUCGAAAUUUGUUCCCCUAAAAUCAAUAGAACCGUCCAAGAACCUAUCUGGGUUAAAUUUUUCAGCAUCUUUCCAAUACCUAGAAUCUCUUCCUAUGGCCCAUGCAUUAACAAUGACUUUAGUCUUUGCAAGUAUAUCAUAUCCACUGAUUACACACUUUUCAUCACACUCUCUUGGUACUAGAAGAGGUGCAGCAGGAUGUAACCUCAAGGUUUCUUUAACUAUUAAUCUCAAGAAUUUCAAUUCAUGAAUACCAGCUUCAUCCACGUUACCUUUUCUAUCAAAAACCUGUCUCACCUCGGCUUGUGCUUGUUUCAUCACCUUUGGAUUUUUUAGCAUUUCUGACAUUGCCCACUCCAUUGUUGUUGAUGAUGUCUCACUCCCAGCCGCCAGAAUGUCCUACAAGAUGAUACAUUAUCAUUAGUUUUUUGCUGUUUAUGUUUUCACGAAUUUUAUAUAAACAUAUUGUAAUUUUCUGAUAGAAACUUAAUUUGAGUUUGAAUGGACAGAUUGUCAACUUCGCUUCAUUGUGCAUACAAUUUUUUAUAAGCCAAAAGUAUUUCAUUAAAGAUGGGUUACUUUAAUUCCGUAACCCUUCAAAAGUUUACAUGUCAGCCUGUACAAAUCACCCUUGUCACCAUGGGCUCCGCACUAUAAACCUAUAUUCUUCCUUCAAGAAAACAAACGCCACAACCCUAAUCAAGCCCAUAUACAGCCGCACUCAUCAGCUCAGAGCAUUGCAAAAACAUGUUAAGCUCAUUGUCCAUACAAUUUAAAAGAUGAUUUUACUUCUGUCCAUAUACGUAAUUGUUCUGAGUGGUGCAUCACCGUUAAUUUAUAUACUAUAAAAGAUAAUUCAACAAAAAUAAAUAAACAUUUCAAGUCAUCAAAUUUGUUUUUAGAUAGCUUUUCAAAAAGCAAAAAAAGGUUUGUUCUUAGAAAGCUUAUGGCUACUAAAGAAGUUAUGAUAGAAGUUGAUCUGUAGAUACAUGAGAGAAAAUGAUACUAACCAAGAUAAUUGCUUUUAUUUUGUCAUUCGUCAGAGGAAUUUCAAGGUCAGAACUCUGUUGAAGUUUAAGAAGAACUUCAAGAAGAUCUUCCUCUCCUUGUUGCUUGCCCAUUUCUGAUGUACUGUUUGUUUUCUCUUUGUGCUCGUUAACUAUGUCUUCAAGUAUCCGAUCAGAAGCCCGUUGCAAUUUCUCAAGUUUAAGCCUUACGCCACUGAUCAGUUUAAGCAGCUCAUUAGAAGGAUACAUAUCAGCUAAGCAGAAACCACCUGCGAGCUUUGUAGUUUCUGUUAUGAUCCUUAUGAAUUCUUCUUGGCCUUUGCUUUUCUUGCCAAAGGCUGCCCUUGAUGUUAUCCCAUAUGUCAUUGAGAAAAUUUUCUCGCUGAGAUUAAUUGGGGAUCCUUCAUUCAAAGAUAUGGUUUUGAUGAGAGCAGAAACUUCUUCUUCCCUGAUGAAUUGAAAUGACUGAACGCGACUUGGACUCAAAAGCUCCAUCGUGCUGAUUUUCCUCAACUGUUUCCAAUAGUUUCCAUAGGGUGAAAAUAUAAUGCCUACAGAAUCAUAUGACAUUAUCCUAGAAGCAAGAAGAUAAGGCCUUUGAGCAAAGGUGGUUGCGUGGUCUUUCAAAACCUCUUUUGCAAUUUCCGGAGAAGAUAUUACAAUGCUGGGAACUUCACCAAGUUGUAGAUGCAUCAAAGGUCCAUGUUUCUUGGCCAAAUCUCUGAGGGUGUGAUGGGGCAGAGAGCUUAUGAGCUGAUGCAGGUUACCUAUGAAAGGAAGUUUUCGUGGUCCUGGAGGAAGCCUUGCUGGGGGGUUGUUGGCUUUCGAUCUUUUCAGAACUUUUAGUACCAUGAACACGAAAAGAGAGGUGAGGAGUAGGGCGGUGAAGGAAGGAAAUUGAAGCUCCAUGAUGCUCAAGGAAAACAGAAGAAAUGCCACUUUUUUUUUCACCCCCCUUGGAAAGAAAGACAAAGAUGCAAGUUUCUCUCUCCUUAGCUAGCUAGAGAAAAGGCCUUCUCUUAGUAGCUCUGAAUUAUAAUAUUUAUGUGGAUACCAUUUAUAUUUAUAGCUAUAUGAUGGAUAUAAUAUAUAUUUAGUUUUUAAGUAUAUAUUUAUUAUGUUUAUUAUACCAUUUACUCUUUGUAGAAUUAUAUAAUUAUCUAAAUAUUUAAUAUUUAAGUAAGUUUUUAAUAAAUUUGUUAUAAAUUGAGUUUAAUAUAUGUUUAUUUUCAAUAUAACUUCUCAUGUACAAAGCACUAUACGGACGUCAGUUUCAUGGAAAGAACAAAGAUUUCAAAUAUAACCAAACUUGCAGCGUACAAGUCGGAGACAAGAGGAAUCUGAAAUGCUUCUUCAAAAUGCAUUGUAUCAGCUAUGUUCAUGCAAUGGCUCCUCUUCACUAGCUUUCCAGCUCACUAUCAAAUUAUUUUAAAAAUAUGAAUCCUUGGGAUUCCUUUUCACACGUUGAUGCCAGCCAAGUUGCUGCUGCAGGAGAUCUGUCGACAUUGUUUCAUGAAAUAAGAAAAAGCAACAAUUAAUCGUUUGCACGUGUGCAUAGGCAUAGAUUAUUCGUUUCCAUUAUCAGUAAAGGUUUUUUUUUUUAAAUAGUACAUUAUCUUUCAUGUCAUUCGAUUUUUCAAAAUUUUUAUUUUAAUCAUUCAACUUUGAAAAAUAUAAUUUUGAUAAUAAAUAUUUAUAAACAUUUGGUUAUUCAAUUGCUAAAAGAUAACAAACUUAGCUUUCUCUUGAUAGUAAGUUACAUAUUCAUAUCAACUACUUUGUCAUCUGUCCAUGCGUAAUAAAAAAUUAUAGCUUACUAAUAGAAAAUUAAAAUAAAGAAAAAAUAAAAACAAAUACAAAUAAAAAAUUAUAUUAAUAAUUUAUUAAUAAAUUGUUAAUAUUUAUAUUUUUAAUGAAAAUAAAAAUUAAAAGAUUAAAAAUAGAAAUAAAAUAAAGAAACAAUAAAAAAAUUAAAAUAAAAAAUCAUAUUAGUAAUUUAAUAAUAAAUUUGUAAUAUUUUAAUAUUUAAUGAAAAUAAAAAGUAAAAAAUAUUAUUGAGUUAUAGAAAUAAAUAAUUUUUUCUAAUUUAUUAAUUUAUAAUAAAGGAAACUUUUUGUUUUGAUGAAAAUAAAUUUUAUUAUAAUAAAAGAUAAUUUGACCAUUUUAUUAUUUAUUCUUCAAAAAUAAGUCAUAAUAAUAAGGCUAAAAUUUUUUUUUAGCCCUCAAGUAUAAGUUGUUUUUAGAAAUAGCCCUCAUCUUAAUUUUAACUGUUUUUAGCCAAGAGAUAAAAUUUUGGGAUAAAAAUACCCUUAAUGAGACUUCUUCAUUGAACUAUAUUUGAUGGCAUGUUUAAAAAUUUCCCACGUAACACACCAUGGUGAGAAUUUGUGACAUGCCAUGGAAGAAAUAUGCAACACGCCAUAGAAGGAAUAUGUGACACGACACUGAGGGAGUAUGUGACACGACACUGAGGGAGUAUGUGACACGCCAUGGUGAGAAUAUGUGACACGACAUGAAGGGAAUAUGUGACACACCAUGGAGAGAAUGUGUGACACGCCAUGGUUAGAAUAUGUGACACGCCAUGGUUAGAAUAUGUGACACGCCAUGUUGAGAAUAGGUGACACACCAUGGUGAGAAUAUGUGACACGACAUGGUGAGAAUAUGUGAGACGACAUGGUGAGAAUGUGUGACACGCCAUGGAAGGAAUAUGUGAGACAACAUGGUGAGAAUAUGUGAGACGACAUUGUGAGAAUAUAUGACACGCCACGUUGAGAAUAUGUGACAUGCCAUAAGGAGAAUAUGUGACGCCAUAAAGGGAAUAUGUGAGACGACAUGGUGAGAAUAUGUGACACCCCAUAGAGGGAAUAUGUGACAUGACAUGGGGGAAUAUGUGACAUGAUAUGCUGAGAUUAUGUGAAACUACUAAUAACUCUAUUAUAUAGAGUUAUUUUGACACAUUUUGAGGGCUUAAGUAGUUAUACUUUCGAGAUUUGAUGUUUGAAUUUUUACAUUUUAGGUGUUUUUUUAGUUUACGUUUGAUUACUUAUUGAGUGGUUAAUUUAAAUUAUUUUACUUUAAUUUUAUAUUAUUUUGUUUUAAAUUACUUUAAGAGUAGUAUUGCUAAUUUCUCUUAUUGCUUUUGUAAGAAAUUUGAUGAAAAUCCUCGUAAGUAUGUUGAUGGCUUCAUUCGUAUAUGUUGCGGUAUUUUGACUAUAUCUUUUUUUACAAAACUCCAAAAUGAAGUAAUUCUUAGACCAUUAGAACGCUAAGAAGAAGGGAUACAACUUUUAUGUUUACCACUUUACCCAGUUCUGGUCAGAUGAUGACAACAAUAUUUGUCUAAAUCAGAGCACUAUAAUAGUAUGCAUGUACUAAAUAUGAUGCAAGCAUAUAUUUCAACCCUAAAGUACAAUUGACGUGAUUCUUAAGCCAUUGGAAAGAUAAAAGAUAGGGCUACAACUUUUAUGUUUGCAAUAUUUCCAAGUUCAGACCAGAUCAUGGUGAACAUCACGUUCAAAUUUGAUAGACUGCCACAAUACUGGAAAACAUGGCCAUGGUGCUGAGCUAAAAUAGCUCACCAUGCAUUUUCCUAAGAGCUCAAAGCCAUAGCGCUAAAGAAGCAGCACCGUGAUGCUACUGUAGCAAACAUGUAGCACCUCAGUGCCAAAAAAUUCAGGCCACAGCGUUGGGAGAUUUUCCAAAAAUAAAAGUUUGAUAGGAUUUUGGAAAUUAGGUUACUUGGAGCCUAUUUAAGGGACCUUUUUUAGAGAAAAGGGAAGGCAGCAAGCAACUAUUCUGGAGAUUUUGAGCCAAGAACAAAGCAAGAAAACAAGAGAAUUUGAUAGAGAAUUAAGAUUGCAAAGAAGCUUUUAUAAUUAGUUUCUUUCUCUACUUUUGUGCUUUUUUAAUUUUCUUUGACUUGAAUUAAUGGCUAAAUUUCUUUGGAUAUUGUUUUUAUUACUUAUUAUGAGCUAAAUUAUCUUUCUAGGAUUGUGGUGGAUUUUUACAUGUGGUUUGAAUAUUAGUUUCUCUUGUAUUUAUCAUCAACAUGUGUAGUUUUGCUUAUUUAAAUCUGUUCUUAAUAUUUUCGAUUGUCUGGCAAACAAUUAACUGAUUUGUUAAUCUAAUUGAGACUUAACAAAGAGAUUUUAGAUUGGACUAAGAUUUGAAUAGUGUAUGUUCAUGUCACUUAGGUGAUUUGAUUCGCGAUUUGAGUAAACAUACACUAAUUGCCAUACAUAGCUAAAUUAGAACGCUAGCUUAAUGAACCUUAUUUAAUUGAUUCCUAUAGACAUAUAGUGAACUAAUUAAGUUAGGUAUUUGUACAAGCAACUCGAUGGAGACUUGUCCAUAGCUUUGCAUUAUAGGUUAGUAAAACCACCCAAAAAAGAUAAAUAAUAAGAAAAGCUGGUAUCAGAUGAAAUGUUGAAUGAACCCAUAAUCCUAGGUCUUUAAUAUACUACUUUUGUCAACUUAUUUAGUUUAUUAGUUUAUUUAGUGUUGAUUUUUAAUUGUUCUUAAUUAGUUUUUCUUCGAUUUUCGGAUUGCUUAAAUAAGAUUAAUUUAUUUUAUAAUUUUAGUACUUAGUGAAACUUUAGAAACAAAUCCUCAUGGGAACGAUACUCUACUUCAUCACUAUAUUACUUGUUAGAUACAUGUGCAAAAUCGACAACAACGACAUGGAAGAAAUAUGUGACACGACAUGGAGGGUUUAUGUGACACACCAUGGAUGGAAUAUGUGACACCGCUUAAAUUUAAAUGGAAAAAAAUUGCAAACAAAUAAGGAAACCGUUCGAAAUUCCACGACAUGCAUAUUAGUGGUUGAGGUGUUUAAAAUGCCAUCACAUUUUAUUUUCAUCAUUUGCAAAUGAUAGUGUCAAGUAAGAGUUUUUGAUUCAUUCUUCAUUCCUAAAGGGACCAGAGUGUUCGACUUCGUUCUGAGCAAAGUCAACGAUAUCACAGCAACAAUGUCGGUUAUGCGUGAAGAGAUCAGUUAAUCAUCAAUUAAAAUUUUCUUUUGUUUUGUGUUUUUUUGCUAGGUUGCUCUAGGAAAUGUUUGGGUUUAUGAUUAUGCUAUGAUAUAUUUUUCCUGUUUUCUUCGUGUUUUUAAGGUUUUUGCCUAAAUUAUGAAGAAAACUACAGCAUUUUUACUUACAUGGUUUAAGGUGGUACUAACAUUUUAGUGGGUCUGCAUAACGUGUAACAAGAAUAAAUUUCUUCGAUCUGGUGUGUAGUGGGUUAACUGCUUUUGUGUCUAGCUUAGCAUUACUUGCAUGGCAUGUAGUAUGUAAAUUGCAUAGUAGGCAUAUUCCCUAGUGUGCAACAAUAUGGGUAUUUUAUUAAUGGCGUGUAACAAAUAAGUAAUUAUACUUGGCGUGUAAGAACAAAAAAAUUGCAUGUUACAACAUUUUACUUGGUCUGAAUAGUGUGUAACAGCAAUAAAUUUCUUCAAUCUAACAUGUAGUGGGUUAAAUGUUUUUGGGGUUUAGGGUAGCAUUACAUGUAUGGCGUGUAGUAUGUAAAUAGCAUAGUCAGCAUGGCAUGGCAUGUAACAACAUAAGUAUUUUGUUCAUGGUGUGUAACAAAUCAAUAAUUAUAGUUGGCGUGUAAUAACAUAUAGGCAUGGUGUGUAACAACAUUUUACUUGGCUUGUUCAGUGUGUAACAACAAUAAAUUUCUUUUAUCUGGCAUGUUGCACAUUAUGGGUUAACUGUUUUUGGGGUCUAUCUUACAUGUGCAUGGGUGCUAUGUUUUGCAAAUGGAGUUCAGAGAGUAUGAUAACCUUGACACUUUGCUUGUUGUGCCGAGGGAGAAAUGGGCCUUCAAGGUCUCCAUUAACGCCCAUUGUAAGUGGUCAGAACUGCAUUACAUAAACAAGAUGCUCCAAGAGAAAGGGAGUACGAAGCAGUCAAGCGUACGUGCUUCGGUCUGCUGCUGGAUAUCUAUCCACAAGGCUACUUUUGCAUUAGUCUGAUACAGAACAUCAUGGUUUGUUGAAUCAUUGAAACCGAGUCAAUAGACCAUGAGUUAUAGUUAUGGUUUGCCAUUGGCAAGAGCAUGGUGCGUUUAUCAAAGCAGCAGUUCUGCCUUAUAACCAGACUGAAGUUUAGCUCACUGCCUAAUAUAUUCAUACAACCAUACGAGGUCACUCCCGAUGAAAUUCAUGCAAAAUACUAGAAUGGGUAGUAGAAUGUUAAGUUGUAGGAGUUGUUUGAUAUGUUCUGAGGAGGCAAGUUUCAACAACCAGGAGAUACAACCAAAAUGGCACUCGUCUUGAUCGUGAAUAAUAUUUUAUUUAGUCAAGACUAUCAAAGAUGGGGUGACACCUUAGCUUUUGGCAUUGGUAGAGGACAUGGACAUUUGGAAUGUUUUCCCCUAGGGUUUAGAGGCUAACUGAGGACUACCUAUUGAAGGGGUUCGAAGUUCCUACCACAAACUUGCAGAAGGAUAAUCGUUUAUGCUACAACCUUUAUGGAUUUGCUAGGACAUACAGGUACUGUCAUGUAGCAUUUUCUAGUUUCCUUUUGAUAUAAAAAUUUAUGGUGGCAGUCGUUUAUCAUUUACGAUAUGAUAAUGGUUGUAAUUAACUUGCAGUUCUGGGCAAUGGAGGCGAUUCCUACUUUAUGAAAAUCAAUUACCCCCUCCAUUCGAAAAGACGUCUUCUACCCAUGCAUGUGUAGAUGGUAAUGCAAUCAGAAGUCGAAGGACUUCUACAAGGCAAUUGAGAAGUUGGAGUCAUCUCAAUAGGUUAGGAAACAACUACUAAUUUGUCCGGUGAAUCUCUAAACUAUUAAGGGUUAUAAUGCAAUGCAUGUAUUUUGCAAUUGCGGGCACAAUGAACCUCGGAGCCCACACUAGAGGAGGCCACACAGGAAUAUCUGUUGGACAUCGAUGCCCCUCUAUUUGAGGGGCUCUAAUAUGUACCAAUAGGGCAGAUGGAGGAUCGAGCAAAAUGAGGUAUUGAUGCGAGAAUAAGGAAGAAAAACUUGAAUGUGAAAAAAGUCGCUGGUCUAGUUAAGCGGAGGUGCACUAUUGCUUCUGGAAAUGAGGAGCACUCAUGUGAGAUCUCGACCUCUAUAGACUCAUAAUUAGAAGUAGACGUAAUAAUACAGACUAAGGGUAAUUUCGUCAUUUCCUCUAACAAGCUCCUAGAAGAAGGUUUUCUAAUAUUUUAAGCUCUAAGUGGGCAUAAGGACUGAAUGAAUGAUGUAUAAUGAUGAAAACAUGAAGAAAACUAGAAGCGAUAAUAAUUUUCAUAAUAGGGGCAAAAUGGUCAUUUUGCACCCCGAGUCAAAGAUUUUAAGUUUUGUGAACUCGAGUACUUUUAGACUAUUAUGGACCUUGUCUCAGUAUCAAAAGAGUAAAAAAAUUGCACAAAGGAUUGGAGGAGAACAAGUUAACUUGCUAAGGGCAUUUUCGUAAUUUAAGUGGAGUUGGAUAAGCUUGAGCUGUAAAAUCAUCUUCCAACAGCUUCUUAUCAUAUUUCCAGCAGCUUUUUCUUCUUCUUCUUCCUCUUAUCUCACGUUGCUUUCAUCCUCUAUGGAACCUUGAUAUGAAACCACCAUAACCUCUCUCAAAAUAGCUCCAAUUUUCAAGCUUUUGUGCACUUUUGCAUAGAACCCUUGUGCUCUUUCACUCUCUCACUUUAAAACCCUUGAAAAAUCUUACUUCCAUACUUUCUCUCACUAACUAGGUGUUUAGAAAGAGAAAAAGGGAGCUUCAUAAUAGCUUGGAAAAUUAUUGGAAAGAAUUUCAAAUUUACAAGCUAUCAAGGUGAGUAGUAAAUUAGAGUUGAAUUUUAAGUCUUGAGAAUGGCUACAGAUUAGACUUAUGAAUGUUUUGUAGUUGAGGUCGUUCAUUCAUUUUAGAGUGAUUAGGAUAGUGAAAAUAGAUAGCCACUUAGAUGGCAAUUGGAAGCUAGUUAAGAGAUAGCUUUUAGAAUUUAUAAGUAUUGGAAUUGACUUAAUUGUGAUGCUAAUGUGAUGAUAGGUUCCAACAAAGCCCCAUCUCCCCAUUUGGACCAUUAGGGAAGUUAGAGUCGACUAAAGAUUCAACAUAAUACCGGUGAGUGAACUUGCAUUAAAAAGGUUUUGGGAUAUGUAUACAAGUAUGUUUGACUGAAUCCCUAAAGCGUUUUAAUUAUUUUGUCUUCAAAACUGGCACGGGAACAAGCCCUUAUGAAAUGUUUUUAUGAUAUGAAAUGGAUUGUGUGAUGAAUCCGUAUGUGUCUGUGUAAUGUUGAUAUAUAUAUACUAUGUCAUAAAUGGUACCAUUGUGUGACAAAUGAAACCGCGCAUGUGCGGGGUGAGUGUGCACCUGCAGGUGAUGACGGUGGUGAGGGAGAUGGAUAGUGAUAGUGCCCGUGUGCACGAUGUGGGGGGAUGCACAUGAUGGCACUAACUGUGCACGAUGUGGGGGGAUGCAUACGAUGACUCUGACUAUGUGCACGAUGUGGGGGGAUGCACAUGAGUUGGGUGAAACGAUGGUGGUAUUGGUGUUUAUCUAUGUAUAUAUGUAUAUAUAUGUUUAUGAAAUAAAAGCUCAUGAAUAUGGUAUAUGGUUGUAAUGCAUGUGAAAAUUUGACAUGUUGAACUUUGGAAAUUUUAAGUGUUUCACGUUGAUUUUGUCAUUUCAGCAGGAUGGCCUUCUUCUUGAGAGAAUGGAAACUUUUCUUUGGUGCCUUGUUUCUCGUUGCAGCGAGAAUGAUUCUCGCUAUAGCGAGAAACUCUCGGGUUUGAGAGGUUUGUUUGACCUGGUUCUCAUUGUAGAGAGAAUGCAUUCUCGCUACUGUAAGAAAUUUGUUGGAGCUUCUCACUGUAGCGAGAUUCAUUCUCGCUACAGCGAGAAACUUUCUGUUUUGGUCGCUUGAAUCUCGCUGCAAAGAGAAAGAAUCUCGCUGCAGUGAGAAACUUUCUGUCCAAUAUGCUAUCUUGCUGGUUUUUGUCAUAUUUUUUCAUUUCAUUUACAUCAUAGUUGUUCAUGGACUCCCAACAUUUAGAGGUUUAUCUAAUUAAGUUUGAAAUGAGGAAUUUUAGAGAGAAACCCUCGGCCAGUGGAGAAACCCUCAUCCAGCUAAUAACUUGAGCCAAAAAUUUUGCUGCAGCUAGAAUGCCUUUCCACUGCAGCGAGGACCCGUUAUUUCAUUUGACUUGCUUGUAUAUCACUGAAGCUUUCAUUCUUCGAAUUUUUGUUAUGUAUGGAUUCAUCAUUAUCAAGUGAUUAACCAUUUAAGGGUUUAAUGAGGGGUUUUAAUAAGAACCAAACUAAAUUGCAUUGUUUUGAAAACAAAUGCAUCAUGAUUUCUUUAAAGUUUCCUUCUCGUUUGCUUGUUCCCUUAUAAUGUUCACUCUCUGAGUUUGUACUCACCGUUUUCAACUUCAUGUUUUCAGAUUAGGAGGCAGUAGGUAACUAGGUCGAGGAGUGUUCGUAGAUUCGACUCUUGGUAGGCGUGCCGGCAUUUAGUAGCUGUACUUUCACCGAAGUCUCUUCGCUGGAAGUCGAGUACUCUUUUGUUGUGUAUAGACAAAACCAAUGUAAAUUAUUAAAAUAUAUGUUUUAAACAAUAUAUGUAUAUUUUGAUUAGUAUGCCACUACGAGUUGGCAAUGGUUAGCGUUAUUUUGCUUCGAAGUUAUGAAAUGUGACUUAGCAACUUUUGAUGGAAUGACGAACAGGUCAUAUUAAUAGGCUUGCUUGGGCUUAGUGGACUACGUCCAUUGCACCCAUGCACCGGUCAUGGCUCAAAAUUUGGGUCAUGACAACUUAGACCCUGAGUUGAUGAAGGAAGGGGAUGACCAUGGCAAUGUGAGUGAAUGACAUUCUUCCCACACCGAUGAGUAGACCCAUACACAUUGACCUCCUCAAUGAUCGAUAGGACGUUUUCAGACGCAUAGUUGCUUUGAUCUGCUGGUAAAGACGGUUUUUGUGGCAUACGAUUAAAAAUUCCAUAUUUGAUUAUUGAAUAACACAGUAAUAUUUGUUAUUGUAGUUGAGCAAGGUGAGGAAAGACAAUGACGGUGUAGUCACAGUCUGUCAGUUGCGACAGGUUGUGAGGAUGCAUAGUGAGACAUGUUGGAGAUGAAGGGUUCUAUUUAGUCAUUGAAGUACGUAAUGCAGACAUUUGAGGACCAUAUUGUUGGUCAGAUUCUUGACAACAUUAAAUUACAAGUCUAUUCUUCUAACUUUGUUCAUAUAUUGAUGGUUUACGUUUAGCAGGCUUAGGCCUAUUGUUUAUUUUGGGUUUAGGGUUUAACGUAUGCUAUGAGUUAAUGGAUUUUUUCAUUUGUCUCUUUCUCUAGGGUGGUGUUUCCUCUCACCAUGAUGGUUCACAGCACGAUUAUGCUAAUGAUGGGCAAGAUGAUGAACUUGGUGUUGGGGUUCGAGACAUUGACCAUGACGUGGUGGGUGCUGAAGUUGACAAUGUACCUCACGUCGAUGAGGUUGUCAAUGAAGCUAUGGAAGGGGAUGGGAAAUUUCAAACAGUUGAUGCUAAAGGAGAACAUGUACCUCAUGCUUAUGCAGUUGUUGAUGAAGUUGUGGGAGGUUAUGUGAACCUUUAAAUAGUUGAUGCUGAAGGAGACCAUGUACCUUAUGCCAAUGCGAUUACUGAUGAAGCCGUAGAAAUGGAUGGGAACCUUCAAUCAGUUGAUGUUGAAAUAGACCAUGUACCUCAAAGCACUCCUGAAGGCAACAUGUCACGGUCAUCGUCACUAGAUUUCUCUUAUGUCCAGUAUUGUGAAUCAUUAAUUUCAAACCCAUCUGAAUGGGCACUGGGACACAAUGGCCAACAAACACAUCGCAAGCCCGUACGUUGACCCGUUGGUGAACCACUAGGAUGUCAAGAACUCGAUGGUGGAAGCAUACAAAGCAUUCAAGAAAGACAAGCAUGCAAGGUAAGCUCAGAAAUAACAUUGCAAAUACUAUUUAUUUUGAAAUUUUAAUUCACCCAACCGUUUGAAUCUGGUAUGUUGCAUGUGCAAGCGUAACGUCGGGAUCUUAAGGGAUCAAGGGCCUAAGUUUUUCAUGUCAUUAGAGGGCCUUGAAGAGAACAUGACAAGUGAAUAAAUUGACGCAUGCCUCAGUGUACUGUGCAAGUGACUUACAUGGUAGAAGUUCAAGUUGUACAACACCUUGUGUAUGCAUGGUUGAUACGAUAUUCGUCGUAAGUUUGUUUGAGCAGUUUUCAAUUUUGAAACUAUGUGUGUGUUUGGGACUACAUGACGUGUAAGUUGAUGUAAAUAUAUUUCACAAGACACCAUUUGUAUGCUAUACACCGUAUAUCCAACUGACCAUAAAUGGUCCAGUAUGAAAUUUCCAUUUGAGUUGCUUAUGUACGUGCAGGGUGACAAGCUAACAUAUGGGAAAAAAAUGGGAAAAUGUCAAUUUCAUCCUCGCUCCUUGUGAUGUGGGUGGGCACUGAGUUGUUGCGAAGAUUGACUUGAUGAAGUGGAGGAUCAAGGUAGUGGACUCCGUAAGAACUUCUGUCGUGAAGGAAACCAAAUUGCGUGUGACUCAAAUGACAUCCCUUACUACUAUGAUGCCUAUACUCUGCCACCAAUCUAGUUAUUUCAAGAAAAGAUGCCGCAAGAAAUAAGAUUUGUCGUUGAUUCUAUUUGAAAUUCAUUUGCCAAAAUCAUUAGUGCAUCGGCAAAAUGAUAGUGUAAGUUGCGGUAUGUUUACAGUAAGGUACAUUGAUGUUAUUUUGCAAUUGGGACCGAUCAGAGUUAGGCAAACAAUGAUUGCAAAUAUGUAGUUGAUAUACACUUAUGAAAUUUUUAGCAAAAGUUGUGAUAGCGAACCCCUCCCUGCACGAUGAACAUAUGGGAAGUUGUAUGUGCAUUUUUUGUACAUAUAUUAACUUUAAUAUACGUACAUUUAAUGCAUUAAUUUUUCAUUUCAAACAUAGUGCCUAUAAUGAUCGCAAGAUGAAAAUUAAUUGGUUGUUUUACCUUCAAGAAGUCAUUUGUUACUAUUGGUGUGUAACAAUAUAAGACUGUAAUGAAAUGGAGUGUCACAACAAGAUGUAAAUGACAUCUAACAAAGCAUGGCAUGCAACAAUAUAAUAUUUCAACAAUGCUGUGUUACAAGAUGUAAAUGACAUCCAAGAAGCCAGGCGUGUAACAAUAUAAGACUUUUGAAAUGGUGUGUCACAAUAAGAUGUAAACAACAUCUAACAAGCUUGGUGUGUAACAAUAUAAGACUUUUGAAAUGGUGUGUUACAAUAAGAUGUAAACGAUAUCUAAUAAGCCUAGCAUGUAACAAUAUAAGAUUGCAAUGAAAUGGUGUGUCACAACAAGAUGUAAACGACAUCUAACUAGCGUGGCGUGUAACAAUAUAAUACUUCAACAAAAUGCCAUGUCACAAGAUGUAAACGACAUCUAAGAAGCCUAGCAUGUAACAAUAAGAUGUAAAUGACAUUUCACAAGCAUGGCAUGUAACAAUAUAAUGCUGAAUGAAAUGGUGUGUCACAAGAUGUAAACGAUAUCUAAUAAGCCUAGCGUGUAACAAUAUAAGACUUUGAACUGGCGUGUCACACUGUAUGAGUAAAAUGAAAUGGUGUGUAAGAAGAUGUAACACCGUAUGAGUAAAAUGAAAUGGCAUGUAAGAACAUGUAAAUGACAUAUAACAAGCCAUGUACGUGUGAUCACAUUACAAUGAAAUCUAGAAAAUAUGAGAAGCAAUUGAGAAACAAAUAUUUUCAUUUCAUACCUCCAUACUUCUGACCAGAUACAAGAACAACAUUUUCUCUAGAUUUACCAUUACAAACUAGAAUAACAAGCUAGAAUAACAAGAUGUUGAAAUAUCAACUUAGUCCAUUAUUAGAUAACAAACACAAAACCAACACAAAAUAUCAAUGUAAGAAACUUUAAAAGGAAAUUAUGAGAAAGAUACUAGACAUGGCUCACACAGUUAGUUAGACCGACUCAUUGUCUUCAUCUACAAGACACCCUACGUUCUCAAACAUUGUUUUUUGUAUUGGAUAGGUGUUGAAUGUGUAACUGGUUUAUCUACAAGUUAAACAUGCUUUCAGUCAUCGUCUUCGUGGAGGUACCAAUGGACCUGAAGAUGGUGCUAGAUUUAUGGAUGGAACUGCAAAUGAGGAUGGGCAAUUUUAUCUAUUAUGCCCAUACCUCUAGCAUUGUGAACGUCUUCGUGAUCAACUACCUUUACCAGUCAAUGGAAUCCUUCUCCUCUUAGGUCUUCCCGCUUGACAUUGCCAAGGUGGUGGCAAAACGACGAUUUCUUUUAAAUGAGGGGGAAUGUCCUAAUCACUAAGAUGCCUAAUUGGUGAAUGGACCCAGCAUAACCCUUUGCUAAAAAGGUUAUCUUGUAGUAGUCUACGCAAAAUUCAAUGACUUCAUGUUUGCACUUACUAAAAAAUCCAAUGAACUCAAUGUUGAAGCACAAUGUAAAAGUUACGUUCAUUACUAAUCAAAUAACAAAUAAAGAUAUUCGUACUUUAUUGCCACAAUGGCAUGGCUACAUGGUAGUAGAUCUAUCUAGAACACCCAACAUGAACACGUUUUCAUAGACAAGUUUACAAGUCCAUCCAUUUUUUCGUCUUUAACUUUGGAAUCCACUUGAUUGAUUAGUUUAACUACAAAGUGAUGUGCAUCAUUGAAACAUUUGCUCAAUUGCUUGGUAGCCCAAGGGCUGAGGGGCAUGGUCACCUUGACAGCCUCCUUGUACCGAUCAUGGAACCAAUGCUAGAAUAUGUCUAUGAUGAACUUGAUCAGAACAAUGAUUGGCAUUUGUCUUGCAUGCUUCAAGCAAGAGUUAACGCAUUUUGCAAUGUUGGAUGUCAUGAGUUGGUAUUGCCUUGCCAGUGACCAUGCACAUCCCUAUCUCUCAAGGCUUAUUCUCAUAAGGUAAGCGUGGGCUCUUACGUGAACCUGCUUAAGUUGGUUCAUAUGUCUAUUGAAAUUGAAAACCUUAUAACAGUCUCGAGCAAGGGUGAAAUCACUAAAGCGUCAUCGUGUUUGAACUUGUCUUUAAAGUUUUUCUUAAAGUGGUAACUACAUAAAUAGUGGUGCAUUUCUGUGUAUGCUUUACGAAUUGCUUUUUUAAUCCUGAUAUGCUGAUUAGAAAUGAACAUAGUGUUUUUAGGACAACCAACUGUAUCAAGUAGGUUGCUAAGAAACCACAUCCACGAGUUUUCGUCCUCAACUCGAUCUAUGCCAAAUGCAACUAGACAUACGCACUCGUUCGCAUCUUUGCAUACAACGACAAACAAAACACCCUUGAACCUACGUUUCAUAUGUGUCACAUCAAUUGCAACUACAGGAUGCAUUACGCCCUUAAACCCCUCGAUACAAGCACCAUAUGAUCUAAACCAAUAUUUGAAUCAUUGUGCCUCAUCAAUAGCCACUGCAGUGAUUGUACUGAGAUUUUUUUGUUCCAGCAUAUAAAACUACGAGGGUAGUAGUUAAAAUGACUCCUCCGGGGGAUCAAAGAAACCUUUUUGCAUAUUCCUUUGCUUGCUAGGCCUUACCAUACAAGCAUUCCAAUACCCACCAAACCCUCAUCUCACCAAUUACGUCCUUAGGUCUCAAUGUUACUUCAUUAGCUUAAAGCUUGUGUGACAUAAGUUCAUUAAUUAUCUUCACACUCGCAGUUUAGAAUCGCCCUUGCAAACCAUCGACAGUCCAUGUGUGCACUUUAUGGAAUGUUCGAACUUGCCAAUAUUCUCCUUCAAGUAACCUCAUUGCACGCACACCAAACUUACAUGCGUUGCCCAUACAAGCAACCGUAAAACGAGCUUGACUUAACCUUUUUACUCUUAUCUCUAGAUGCUCUUUUAAUGCUAAUAUGUUCAAAACUCAUUUCAACUUGGUCUUAGAGGAAAACAUUCUUCUUGUGUAUAAUCAGUCUUCGGCAAAUAUUGAUUCUUUAGUGGUAAUGGUUUAGAUUGAGAACCUUUCUACACCUAAAAUAAGCCACGUCCUAGAUAUCCUUGCAUUUUCCCUUUCCUGAUAACUAUCAUCGGGCAACAUCUUAUGUGAACAAAUCCCGUUGUCACUAGAAAUGGUUUUAUUGUAUAUGGGGUCAUCGCAUUAAACAUCUCCUACAUCAACACCUCCAACAUGUUUUGUUUUGCCUUCAACAUUAUUGCAAUUUGGAAUGUAACUAUCUUAAAGCUAGUGAUCAUCUAAAUUGUCAUCAUGCCAGUCAUCAGGCUUGUCAUUUGAAUUGUCAUUAAAUCUAUCUUUAGCAGCACAAAACAAAUCCUCAUUAGCCUGAUUAAAUGCAGUAUUAUCCUUAAGCAUCGCAGUGUCAUCCUCAAGUAUUGCGGUUUUAUUUGAAAAUGGCAUUACACCCUUUACAGUUUCACCCGAUGGUUGCAUUUGUUGGACAGAAGCAAGUAAUUGGUUUGAUACACAUGCCGAUCGGAAUUGUUCAACCAACUAUUUUGUGAAUGUCGUAUGUCUAAUUGGCUGCACAAACUCAUGUGCAUACGUCGAUUGCCAUUGUUGUGGGUUAGGAACCAAAUGCUGUGGUAUAUGUGAAGCACUAUAAAUCUCAUUUUGAUUAAGGUAAUUACCAUGUUGGACAACUUCUUCAUGUGGCAUAACAUUUGUGUGGCAUUUCUUAAUGGUGACGUACACUGCCGAAAGAUUCGUCUGCUCUAGCAAAAUUAAUGCAACAUUCUCCUCAUCCUUGAUAAUUGGGCGUGAUAGCUCUCCAAGUGUACUGAUUAAUGCAUGUAACUCAAUCUCCUAAAUCUGUGAGUUUACCCCAACAACAUCUUCAACCAACUUUAUCAAGCCCACAAAUGAUAAAUCAUUCCUAACUCCCCACAUUCGUGACUCACCACCCUUAUAAAUGCCAUCGACCCACUGACCAUCGUGUCUUAUCACAAAUCACACAAUUGGAAUGCCACUGAAAUUUGAAAAAAAAAAUGUUAGUCAAUUUACACAUUACAUGCCAUGUUCUAAAAUUUUGCUACAUGCCUUGUUGAAAACAUGUUUAUUACACGUUAUGUUGAAAAAGUUUUGUUAUAAACCAUGUUUUAAAAAAAAGGUUACAUGCCAUAUACUAAAACAUGUUAUUUCAAUAUAUUUUUUACAAGCCAUAUGCAUUAGAGAUGUUACUUGCAUGGCGUGCAACAUUUCUGGCAAAUGUUCUAAUGAUUUUGCUACACGCCAUGUUUACUACACCUUAUGUAUAGACAAAUUUUACUACUAGCCAUGUAAUAAAACAUGUUAUUUCAAUAUAUUUUUUACAAGCCAUAUGUAUUAAAGAUGUUACAUGUAUGGCAUACAACAACUCUGGCAAUGUUCUAAUGAUUUUGCUACACACCAUGUUUACUACACCUUAUGUACAAACAAAUUUUACUACCAACCAUGUAAUAAGACAUGUUAUUUGAAUACAUUUUUUACAUGCCAUGUGCAUUAGAAAUGUUACAUGCAUGUCGUGUAGCAACUUUAGGCAAUGUUCUAAUUUACACACAAAGUUUCAGAAAUUAAUGGGUUGUAGCAAUAAACCUAAUAGCAUAACUUGAUGUCAUCUCUUCUCUAGGAUCUAUAUAUUGAUGACGAUAUGGCGACAUGCCGAGAGAUAGACCAAAGCACGAUGAUGAUUGUUCUUAACAGAUAGUUGGCUGGCAAGAGAGAGCUAACAUAGCGAAGAGAGCUGAGAAAGUUGAGCAUUUAAUUUUUCUCUAUGGUGGGAGGGAGAUAUCAAAAGAUUAAUUUGCCAAAAAUGUAUUCAAGGGCAUUUUUGUCUACUCAUGCCAAAAUUAGGUAAAAGUAGUUAACUUCAUAUGGUAGGCUAUUUCUGAAAUCACCUUAUGAAAAGGGUUAUUUCUUACAAUUUUUUCUAAUAAUAAUUCCUAACCUAUUCCAUUUUAUAAAUUAAAUUACAUAAUAACUAUUCUAUUUUGUUCUUUUUUUUAUUUUAUUCUCACAAAAUAACUAUUCUAUUAUAUUUUGGAACCAGACAUGCCAUUACUUCCUUAUAAUCCAAAAUUCAUAAUAAAAUGUGUUUAAUUGGAGAGCCAUAAGGGCACUUCAGAAAGGUGAAGCCCAAGAUGCUGGAAUUAAUUUUAAGAGUUUUGUUUAUGACCCUUGUUUUGAUUUUUUGAUUUGAUUAAACAAUGUUAGCAAGAUUAAUGAAAACCUUAGAGAUCAGAUAAAAUUUAGAAAUUGAAACAAAACCAGAUGACAAACAUUCUGGAGCCAAAAAACUGGCCAAUAAGAUAGAAAAAAUGUUGAAGAUAUUGCUUGCAUGUACCCAAAUGGGCAAAAAGCCAAGUGGCAAACCACGAAAAGCAUGCACAUUAGUAUGUGUCUUUGACAAUGUUGAAGAACACUACAUGGGACUUUGCAUGCUUAUUUAUCAGUUAUGUUUAACACUUGUAAAUCUCUCCUUUAACAAGUGUUUACUAUGUGUUUAUUUAUGCCUUGUAUAUAUAUUGUUAAUGGUAAACGAAAAUCAUUGUGGCCUUUUCUAUUUGUUCAUCUUUGUUUAGAGAUAUAAAAUAGAGGCUACAUCACAACAACCAUAUACUCUCUUUCUCCCAAAAUUACAACAUGGUAUCAAAGCCUAAUUUGAGUUCUUAAGGGACCAAAACUUUGAAUAUCACCACAAAUCUUCCAAACAACAAGCCACCCUUUGAUCAUGGUAAAUAGUAGUAUCUUCUUUCAUCAAACAACAAUAUUAAAAAAGUUUAAGGUCUUGAAGAUGAAGGACAAUGAAACUUUGAAGGAUUGCAAAGAUGAGUUAAUGCAAAUAACAAAUCAGGUGAGAUUGUUGGGUGAGAAUAUUCUAGAAAAAAGUUUUAGGGAGAAGGUCUUUGGAAGUGCCAUAAGUGCAAAAUUCAAAGCCAAAGUCAAGUGUGAAACAACACCAAGAAAGGGACUUGAUGAGUCAUGGGACAAAGAAAAGAGAGACCAUCACCAUAACAAGUCUUAGUCCAAGAGUUUACCAAUGGGGACUUCUUGCAUAGCUAAUAUUCAAACCCCUUCAUGCAUUAGUUUUUGAAGUAUAACUCACUGAUAUAAUGGCCAAGUCAUUGAGCAAGUCAAAAUCUAAAUGUUAUAAGGAUAGAUUGAAGGUCCUCAAUGCAAACAUUAAGGGUGUCACGACCCGGAACUUCCAUCGAGCCUGUGACAACCACCGCGAUGUCCAGAUAGACAUUCAUUACUCGAAACGCCAAUCGAAACCUCACAAGGCUUAACAUCAGUUUUCUUGCUUCCCCUAUGAGUAUUAGUUACUAAAAUCAUGUUUUAAAGUGAUAUGAACCAAUUUCAAUUCAAAAAUAGUCAAAGAGAAGUUUCAACUACACAGGGGUAUUUUGGUCAUUUUUUCUAAAAAUUUCGAAACCAGCUAAAAUGUAGUAUAUGAGAGAAGUUUACACAUUUCAUAACAUAUUGGUCAUUUUUGAGGUACCCAAGUAAGCAAACAUGGAUUCUUAUGUAAGAAUGGCAUAAUAAACAUAUUGUAGAGCCGGGUUUGAUAGCACUACCCCCCUUAAAAUAAAAUUUUGACCUCAAAAUUUCAUUUACUGAACUCAGAGAAAAAGUGGGGGUAUUGUUUUCUCAUCUAAUGCUCGACUUCUUAUGUCCUCCCCUUUAUAGGGAAUUUCGUUUUGUUCAUUCUCAUCCAUAACCAAGAUUCAAUAGAAUAAUCUUCAUAAUUCAUACAAAUUCUCAUCAUGCCUGUGCAUAGUUCCACAUCAUUUACAUACUUAUACUCUCUUCUUAUCAUUUCCAAUUUUAUGCUUAAGUUUCCUUGUACUAUAUAUCAUUGUAUCACAAUGUCGUCUCCAUUGAAUUAUAAUCUAUUAUGCGUGUAUACUUUAUAAUCCCAUUGAUGCCUCAAAGAUUUGUCUUAACUUGAUCAUUGCAUCUCAUGCAAUACCACAAUUCCUAAGAGUCAUCCUUUUCUUCGAUUAUCUUUCAUGCCUCUACAUUACCUUGUAUCCUUCUUGCAUUUUGAUAUUGAUUUGUCACUUAAAACUCAGACUCAUUUGAAUCAUGUAUGCCUCAAGCAUUUUCGAAUUCCAAUUUCCAUAAUAUAUUAGGAAAGUUUCAUUAUCCGACUUCAUUAUCAAGGUCGACUUCUAUCAUCCUUUGUUCCACUCUUUCAUACGAAUAUAACAUCAUUCUUCCUUAACCAAUUUACAAAUUGUACUUGAAAUUACAAGACUUGAAACUAGAAUAUACUCAAGUACUUUUUAAUAUUAAUACUAAUAUCACUCUCAGCUUACAGCUUCCUUUUUUAUAACCACAUAACUUAGUGCUUGCUUUCACGAGAUCCAUGGCAGAACUUCCCUUGAGUAUUUCCUUGGGGAUAUCUAUCUUAAACUUAUGUCUCACAGCAGGUGAUCACUUAACUCAUGACUUAGCUGUUUGGCUCCUUAGCAAGUUUCAAAAUCACACAUCUUAUACUCAUCUCGUAUAAUUUAUAAUUCUUUCUCAAAGAUGUUUAAACAUUCUUGAAACACUUAAUCACUUAUUUGCUCUUUCAUACUCCAAGUAUAUCAUUUCCAUAAAGGCAUGCACUUGCUCACCAAAAUAUUUAAACGCAUGCUUCAACUUAUCUCCAAGGGUUUCUAACAUACCACGUAGUUUACUUGUGUUGUCACUAAUCCUUUCCUUUCAAUAAAGUCAAGACAAGAUUUGUAAAUUCUCGUAACAAUAUUCUAUAUAAACUCAUUUUCUAUAUCAUUCUUGAAAUCUUCAUUCACACUUUUAUCACUUGGUAUUGACAUCUCUUAUCAAUAUCUCAUACAUUCAUCUAACCUUUCCCUCACUUUGUUUUUAAACUUUUACAAGGUUUACUUUAUUUCUUAAGAUUUGACUUUAGUCAACAUAUUAUUCAUCUUAACACUCCCCCAAUGCACUUAAGACUCCCAAUAAUGAAACUCGACAUCAAAACCAAUGACCAUUUUCCAACUUGUGAGUCCAAUCUUUAUACCGCUCACAGUUUGCUCAUGUUUUCUAGCCAUUAGGGGCUCUUAACCAAUUACAUAUAUAAAGUGGAUAAUUCACUUAAUUAUUACAUCUCGUCCUUGCAGUUAUAAGAUCAAGAUUUCUCGAAUUUAGGAUGCAGAAGUUCCUUCCUAGAGCAUAUCCAAAAAUCCACAUAUUUCAAGUCCCACCUUAGGACAUCUUUCCCAUAUGGUGUAAUGAAUUCACAAUAUGUACAUCAUCAUACACAUAAUUACUUAUUAUUUAUGGUAUCCCACUAUUUUCAUUAUCCAUUAAUGAUCAUCUUCCUUGGCUUAUAACUCCAAUAGUUUAUUAACUUCCAGUACAAAGACCACGAAAAUAGUUCAUCUUUCACUACACUUAUACUCACAAUCCUUAUUAAUAAAAAAAUUAUCUUUUUCAGGUUUCUUCAUUUAUCUCUAAUAGACCAUAUUUGUAUUAGAUUAUCUUCCUAUAAUGUUAUGGCAUCAUUUUAUACUUCCUCCACCCUCAAGCUUACAAUCUUUGACUUUAUCACAUUAAUCGCUCAAAAUGUUAUCUAGAGCCUCAUUGAUUUCUUCCAUAUCCUUUCGAAUUGUAACCACAAUUAAGAAUCCCAAUUUCACAUCUCCAUGAUUAAUUGUUAGUCUUACCACACUAUCUCCCAAUAUCUCAUGCAAUUACAACACACUGAACCCGCUUAUUAUAACAUAGUCCCCUAGUUCAAUGUGUUUGCUCAAGAAUCAUCUUCUCUGAUACAAUUUGUCCCAUAAACCAGAAUUUUAUUUAUUUAGCUUUGCAUUCGGAAUCAUAUAAAAAACUCUCAUACUACGAUAAGUAAUAAUUUCCAACAAACAUCAUCAAUUCAAAUGGCAUUUUAUACCUCGUCAAAAUCUAGGGUUAUCACUCCAAAAGUUCAUCAUGUUAAUCGGUAUCCAUUUCUUAGUACUGCAAAAUACAUUCAUUAUUAAUUAGGGUAAUUGCUUGAAUCAUUAAUGACUUUCCACACCAGUCUUCAAUAAUUAUUUAAGAUGAUCAACCAUGCCACUAAGAUAAAUAUCUUUCCUUAAUAGUCAUAGUGCUAGUCCACCUCUGUCCUACCAAAAAUUUUCCAUAUACAUCCAGUCAUUUAAACAGCUACUUUAUAAUACAUUCUAGUCUUACACUUUUAAAAGCCAAACUAUUAACUUCUUUUUACUGAUAACUAUUACCUCCUUUACACUACAUCUUCCUAGUGUUAAAGUAGUACAAAAUCCUACGAAAAUAUUAAGUACCAUUAAGAUCAUCAUCUUAGUCUGAACAUAUUGGAAGAUUCUACUCCAGGUCCUCUUCCUCCUGAGAUUUUCUCCUUUGUUCCUCAAUCCAAGCUUGUUGUAUUCUCCUACAUUCCUCAUAACUCACAGGUGCAGCAUUUCUUCCACAACUGGGAGGAAAAUGUCGUACAACAGAUCCCUUCCUAGGGCGGUGAUUUACAACAUUUACUUUUUCUUUAUUCUUUUCUUAUUGUUCCCUUACAUUACUCCCACAGCCUGGAGGAAAGUGUCGAACAACGGAUACAGAUACCUUCCUAGGAUGAUAAUCCCCUUCGGCUAUCAUUAUUUUCCCCCUUUCUUCAGCGUAUUCCUUAAACUCUUUCAAAAGGGAAUUUCUCAUGCUUACAUUAAUGUCAUUACUAUAAGCACUUUCAAUGGUCUCACAAGGGUCGAAGCUUUCUUUUUCACAAACCCCCAUUCCCAAAUCCAGUGGAAUCCUAGGCAAGAUACUUCUUGGACUACUUGGUUCGGGUUGCCAUCGGCUUCUAACAGUAGAAUCUAGCGAUCUCUUGUUAAUACUAUGAGAGGCAUCGAGACUAUUGUCUCUCCUAGACAUGAUGUGUCCAACCAGCACACCUCAAAACCUAUACGCAAUCAAACAGUAGUUUCUUAAUUAUUUACGCAUCACAUGAGCAGGUAGGUUUCGAUAUGUAGAUGCAUGAAUUCAACUUAACCUAACCUAACUUAACUUGGGGCCACACUAACACUGUAAAUUUUUAAAAUAACUUUAAAACAAAAAGCUCUGUGCUCUGAUCUUUAAAACCAAAAGCUUUGAUACCAACUUAAUUAUCACGACCUGGAACUCCCAUCGAGCCUGUGACAAUCACGGCGAUGUCUCGAUAGACAUUCAUUACCCGAAAUGCUAAUUGAAACCUCACAAGGCUUAACAUCAGUUUUCUCGCUUCCCCUGUGAGUAUUAGUUACUAAAAUCAUGUUUUAAAGUGAUAUGAAUUAAUUUCAAUUCAAAAACAGUCACAGAGAAGUUUCAACAACACAGAGGUAUUUUGGUUAUUUUUCCCAAAAAUUUCGAAACUAGCUAAAAUGUAGUAUAUAAGAGAAAUUUACACAUUUCAUAACCGAAAAUAAGUUUAGAUAUCUAAAACAUUCAUUUAAAGUGAAAUUAUGACUAUUUGAAUAUAAUAAAAAUAUUCAAUAAAAUAUUCUAUUUUCUUAUAAAACAAUUUUUAUAGAGUUAUCUGUAAGAAAUUUUUGUAGCGUAAAAGCAAAAUAAAUUCAUACGUACUGUAAUACAGAUAGUCAAGGUAUGUAAUUAAAUUUACAAUGACACGUGGGCCCCCAAAUGACUAAAAGUAAUGAAGGCUGUGAACCUACAGUUUUUGAGGAUGCAAGUCCAACUGUAGCCCUCAACGAAAUGAGCUAUCUACUGACUAUCCUGAGCCUAAAAUGGGUGGAAAGGAGGGUGAUGAGAUUAUAUAAUCCCAGUGAGUAAACAAAUAUCCUCUAAAAUAUCUAAAGUUGAGUAAAUGGAGACGAUUGAAAUAAAUCAUCAUACUGUAAUCCAUCACCUUUCAACUCAUUUCAACCAAAUAGAAUCAAUUCAUUUAUAUCGAGUAAUCAACAUGGCUUAUGAAUUUCUUAAAAUUUGGCUCGUGCCAAAAUUAUUCUCAUACUCAGUUGUUAGGAAUACCUUGGCCUAGGGCUAUCCCAACCAAGUUCGCCAAGGAUGUUAAAAAGUCAUGUACGCAUAAAUCAUAUUUUUAUUUUGAAAACAUAGCCGUUCUUUGGCGUUGGCUGAGUUCACCCUCACGUGGUGGUUGGGCAUGAAGUGAACUCUAAAUUUUUACCUAAGAAGUUACCCUACGCUCUUCUUCAAUCGAGGUAAGAAUAUAAUAGGGUUUACAGUGCCCCUCUAAUAGGCUGGUCCACAGAAACCCGCCACUGCAGUGACUAAUCAAUAACCCACCAAUUCAAUAAAAGUUUAGACAGCAUGACAUGGCAAUUUUAUCAUUAUCCAGCCUAUCAAGGCAAACAACAGUUUAUGCAUUUUCAACACAAAUACCCAUCCAGCCAUUCAUGCCCACAUUAUCAUAAGCCAUUCAAUUCAAAACAUAAUUUACAAUACAGCAAGUAGUCUCCAAUUACUCCAUUUUCACGUCAUCAUUAAAUUUCAAAACAAUUUAUAAAAUCAUUUCAUUUAAACACAUUUUUCGUAAAAUUACAAAAUCGGGUAAAAACGUACUUCAGAUAAUUAAGACGAUAAUAAGGCUAUUCACAGUAAUGGGAAUCGAAUUCGGGAUACUUUGAUUCUUGAUCCUCGGAUACUACUUCUUUACUCUUGCCAGAAUGCUCACCACCUAGACAUAAUGCACAAUAAGCAAUUUGCUACAUUUGUGCUAAACCGUUGUAAAACUAAUCUAAGCUCUAUAUGAAUGCAUGAAAUGGAAUGCGAAUUGUUCGGAUCAUCGUCUAAACACGGUGUUCUACAUAAAUUCAAUUGUGUACCUAAAUAAAAUGGUAUUGGCCUAAUUCGAUCUAUCACCCGAUUAAUUGACCAAUAUGUCCAAUUUAACUCCAAAUAACUUCAUUUCUCACCCAAUACUCCAAAUCAUCAAACUCAACUUAAGUAACAUAAAAUUUAGCAAGAUCAUCUUCACAUUUCUUCUUGGGAAUUUCGACCAUGGGGGGUGCAUGAACACUAUGGUUUUUCCCACUUGAUUUUUACACCAUAAAUCAUUAAUUCCUAACCAAAUUACUUGAAAUAAAAUCAAUUCCACCAUCAACACAUCAUAGGGAAGAUUCUGCCAAUGGAGGGUGAUGGAAGAAAAUGAAUUUUUCUUGUUUGCUUUCCAUGCUACACAUCACUAACUAACUAAAAACACUAGAAUAACAUGUUUUCUAGCUAAAUCCAAGAUCAAAACCCCUCCCCCCAUGUCCGGCCAGCAAAGGUAUCUUCAUGCAAACUUGAUUCUCAACUAUGGGAAAUGAAAAAGAAUGCAUAGGAAAGGUAGAUCACAAGCUAAAAUCAAGAAAUCUUAUCUUUUGUCACUUGAUUCCUUGAAAUCUAGUGAUUUUCCCUUGAAUUUCUUAGCUAGGGUUUUGUUCUUCUUCUUUUUUUCUCUUUUUCUCUCUUUGGCCAACCAAGAUAAAUGAGUUGGGAGGGUUAUGGGCUGAUUUUUAAAGCCAAAUAUAAAUGGAUGAAAAUUUGACAUAUGUCACCAUUCCAUUGGCCCAUGUGUCAUACUUACCCAUUAAGCAAUCUCUCUCCACCAUUUAAAAUUCCUCAAUUGUCCAUAAUAAAAUGAGGUGAAAUUCAUGUGUUGGACAAGUGUUGGGUGGUGAAAAAUUCCAAUUUUGCCCCUAGGCAGAAAAAUGACUAUUUUGCCCCUUAUGCUCAAAAAAAUGUCAAAAUUAAAAAUUUUCUCCUCUCAAACUCAAAUUAUGUUCUAAAUGGUCAAUCUUGGUGAAAAACUUCUUCCAACUUUCCAAUUUUAACCUUAGGUGACAAAAUGACCAUUUUACCCUUACGUUAUGAAAAUUCUAAUUUGACUCUAAAUCGGUCUUCGAAAUCCGAAUCACCAUUUUAAGUCAUUUUAGGGUAUUAAAAUUCUCAAUUUCAUCUUAAAAUCUCUAUUUGGACUAGUUUGAGGCUUAAUUCAACUUAAUUGUACCAUUUGGCACAUUGUCGUCCUUUAACGAUUUUCGAGGUACCGAAGUAAGCAAACAUACAUUCUUAUAUAAGAAUGACAUAAUAAAUAUAUUGUAGAGCCGGGCUUGACAAUGGGAGAAUGUUGAAGCUACUGCUUGCAUGUACCAAGUGGACAAAAAGCCAAGUGGCAAACCACUGGAAAACAUGCACAUUAGUACGUGUCUUUGACAAUAUUGAAGAACAGUAUGUGGGACUUUGCAAGUUUAUAUAUCAGCUAUGUUUAACACUUGUAAAUAUGUCCUUUAACAAGUGUUUACUAUGUGGUUCCUUAUGCCUUGUAUAUACUGUUAAUGAUGAAUGAAAAUCAUUGUGGCAUUCUCUCUUUGUACAUAUUUGUUUAGAGAUAUAAAACAGAAAUUGCAUCAUAAUAGCCAUAUACUUUUUUUCUCCCAAAAUUACAACAAAAAAAAAAUUAUAUGAACAUGAAACAAGGCCCUUUACCAAGUGUGAUUUCUCACACCAAAGAGAAGCCAAUAAUGAAUCAAAUGGCUAGUAGAGGAGGUGUCACUGGUAUAAAAAAAAUUGUUGGUAAAAAAAAAGGAAGGAUCUUCAGAAAAAAAAAAAACCUAGCAGCCUUUGAGAAAAGGGUUCGGAUCUAGCAAUCGAAACCGCACAAAAAUCAUACACAAAAAGCACAUAAAAUGAUAAAAAAAAAUAGGGAAAGAGGUUGAGGGACUUUUUGAUCAAAGAGAGAGAUUUCAAGUUUUUGAAGGAAAAGGGUUGAUGUCUCGAGUUUGUGCAUUAGGAUCAAAGGAAUUACUUCCAACGGUUUCUUUGUUAGUGGCUAAGGUUCUUGUGCUUAGAGAGAAAUAGGGAGUUAGGGUUUCUGGAGAGGCGAAGAGUGCUGGAAGUGCCAUUCAAGACUGGGAUAAGGUUAGGGAAAAUAAAUGACAAGAAUAGAAGAAAAAGCAUAUCUUUUAUAGUUAGGGUAUUUGUUUAAACAAUGUCGUUUUACUACAAACUAGAAGGCUUAAAUGGUUUUGUUUCUUGCUGUAAGGGAAACCUCCUCUUCACUAUGUCAAACAGUGGGUUUUAAGCUUGGAAAGGCUGAGAAAUGGGCCAAUUUGAGCCCAUGAUAAAAAAGAAGCUUUGAAGCCCUUGGGCUAUUCUAAGCCUAAGGUAGGUAUGGACUUUGGACUUUCUAGUUUGGAUUGUAUCAUAUUUUGGGGUUUGGACCUUAUUUGGGCUAUGCUGUUUGUUGUAUGAUGUUGGGCCAUUUGUCUUAUAGUUUAGUUUGUAUUAAGCCUUUACAUUUACAUAAUAAACAUUAGUUCUUUUCGUUUAGUUAAUAUUUUUUUUAAAAUAUAUACAUGUAUGAGAAUAAUAUAUAUACAUAUGCAUAUGCAUAAAAAAAUAAAAUGGUAGCAGUUGAAAAGGUGAAGAUAUAGAAUGAAUGAUUAGGAAAAUAAAAUAUUAUAUAAGAUGAUGGAGUUUUUACCGGGACAUGAGAAGUCACAAUUUUAGGUCAAUUUUCUUAGGUGAAAUAUUUGACUAAGACUCUACCAGUAUGAUGAAAGGGUUUUAGUUGUACGUCAAAAUAUUUAUUAAUCCAACUAAUAUCUUAAAUUAGUAACUAAGAAUAUAGAAAAUUGUUUACUUAGAGUAGAGAAAUAGAAUAUUCAUGUCUAAAAGAUAAUAAUAAUAAAAUAUAGAAUAUUUAUGUUCAAAGAAACGCAAGAAGUCGUAAUUGCGGGUUAAUUUUCUUAGGUGAGAGAUUUAACUCAAGCUAUGAUGGAAGUACUUUAGUUUUUAAGACUCAAUAUUUCUUAAUCUGAAUAAUAUUUUAAAUUAGUUAAUAAAAGUUGGGGAUACUAUAGAUUUAGAAUAGAAAUAUAAAAUAUUUAUACUUAAAAAAAGAAUAUAGAAUAUUUAUGCUUUUAAAAUUAAAAUACAUAAUAAUAUAAAACAUGUUAUUUCAAUUAUACCAAAGAUGGAAUUUUAAUCUGAGUCAUGAAAAGUCCCAAUCUUGAGUUAAUUUUCUUAGGUGGAAGAUUUGAUUUAAAUUCCACCAGUAUAGUGGGUGGGUUUUAAUCUUAAGUCUCAAUAUUUUAAUUCAAAUAAAAUUUUCUUCCUAAAUAUUAAUGGAAGUGUAUUAAUAAAAUGGGUAAGUAAACCGUCUGAAGCUCCAUGGAAUCUCAGACAACAUCUAAUUCAAAUACACAAUUUGCAGAAGGAUAUAAUGAGAUGGAAAGAAACGCAUGUCUUGAAGACCACAAAUGAUGUGGCUAACAAGCUGGCCAAGGAAGGAGUUACUAGACGUUCAGAUUUAAUUUGUGUGAUGGAAAGAGAUGAAGAAAGUUAAGGAACUCAAUCAGAUUCGCUUAGAAUUUGAUUUGGUCAUAAAGAGCUGUUAGGAUUCGAGUUGCCGUAGGACUGUUGUACCUUCAAACCGAAUGAAAUUGAAUUUAAAUGGAAUACCAAAAGUGGAUCUGUUUUGAUUGAGCUUACCUUUAAAGGAAUUCAGCUUAGCUUUAAGGAAGAGUCGGAUGUUGGUGUGAACACGGGUUUUGAUAUUAUAACUGUUGCGGACAGUCACGUUCUGGAUAUUGAGACAGCAAUGGUUUGGCUAAAAUAAAAUUCGUACAAGAGGAUAGCUUUGGACAAGCUCUGAUCGGGUUUGGAUUGGACUUUUACAAAGCAGUAUGGCUUUUUGUGAGCCUCAAUUAUGUUCUUAGAUUUCGGACAUCCCAACAUCCGCAGACAAUUUACUUAGGGGUUCUUUAUUUUAUUUCUAUUUAUUUAUCUUAUAUUUUCUUAUUACUAGUAGUAAUAAGUCCAAAGUAAAUUGCUUGGACAUCUAGUAACAAAAUUAUAUAUUUAUCCAAAACAUAAAAGCAUAUUAAUGAAAUGAAAAAUAAUAAUAAUAACAAUAUUAAAUAUAUAGUAUAAAAAAUUAUAAGUAUCGAAAUUUAUUCUAAGUCACCAUCACCUUAUUUAAUUGUCAUUGCAUCUAUUUGGAUAUAUUUUGUACACAAGUUGAGGUCUUAAUGAUAGGACUUUUUGAGAGGCUUGCGACGACAAAUUCUCUCGAAAAAUUCCCUAACUGAAAGAAUACUUUCGGGUCCCAUGAAUAUAAAGGGAGGGCCUCAAGAAUAUUUUUAAUAAAAUGCCUUUACUCGUAUUAAGAUUUACAUGACAUGAAAAUGUUUUUACCCGCAAAUGAUUAUCUUGGGUUUUACUUCAUAAGCUUAGAAAGGUGAGUUUUCUCGAAUAAUUUCCUAUAUAAAAGAGUAUCUCUGUAUCCCACUAGUACGAUGGGCAGAUUUGAAAAAUAUUCUCAAUAAAAGGUUUCAUGUGACAUUUAAUUGAGAUUUAUACCAUACAUUCCAUAAUUGCAUCAUGUGCACGUCAUAGAAAUAAACCAAUUAAUGGAAUUUAGGUUGCGAAUAAAAUUAAAAGAAUAUAAUGAAUAAUAAUUAAGAAAACAUAAGAAUAAAAUUAAAAAUUAAGGUAAAAUAGGAUAACAUAUGAUUAAAUCUACCAAAAAUCAAUAUAGGAUCUGAUCGAAUAAAAUGAAUUUAAUAGGUGACGAAUCGCAUCAUAAAAAAAAUAUUGGUAGUGACUCCGACACUUUCUCGUCCCACCCAGACUUUCUCGUCGAGACUGACAGAUUCUCAAACCGACACAUAGUGACAAGAAGAAAAUAAAUUUAUUUUAUCCCAAUAUGGUAAAGCAAUUGAUUGUGCAUAUGCAACAUAAAAUUGAGACAUGCUGCUAUUAAAAUUUAUUCAAACAUAAUACUUGAGUUAUUUUCUGUCAACUAGUAUAUAUAAUGUUAGUAAAAUUUUUGUAUUGAUGAAAAUGAAAAUAUUUACUUAUUAUAAUUUUAAAUAUCUUUUAUUAUAAAUAUUAGUAAUAAAAUUUAUAUAAUUUAUACCAUAGAAUUCUGAUUAUAUUGAACGAUUUUUAUUAAAAAAUUGUUUUUUCUAAUUCUAUUAGUAUUAUAUAUUUUAGUAAUAAAUAACAUAUUUUUAUUUAAUUUUAAUUCCAAAUAUAUUUAAAAUAUUAAAAUAUUAUUUUAUUAAUGGGCAUGAUUUUGUGAGGAGUUCUUUCAUUAGAAAUCAGAUAUGGGUAGGUUUGAUUUUUUUGGUCAUAGGGGUUUUCGUAUUUUUAUUCUUUGUUUAUUUCAAUUUCCUUGUAACAAUAAAUCCAAAGUAUUUUUCUUUGACAUUCAACAAUAAAUUUGGGUAAUUUUUUAAAAAAUAUUAAUUAAAUAUUUUUAUAUUAUGAAAUGAUAAAUAAUAAUGAAUGAGCAACCCAAGCCGAGCAGAGCUUAACUUUUAACGAGAAGGCCUAAUUCGUAGAUACUUACAUGUUUUCAAUCCUUUCUUGCUACAUUAACGGUCACGUAUCCCAGUUGUAAUAUACAAGUCUCGAAAUCAUUAAGUUAUAAGCUUAAGUUUCGGUGUAAGUAGGUUUACUCUAAUUUUAUAUGGGAUUUUUUUAAUUAUAAAUUCAAAUUUAUUUAUAUGUGAUAUAAUAUUUAAAAAAGACUUGUAAAUUAUUUAAAAAAAUUCAAAUAAGUCUUUAUUCUUUCUAUUACUAAUAGUUGACUAAUUAUCAUUAAUUUAAAUGUUAUUUGUAAUUUUGUACCCAUAUGACACUGAUAUGACCUUGAUGUGAAUGAUAAAAAAUGUCACGUGGAUAUGUCAUCAAGUCACAUUAGCCAGGGACGGAGGAUAGUACUCCAAAAUUUUUAAAAUUAUUUAUUUAUCAUAUAUUUUUUAAAAAAUUUUCUUUAAAAUAUUAUUUUUUAAGCCCCUCAAAAUAAAUUUUUAUUUAUCAAUUAAUAAAAAUAAUAAAUAAUAAAUUGACCCACAAGCCUUACUUAAUUUUACCCCAAUUGUUAAGUUUCUCCACACCUCUUUCCCUUUUUCUUUUUCUCUUUCUAUUUUAUUUUGUUCUUUUAUUUUUACUUUACUCUCUUCUCUGUAACGUAACACUAAAACACACCUCAUUCCUCAAAAAAAGAUUUAUGAGCUUGUGAACUUAAACAAGGAAAGAUGAGGACCACACCAUUGUCUGAAAUUAAGAAGAAGUAAAGUUAUCCUUUAUGUUCUUUUUUCUGUUUAUAUUAUUUAACUAUUUAUAUAUUUAACUACUGUGUGAAAUCCUUUAUCUGGUAAUUAACUAUUUAUAUUUUAUGCAUUAUAGUUUUAUAUUUAGUAUUUUAAGUUUAAAUAGAAAUAAAAUAAGAAUAUUGGAUGUUGACUGCAUUAAUUUUUUUUUAUAUUUGAUUAAAGUAUGAGUAAGCUAAAAAGAAUUGACAAAUUCUUUAAAAUAAAAAGAUGGAAAUCGUCCAAAUGAUUCUCCUACACUUAAACCACCAAGCCUCAAUGCUUCAACUCAUGAACAAAAGCAAUUAAAAUUGAAACGCCUAAGCACAAUCUUGAAAAAAUUGUUGGUUAAGUUCAACAUUUUAACUUUUAAAAAUUUUUCGCCUUUAUUCCUCUUAAUCUUUAGGCCCCCAAAAAAAUGGAUUAACUUCGUCCCUGACAUCUAAAUGCCACGCCAUCAUCUAUUAUAAUAUUUUAACAUUCCACGUCAACAUCAUAUGACAUAAAAUGAUAAAUGAUAUUUUAAUUGAGUCAACCAUUAGUCAGAAGCACUUAUUUGACAAUAAAAAAAAAGUAUAAGAACUUGAUUGAAUGCAAUAAAAGAAUAAAAAUUUAUUUGAAUUUAAGGAUUUUUUUCGAUAUUAUUUCUUAUUUAUUUAUUAAUUGAACAAGUGUUUUCUCCAAAAAAUAAAAAAUAUUAAUACAGUUGAACAACAGUUAGUGAAGUAAAAAUUUGCUCUCUACGUUUGUUACCUUCAAGAUCAUGAUAAACUUGUUUAAGAUUUGGUGAUUAAAAAAGUGACACAAAUUUAAAUAUUAAGUAUCUUAAAUUUGAGUGAUCUAAUUUUGAAAAUUAAAUUUUUUAACGUUUUCUAUUAUUUCAAAUAAAAAAUGAAAGAUUAGAAUCCAAUCUUAAGUAAUGAAUUCAUAUAUUUAUCCUUAAAUCAAAUACUCAAAUGUAAAUAUUCAAAACUAAAAAUUUCACCAAAUUUUUAGGUUGUAUUUAAUUUCUAAUUGUCUUCCCUUCAAUUCAAGUUAGUGGAGAAAAAGACUUGAUUGUUUGGAUCAAGUGCUUAGGAAGCAGGGCAAUCAAGAAAUGAGGUAGCCAAGUAGAAAUUCUAGUUAGGGAGGAUCCUAGAUAAUUUGGGGGAUAGUACCAAUCUGGGGACACAUUUUUUUUAGCCAUCAAAUAUAAGGUGUUUUUAGAAAUAACCCUUCUCAUAAUUUUGACAAAUUUUAGCCAAGAGAAAAGAUUUUGGGACAAAAAUGCCCUUAAUGAAAUCUCUUCCUUCAUGUGCACUGUCAUACACACACAAAUAGGCGAAAAUAAAUCUACCAAGAAUUUGCUACAUGACAUUUUGUUAAAAACAUCCUCAUGUUGUAAGAAAUGAUUUUUCUUAUUUUCGGACAUUAACGUUAACACAAAUGUAGGUAUGUUACACAGCAGGUAUACUAAAUGAUUGUUUGAUCCAUUCUCAAAGAUAGGAAAGUGUUGAAUAAUUUCAUAGCAAAGUAAUCAAUUAUAGCAAAGAAGUUCACAACAAACGGUAAGUUAAUGAAUGUUGAAUUUUUUGUUGUGUUUUUUAGUGGGUUUAGUGAUUUGAAUGCCAUAUUGCUUGAGAAUGUGGUUAAGCGUUUUGGCGUUAAAUGGCAUUUGGUUUUGUUUGAAGUUGUUGAAAUCCCCAGAGAUAUUACAUGCCAUGGCCAUUUGGGUUGAAUGUUGUAAGCACAUGGAGAGAAAAUAGGCAUGGCGUGUAACAACUCUUGAGAUUUCUCUAAGUGCAUGAACAUGGCAUGUAGCAACCAGUGAAUUUUAGGCAUUAUGUGUAUCAUCUUAGGAUUAUAUGCAUGGCAUGUAGCAUGUUAUUAAUUUUAGGCAUAUCUUGUAACAAAAAUGGUAUUUUAUGCAUGGCGUGUAACAAAUUAUUCAUUAUACAUGGCAGUAGCAACCAAGAAUUUAUAGGCAUGGCAUGUAAGAAAAUAAAUAUUUUUGAAAAUGUCAUGGAGCUUCUCUGUGUUAACUGAUCAUUGCAUGUAGCUUACAUGUGCAUUAUUGUCACGACCCAAAUUCCGGGCCAUGACCGACGCAUGGAUCCAAUGGAUGUAAUCCACUAAACCCAAGCAAGCCUAUUAUUUAUCUUACUCAUCAUUCUAUAAUAAACUACUAAGUCACAUUUCAUAACUUAGAAUCAAAAUAGUGAUAUACAUUGCCAACUCGUACUGGCAUUACUCAUUUAAAAUUUACAUACCAUGUUUACAACAUGAAUUCUAAUAAUGUACAUCAAGUUUGUCUAUACAUCUCAAAAAGAAGACUCAAUUUCCAGCAGAGUGACUCGGAUGAAUAUAUAGCUACCGAAUGCCGAGACACCUACCAAAAGAUGGACACAGGUCUACAAAGACACCUCAUCCUAGUUACCGGCUGCCUCGUGAUCUGAAAACAUGAAUUUGAAAAUGGUGAGUAUAAACCCAGUGAGUGAACAAGAAAGGGAACAAGCAUACCGUAAGGAAUCUUUAAUGAAACCAUGAUGCAUUCUUUUUCAAAACAAUGCAAUUUGUUCUAUUCUUAUUAAAGACCCCUCAUUAAACCCUUAUAUGAUUAAUCAAUUGGUAAUGAGGAACCCAUACAUAACAAUUAAUUCCAAAAAUAAAAGCUUCAGUGAUACACUAACAAGUCAAAUGUGACGACGAAUCUUCGCUGCAGCGAGAAUGAAUUUUCGUUGCAGCGACAUUGGGAUUUAGCUAUUAGCAGAACGAGGGUUUCUUAACUGGCCAAGGGUUUCUCACUAAACCUCCUACUUUUAAACUUAAUUCAUUAAAUCCUUAAUGUUGGAAGUCCAUGCUUUGAUAUGGUAGCAAAUAAGUGAAAGAUAGGACAACAAUUGGACAAGAUAGGAGAUCAAAACAAAAUGAUUUUCGCUACAGCGAGAUUUAAUCUCGCUGCAGUGAAAUUUCAACCCAGAAACAGAAUGUUUCUCGUUGCAGCGAGAUUCAAUCUAGCUGCAGCGAAAUUGCUACCCAGAAAAUAGAAAGUUUCUCACUACAGCGAGAAUGUAUUUCGCUACAGCGAUAAGCUAUAGUGUCAUUCUUGCUACAGCAAAAAUGCAUCCUCCCUGCAGCGAGUUUUCGACCAGUGUACCCUUUCAAAACCCGAGAGUUUCUCACUGUAGUGAGAAUGAUUUUUGCUGCAGCGAGAUACAGGGCAGCAAUGAAAAUUUCCCCUUUUUUCUCAAAGAAAACCACCAUACUGAAAUGUUCAAACCACAAGAAACACAUUACACUUUUUCAAGGCUUAACAUGUCAAGUUUCACACGCAUUACAACCAUAAAUCAUUGUCCAUUAAUUUGCUAUAACACACAUAUUCACAUAUGUAUAUAUAUAUAUAUAUAUAUAUAUAUAUAUAUAUAUNNNNNNNNNACAACCAUAAAUCAUUGUCCAUCAAUUUGCUAUAUCACACAUAUUUACAUAUAUAUAUAUAUAUAUAUAUAUAUAUAUAUAUACGUAUAUAUAUAUAUGUAUAUACCCAUCAUCAUCAUCUCACCAACCCAUCAUCAUCAUCACCAGCUCAUGCGCACUCCUUACUCGCACAUAACCGGGUCGUCCUCGGUCUAUGCGCACUCUCUACUCGCACAUAGCUGAGUCAAUGUAAUUACACAACAUUAUAUUCAAGCAUAUAUGUAUAUCAACAUAAUGCAGCCACAUAGAAAUCCAUAAUAUCACAUAUCAUAACGUAAACCAUUUCACAAGAGCUUGUUCCCAAGGCAUUCAUUUUUGAGAAAAAUUGUAUAAAAUCAUUCAAACACUUUGUUCAAAACAGUCAUUUUCCCAAAACAAUUUUGAUAGGUAGUCCACUCACCAAUUAGUUGUAGAACCUUUAGAUGACUCCAAUUCCCUUAAUUGUCCAAUUGGAAGGAUUGGACUUCCUUAAAACCUAGGAUCACAUUAACAUAAACAAUAGAUCAAUUUACACACUAUGAACUUUAAAAGCUAUCUUUUAGCUAGUUUUCAAUUGCUACAUUAAAUGGCUAUCUAUGUUCACUAUCUUAAUCACUAAAAAGUAAUGAACAUACUCAACAAUAAAACAACUCAUAAAUCACAAUUACUAGCCAUUUUCUGCAGCUAAAAUCAAGCUUAAUUCAUCACUUACCCUAGGGUUCCUUUGUAGUCAAAUUCUCUUCCAAUUGCUUCCAAGUCAAUAAGGUAAUUCUCUUUUUCUCUCUCUAGAAUGCCCAACUAGUGAGAGAAAGUCUGGAAAUAAGCUUUAUCAAGGGUUUUGAAGUGAGAUAGUGAAAGAAUUCAAAGGUUAUAGUCAAUAGGGUUCAAAGGUAUGAAAACUAGAGCUAGAGAUAGAAAAUCAAGCAAGCUUCAAAUCAAGCUUCCAUGGAGUUUUGAAGAAACGUGAGAGAGGAGAAGAAGAAGAAGAAGACCAGCUGUUGGAAAUUCAAGGUAUUUAUAGGCAAUCUUAUCCUUUCCUAUAAAAUUACGAAAAUGCCCCUCCACCAAUUAACUUACUCUCCUCCAAUAUUUUAUGCAAUAUUUUUGCUCUUUAACACUGGGACAAGAUUCAUAAUGGUCUAGACAUGCUCGGGUUCAUAAAAACUUAAAAUUUUAACCCGAAGUGAAAAAUGACCAUUUUGCCCUUGUUAUGAAAAUUGUUGAAACUUCUAGUUUUUCUUAGUGUUUUCAUCAGUACACAUCAUUUAUACUGUCUUAUGCCUAUUUAGGCCUUAAAAUAUCAUAAAACUUUAUUCUGGAAGCUUAUUAGAGAAAAUGAUGAAAUUACCCCUAGCUCAUAUUAUUACAUUUAUGCUUAGUUACAAGCCUAUAGAAGUUGAGGUCUCACAAUUAUUGUAUUCUGUUGUAGAUGGAUUUUAGGGAGUAUGAGAACGUUGAUGUGAAACCAAAGGAAUAACAGAUCGUGGAGACUCAAAAAGAGGACGAUAUGAAAUUAGAAUUCCCUACUAUUGUGGUGACUGAAAAUGAGGAAAAUGUGAAACCAUAAUUCCCUAAGGGUUAUUUAUGUGUCGAUCUCCUGCACGACAUCAUGCUUUGUAGAAUCAAUGACCUAGUACAAUGGAGCAUUAGUACAAAGUAACCGAGAGAAACAAGCCAAAAUGGAUACAAUGUCCAAGGAUUAAUCGCAAUGUCUGCUAUUGCUAAUUAAAGCUUAACCGACUUGGCGAAGUGCGAAUAAGAGACAAAAAGAUUAAUCAUUUGGACAUGUGGCCAUGUUUGCAUCAUUGCACUUGUUUAGGCUUGAGUGUUGAGUGUUUAGGGUUUAUGGUUGAAGGUUUAGGGUUUAAUGAUAUGAGAAAAUUGGAAAUCACUAAAAUAUGAGUGAAGUAGAAUUAAUAGAAUUUUGCCAUACUUUGAGAAUGACUUACAAAUGACUUCAUUUACAUGUUGAAUUACGUAGCUAUUUAUAGUAGUAGAAAAGGUUUAGCUAGAAAGAAAAACAUAUAAAUAAAUGAAUAUUCAAAAUGGAGCAACUUCAAAAUGAAACAGUUUUCAAGGAAUGUAAGUGAAAAGACAUUUAGUCCUUAUACAUUUAAUCACAAUAAUGAAAAUGAAGACUACUAAUUUAGCGUCUCAAAACUCUGCACCUAAAUUAGAAGUGGGUGGUGAUUGAGGUUUGUCUAAUGCGUUUUGAUAAAUCAAAAUGCAAUUUUUUUUCCGAUCAAAGGCACCCAUGUUGUUUAAAAAUCAAAGAAAAUCCCUUAUGAAACCUUAGGUUUAGAAGUUUCAAAUUCUUGGGUUUAGGGUUGCUGAGGGCACGUAUUGAUCCGGUGAGAAGCUACUUCAAACCUUUGUGAUCAUUUCAACCGUUUGAGUUUCAUUAAAAACAACUCAAAAUAAAAAUCCCUACAUGGCCACUAGCCCCACGUGCACCAAAACCAUUGCUCGGUAAUUUUUAGGCAGGAGCAGAGUUGAUAGUAGCAUUGAAAGACCUAAUGCUUGACCAGAUUCAAUUCCAUUUAAAAUCCUGUCCUUGCUUCCCGCAAUAGAUGUAGUUAACACCUUCGUUUUAUCAAGUAUGUGGAAGUUUCUUUCUUCGCUCGUUAUUACUCUUGCUAAUAUGAAGAUCUUGAAAGUUAUCAACCUUUUAGGUGUACAAUAUCUGUUACAUUAUGGCAAAGUGUUCAAGAACUUUAUUUACAAAUGUACAUUAUAAAUGAUUAUAAGGGUUUGUUGCCUGCGAGUCUCUUUAGAAAUAAAACACUCAUGAAAUUGGAACUAUCUGUUUAUACUAUUAUUGUUUGGAGCAUCUCGACUGACAGAUCCUUUCUACUAAAGACUAUCAAUAAUGGUGGUUUAGACUUUGUCAAUGAUAAUUUGGUUGGAAGGCUUUUGCUUGAUUGCCCUAUGCUUGAAGAGUUCUUGAUUCGAUCUUCUCGUCAAUCUAAAAGUUUUACCAAUUUAAAUAUUUGUAAACAUGACUGAAAAGAUUGAAUUGAGAUGAUCAUGGUGAUAUGUCCGAUAUAAACCUUUUCAUCUUGGCCUUGAUGCCUUAAGUAUUGUCUACGUCAAAUCCAAUUAUUGUUGUGUUCGAUUAAAAAGCUACUAAUUAGUAAACUUACAUUCUCUUGUCAAUCCUGACAUGAGUGAUCAUGUAAUGGCCUUUGAGAUGAGUUCAACGUUGAUGCUACAUGUAAUUUGUUUAAUGGAAUGAGUAAUGUUCGAUCACUUCAGUUCAAUGAUGAGUUACUAUGGGUAAGUUCAUUGAAUUUUUCUUGUUGAUGCAACAUUUUGAUGGGAGGAAAUUUUGAUAAAUGGUCACACAAAUAUCCUUUUUGAAAAUAUAGUCUUUCAUGUCUCAUAAUUGAGAGUUUCAAAAAAGAUCUCAAAGAAAUGCUUGUAAAUUCUUUCAUCAUUGAUCUAUGUUUAAUAUUUUGAGUAGUGUAAUAUAAUGAAUUUACCUAAUGAACAAUAGUUACAUGUUGGUCAAAAGAAUUUACCAUGGUAUGCUGACUAUGUCAAUUUCAUUGUAAGUAAGCUUCUCUUUCUAAAUUUAACUUUUCAGCAAAGAAAGAAAUUUUCACAUGAUGUUAAAUUAUAUAUUGGGAUAAACUAUUUUUGUUUAAGCAAUGUGUUGACAGAAUGAUAAGAAGGUGCAUUCCAAAGGAGGAAGUUGAAAGUGUGAUGAGACAUAGUCACUCGUCAGAAUAUGGGGGCCAUUUUGGAGGAGAUAGAACAAAUGUAACAUUCCCAAAUAUGAUGUAAAUUAAGGUAAUUGAGAAUGAAUUACAAAAUAUGUGAAGUCUUGAGGACUUUAAUGAUAUGACAUAUAUGCCAAGUGUUGGAGAGUGAACAUAUUGACACUUAGGCAAAAUUUUAAGGAAAUAGGUGAUAAAUCCCAUAAUUUGAGGUUUUGAUUUAAGUUUGACUUCAUAUUUGUGAAUAUAUAUGUAUGGGAUUAAGUUAAAUGGAUGAUUUGAGGUGUGAUAUUAAUAGGAAAUAAAAUUAGGGGGUUAGACUUGAAUUUUUGGAAAUUUGGAAAGCUGAAAAUUGACUACAAGAGAAAAUGCAUUGAUACAUCCCCAAAUAUGUCGAUACAUUCUUGGCAAGAUAAACAAUAAAGGCUUUCAGUAGAUUUUCUAUUGAUACAUUCAAGAAUAUAUCAAUAGAUUUGGCCAAAGAUGAACAUGUAUUGAUACAUUUGAAGCAAAAAUCACCCAACGAAAAAAGUAUCGAUACAUUCCCUUUAUGUAUCAGUACAUGUUGGGUAGUGAGCCAUUCUACCCGAAAUCUAUUGAUACAUUGCAAAUGUAUCAAUAGAUUUAGUUGAAAUACGGGCAAAUGUAUCGAUACAUCACUGAAAGCAAGGCAAACAUAAAAAAGGGUUCACGAGCAUUUCACCUAUUUAACAAAAACCCCCAAACUCUUUCUCUCUUUACCAUCUCAAAAACCUAUUGCCCCAUAUGAAUUCUGGGAGCUAUUUGGACCUAUUCUGAGCUUGUGAAACACCUCUAGAGGUAAGAUUAAACGUUUUAACCAAUUAUUUUUCAAUUUAUUCUGUUAGAUUCUAAGAAAUCUAGUUUUUCCAACAUUGGUGAAUCUCCCUCGAUUCAGCUCGAAUUUGGAGCUAAGAUCCAGGUAAUCUAACUUUGAAGGUAUGAGUUUAGCUCAUUGUUGAUGGAUUUAAGCUUAAAUAGUUGGAUUGCUAAGAUUUGGUAAGUUUUGAAAAAGCUGGCAUUUUUUAAAAGCUAGGAUUUAACUAAUAAUUUAAUGUUUGAUGUGUUCUAAGGGGAAAACAGAGUUAAUUCAACUCGUUGGUGAGUUGAAGGACAAUUAGAGGCUAAAGAUCAAAGUUUGGCUUGGAGUACUUCUAAUUUGUCAUGAUGACUGGGUUAAUUAAAUGCAUGUAAUGCAUAACGCAUGGAAAAUGCAUUGCACUGGUAUUAUAUUAUGCAUGUAAGCCUAGAUGAACAUGCCUAGGCUAAAGAACAAAUGUUUUAUGUGCAAGUAAGAAUAUAUGUAUGUAUAUUUAUAUAUGUGUGUAAAUGAUAUGUGUUGAGGUUAUGUGCCUUAGUGCAAUGCCAUGUGGAUGGUUUAUAUUGUGUAAGCCUAGGCUAGAAUGUCUAGAAGCUAUGGUUAACCCCUAAGAGUAGGUUACCCUAGGUUAAUGAUGUGCUAAGAGAAUUUGACCAAAUGAUGCCUUAAGGAUAUAAAGUACUUUAGAAUGUUAAACAAGCUUAUAAACGAUUAAAGCUCGAUAAAUAUGAUUUGAGAUAUGUUGUGGACAUAUGGAAUGGUAAAGGCAUGAUGACCUCAUUGUGGAUUGUGUUCCGUCCGAGGGAUGAAUUCUGGACGUUGAUCUGACUUGUGGAUGAAUGGAGUUUUGUCCCCCUGUGACCUUUGUGUGCCUAUAGGGAUGGUGGUAAGCAAGGAUGGUGGCAUUAGUCCCGCUUAUGAUUCCCACCUGUGGUGUUUAGAUGCCACCUGUAGGAGAUUAUUUCAGGUGAUGCCGACCGCUAGGAGAUUACGUCGUUUGAUGACUUUGAUUCUUCAUCAACUACUUCGACGCUAUGUGUAAUCUGUUCUCCCUAAUGGCUUUGCCUUGAAUGUGAUUUGAUUCUCCACCGGUUGGACACUGAAUGUGAUUUGACUACGUCUAAGGGAGGAUCACUCGUUGAUGUGAUUUGCAUAUGAGAUGAGAUAGUCGUGGAAAGGCUUAAAUAUAUAUGAUGUGAUACUCCGACGACUAGAGUGUGUCAUGGAGAUUGAUUUAGAAUAUCUUGAAUUGGCUUCGAGAGUAAGUCUAAUGAUGAGUGUGGCCAAUGUAUGGUCGUAUGAACAUUUGUACAGAUUGUGAGCCAAGGAUAAUGCAUAUUAUUUGAAUUUUAUGAUGAAUAUUUGACUAUUAAAUCCCUUGGCAUUUACGUUGUAUGAUUUUGGACUCUGAGGCUUGCUCGAGUCUAGUGGACUUGUCUGUUGAACUCGUGCACUAGUCAUGAACUUUCAGGUUUUAGUCAUGACAGAACAGCAGCCAAAGUUCUUAAAUUAGGUUUGUAUUGGACAACACUAUUCAAGGAUGCUCAUAAGUUUUUUUUGCAUUGUGAUAGAUGCCAAAGAAUGGGGAACAUUUCUAGAAGACAUAAGAUGCCAGAUAGCAACAUGUUGGAUGUAAAAAUUUUUUAUGUCAGGGGAAUUGAUUUCAUAGGACCAUUUAUAUCCUCCUUCAACAACCACUACAUUUUGGUGGCUAUUGACUAUGUGUCAAAGUGGGUCAAAGCCUUAGCUCUACCCUAAAAUUUCUACAAAAGAGCAUCUUCACCAAAUUUGGUACUCCAAAUGCUAUUGUGAGUGAUGAAAGGAGUUACUUUUGUAAUAAGUAUUUUACAACAUUAUAACUAAGUAUGGAGUGACACACAAGGUUGCCACGGUCUAUCACCCUCAGAUGAGUAAGCAAGUUGAAUGGUCAAACCAAUAGAUCAAGAGAAUUUUAGGGAAAGUGGUAUCUCCAUCAAAGUAGGAUUAGGCCAAUUGACUUGAUGAUGCAUUAUAGGCAUAUAGGACCACUUAUAAAACUGCAAUAGGUAUGUCCCCAUAUCAAUUGGUAUUUGGAAAAGUGUGCCACCUCCCGAUUGAAUUAGAGCACAGUGCAUUUUAAGCCAUCAAGAAUUAAAUUUUGAUUUAAAGGUAAUGGGUGAGAAGUGUUUUCUUCAAUUAAAUAAGAUGGAUGAAAUUCACUUGGAUGCUUAUGAAAAUGCCAAAUUAUACAAGAAAGAGACAAAGCGAUGGCAUGAUCAAAAGAUUGUCGAGUGGCAUUUCAAGCUAGGUCAGCAUGUGUUGUUGUUCAAUUUAUGAUUAAAGCUAUUUUCAAGCAAGUUAAAAUCAAGAUGGUCAAGACACUUUAUUGUAUCCAAGGCGUUUCCCCAUGGAGUAGUAGAAAUAGUAGAUGGGUCAACUAAUAAGACAUUUGAGGUGAAUGGGCAACAAUUGAAGCACUACUAGGGAGGAAAUACUGAUCGCCAACAACCUUCCAUCGAUCUUUUCGAUUCUAAAUGAGCUUAAAAAAAUCCAGCUAAUAACUAUAAAGGAAGCACUUCUUAGGAGGCAACCCAAGUUUCUCAUCUUAAUUUACUUUAGUAGUUAUUUUUUUAGUUUUUAGUUUAUUUACAAUUUUUUUCUUAUCAUUUUAUGUUUCUUUUCUAUUCUAUGUUUGAUUUUGCAAGUCUUAGAAAUACAAUAGAGUAAAGUGAUAUUGAAAAAAAAAAAGUGAGAGUCACAACCUUCACAUUGAAAGCCACAGCUCUAAAAGCAGGUAACAUAAUAUCUACAAAUAGAAUGGUUGAGCACCGCGACCUUCAUUUCUUAGAGACACAACGUUGGCACAUGAAGAAAAAAAAUGUCCAACAUAGAAUGGUCGGCACUGGAAUUAGGAAUUAAAUUUGCUAGAAAUAGAAAGCUUGAGUGCCACAGCAUUGAAACAUGAAGUGUAAUGCUUCAAGUGUAGACCAAGCGAGAGUCGUGGCUCUCAAAGUGAGAGCCAAGGCGUUGAGUCGAGGCCCAGCCCCAACCUUGUUUAAGACAUGAUUUUCAUCAGUCUUCUCACAUUCUGCAAUAGCUUCAACACAUAACCUAAGCUCCUAAACAAUCCUUUUUCUUCCUCAUCCCCUGGUUCUUGCCUCUACAAUACUCACCCACUUGUGCUUUUAAAUUGUAAGUGUGUGCAUUUAUCUCAUUCACCAUUCCUCAUCUUCUCCAUAUAUGCAAUCAAUUAAGUGCUUUCUUCAACAAUUUUCAUUUGUUUUGAGAAUUUUUUGUUGAUAGUAAUUGCCAUUGCUAGAUUCCAUAGAUUUUACAUAUUGAUGGUAACUUGCACGUGGUUGGUGAUGGGUUUGAAGAUUUUCUUCUUGAUUAUGCUUUGGGGGAGGUGAAUUCUUGUUUGAUUGAUGAUGAUUAUAGUGAAAUUAUUACUGAUUAUGGGUUUGGUUCAUAGAAUUUUGUGUGCUUGCUAAUGCAUAUGUUGAAAGUCUUGUUUCCUAUGGUGUGAGUUGGUAGAAAUUUGCUUGGUGGAUAAUGGGCAUGUAGCAGAAGUUGCAAUUUUGGGUUGGGAAACAAUUAGACUAUGGCAUUUACAAACAUGGUGAUUUUGGAAAUAAUUUGUGCUAAAACAAUUUGGUUUGGUUUCUUUUACACACUUAUUAUAUUUUGUGCUCAAAUUUUUUUUAGAUAUUGGAAAUAAUUGAACUCUUGUUAUUUUGGUUGCAUUUUAUCUUUGUUGGUUUUUGGAAAUUCUACAAUAAUGGCACCUAAGCGCUCAAAACCAAAUUAAAGUGGCACAUUCGAUCGAGCAAAGUUUGUCUCAAUGGAUGCUUCAACAAGAUAUUAUAAUUUGAUGAUUAACAAUGUGCCUAUCCUUGAACGAGGUUUAAAUAUUCCUCUAGUCCAUUAUGAAGAGAUACAUAAGAUGAUUGAAGAAUGACAUUUGCAGCAAUUUUGUGCCUAACCUAAAGCUGGGGUUGUGCCAGUGGUAAAGGAAUUCUAUGCGAAUGUAUUUGAGCAUGUUGAUUGGGUUGUUUUGGUCCGUGGCAAACAGGUACCAUUCGACAGUUAGGCCAUUAACAAAUUCUUUGGAACUCUAAACCUUAAAAAUAAUGAAUACAAGCAAUAUUUGGGAGAUCAACAAGAUAGUGAUGUGAUCAUCUCGGAGCUUUGUGUUAUGGGAACCCAAUGGAAAACAUCUCAUGGAGAGCUUGUUUCGUUCAAAUGAAGUGCCAUGAAGAAGGAGCUAAAAGUGUGGUUACAUUUUUGCGGCAGCAAGAUUGCUCCCAUCUACCCACAUCAGUGAUGUUACCAAGGAUCGUACAAUUCUUACGUAUGCUAUUUUGACUCAUAAAUACAUCGACAUCGGGAAGGUUAUUUCUCAUGCUAUACUUCACACAUGUCGAAUCAAUCGAGAUGGUAUAGGAUUUCUUUCUUUCAUAACUGCUUUGUGUGGAAAAGCUGGUGUAUGAUGGAAUGAUAGUGAAGAGUUGCAGCAAUCUAAAAUUCAAACCACCAUUGGAAUUCUGAGGCAAUUGGAAGAGUCCACAGUAGUGGCUGGUAGUUCUUCUCCAACUGUUCCAUAACCUCCACAGCGAGCUCCAACCCAUAGUGCAAAUGGAUGGAAUGGAUUGAUCAUCAUAUGGACCGCCAAGAAAGGUAGAAUAGAACACUUCAGCAAAUUAUGUGAGGCUAAGAAAAAACAUAUUGGGAUGGAUAUGGCUGUUUUCCUUUCGUUGCCCACGAAUUCAAACUCUGAUGACGAUUUUAGUAAGGAUGAUAAAGAUGACCAAUACGGUGCAGCUAUAGUUUAACGGAGUAUUUUCUUUUCCUUACUUUUCAUAAUAUUAGGGAUAAUGCUUACUUUAAGUGUGGGGAGGAAGUUUUUAAAUUUUCAUGUCUUUGAUUAUGUUUUGAAGUUAAGUUUAGUUGUUUAGCAUGAUAAUUUAGGAGUAGUGAAUUUAGGAAAAUGUUGAAAAACUAAAGCUAAAAUUAGUGCACUAAUGAAAUUGAUUCGCCCAUCCAAUGAUGAUAACUAACUAUUUUGUUGAUCUUUUACUCUUAGUUGUUUGAAUGUCAUGUGGAGUCUUGUUAGCAUCAUGAUCGGAUGAAAUUUUCAUACUUGAGCACUAUAUCUCUACAUUGAAAUAUCCUAUCUCUUUAGAGAAAGUUUAUGUAAAUGAAGAUUUUAUAAAUAUGUUUAUAGUUUUAGAAUUUGUUUAAUUCUUCCUUGAUGCAAAAUCAUAAAGCUAUACUUAGUCAGGGACUUGACUUAGGCCAUUCUUGGACUAAUUGAGCCUUUCAAGCCAACCUAUUUACAUCUUUAUCUAUAAUAUGCCCCUUUGAGCUUAAAUUGUCUUUUAUUUGAUUUAACCCAUAAAUAACAUUAGCUUAGCGUUUGAGAAACUUCUCCUAUUUUUACAACCCUCACUCCUAAACAUAUAUAUUGUUUUAAGAAAUGUAUGUUGAACUGUUUGAUGAGAAAAGUGGAAAAGAUGAAAUAUAGAGAAAAAUGCAAAACAUUUUGAAGUAUUCAUCCCACUAUUAAUGAAAAAACCAAGUUUGGGGUUGUUGAAAAAAAAAUAUGUUUGAGGAAGGAAUAGUGAAAGUGAAAGAAAAAGGGUGUACUCGAUGAAGAAAAAUAAUAAGGCUAUAUAGGUCCUAAAACAAUUAUGUGUUUAGAGUGACUUAUGCUACAUAUUAUCCCGGAUCCUACCUCCACCCUAGCCACACAUUACAAGCUAAAUAAAGUCCUAGGGAUCCUUAAUUUAGUAUUAGCCUACAUUAUUGGAGAGGGAGAGGAAAAACAAACUUAUGAAAUUUUUAACUAGUUUGAAGUUUGAAUGAACAUAAACCUAUCCGGAGUGCAUGAGAUUCAUGGCAAGAGAUUUCACACACAUUCACACACACACACACAAUAAUUUAUCCAAAAAUGAGCUUGCAUUGGAAUGUAAUGUGAAUUUAGAUAAUAUUUAUGUCUUACUAUGAGUUGAGAUAACGAGAUAGUUUAUGAGCAAAUUAAAGGUUAUAAAUGAAUUGGUGCAUCCGAUUUUGUUAGUUUGAUGUUUUCAAUUAUGUUAUUUUGUUUUCUUAGUUUUUGCUCGAGGAAUAGCAAAAUAUCAAGUUUGGGGUUGUAAUAACUCUAUGAUAUAGAGUUAGUUUGCCACAUUUUGAUUGUAAAAAGCAUAGCUAAGUUCUUGUGUUUUGAAGUUAAUUUUAAGUAAUUUUUAUACUUUUCUUUAUUUAGUUUAUUGCAUGUUGAAUUAUUUUUAAUUUGAGUAAUUUGAGCUUAUUUUCACAUCAAAAGUCUUAAUUUGAGAAAUCACAAAUUUCGUCUUUAUUUUAAAGGUUCUCAAGUGUAAAAAGCUUCAUGGAAGUGAAAUGUGCAAGAUGGUUAGGUGUAGAAUUUGCUAAACAUAUUGUAGUAUUUCUGCCAUAACACUUUCUAAAGAACUCCAAAUGAGGUGAUUCUAGACCACUGGAAAGUUGCAAGGAAAGGCUACAACUUUUCUAUUUAUCACUUUGCCCAGCUUGGAUUGGAAGGUGAUCAAAACCAGUGUCAAAAAGAGAGUACUGCACUAAGAGAGUAAAACAAAGACAGAACACUUGAGAGCCGCGGCGCUGAAAGGAAUUUGUGGCGAACUUCAAAGUCAGAACUGUUGAGAGCCACAGCGCUAAAGCUUAUUUCCAAAAAUAAUUGUUUGACUAGAAAUUUGGAAAUUAAGCUAAUUUGUGCUUAUUUAAGGGACAUUUUCAAAGAAUUUUAGAGAGAGGACAAUAGUAGCUAUUUUGAAGAAUUGUAGCUAACAAUCAAGCAAGAGAACAAGAAAAAUUGAGAGAGAUUCGAGAUCAAAAAGCUUCAACAUUAGUUUCUUUCUUUAUUUUGUGUUUUCCUUAUUUUCUUUGACUUGAAUUCAUAGCUAAAUUUCUUUGGAUAAUGUUUUACUUAGAUAUCAUGAACUAAUUUAUUUGUCUAGGAUUAUGAUGGAUUUCAACAUGUAGUUUGAAUAUUAGUUUCUCUUUUAUUUAUCAUGAAUGGGUAUAGUUUUGCUUAUUCAAAUCUAUUCUUAAUGCUUUUAAUUGCUUGAUCAAUAAUUAAUUAAUUUGUGAAUCUAAUUGAGACUUGACAAAGAGGUUUUAGAUUGGACUAAGAUUUAAAUAGUGUAUGUUAACAUCACUUAGGUGAUCUGAUUCGCGAUUUGGAUAGACAUACGCCAAUUGCCAUACAUAGCCAAAUUAGGACACUAGCUUAAUGAACUUAAUUUAAUUAAGUCCUAUAGACAUAUAGUGAGCUAAUUAAGUUAGGUAUUUGUGCAAGCAUCUCGAUGGAGACUUGUAGACAGCUUUGGAUUCUAGGUUAGUAAAACCACCUAGGAAGGUAAAUAAUAAGCGAAGCUGGUAUCAAAUGAAGUGUUGAACGAACCCAUAAUCCUAGGUCUUUAGUCUGUUGUCUUUCUCAAGUAACUUUAAUUUCUGUUAGUUAAUUUAGUUCUUGCUUUAAUUUAGUAUUAAUUAAUUUUCUUAAAAUUUGAGUUACUUAAAUAAGAUUAAUUUGUUAUAAAAUUUUAGUACUUAGUAAAACUUUAGGAAGAAAUCUUUGUGGGAACGAUACUCUACUUAUAACUAUAUUACUUGUUUGUGAUAACAUGCACUUAUGUGAAAAAUCAAUAACACUCAUACAAGCACCUUGUGCUGUGAGGAUCGAUAUACCCGUCCAUGGGAGUUGCUCCUUGGCUAUUCCUGUCACAACCUAAUUUCCUGACCAUGACCAGUGCAAGGGCCCAAUGGGCUCAGCCCACUAAGCCCAAGCAAGCCUAUUUAUAUAAUCUGGUACACUAAUCCAUAUGUCUUUAAAAUCCAAAACUUGUAAUGUUCAAAUAUAAUUCCUUUGAAAACAAUUCAUAAGACCCAAUAAUGUAUUCAUAAUAACAUCAUCAACCAUAAUAUACAUAUAUAGCUUGACAAAUGAGUCUUAGCAUUUCACAUCCAGCAUUCAUAUACACAUAAUUAGACCUUGAUCGUUAGCGGAGUGAAUCUGGGCACGGUUGCUAACAUUUAGUGUCAUGGUAAACCUACCGAGCAAUGGAUAAGGAAGAGCACUUCUUCCUAGGACCAACCACCUUUAACUCAGAAAACCUAAAACAUGAAGUUUAAAAACGUGAGUAUAAACCCAGUGAAUGAACAUAAGAAGGGAACAAGUAUCAAUUCGGGAAGUUUUAGAAAACAUGAUGCACUUAUGUUGAAAACAAUGCAAUUCAACUUAAUUUCUUAUCACAAUGAAAAUCCAUUUUUGCUACAGUGAAAAUCAAUUGGAAAGCAUUUCUCAAAUUUUAACAUUCAAUAAUCAAUGCAAGCACAAUAUAAUUUCCAUAACCUCUCUAUAUAUAACAUAUAUAAACAUACAUACGACCACCGGCAUCACCCCAACUCUCCCUCAGCUCACGUGCACUCCCACAUCGCACAUAACUGGGUCAUUAUCAGCUCAUGUGCACUCCUACACCACACAUAGCUGGGUCAUCAUCAGCUCAUGUGCACUACCACACCACACAUAGCUAGGUCAUCAUCAGCUCAUGUGCACUCCUACACCGCACAUAGCUGGGUCAUAAUUAUCAAACAAUAAUAUCAUUCAAUGCAUAACAUUCACAUCAACAUAAUGUGGAAACACAGGAAUUCAUCACAUUCAUAUUUCACAACAUAAAAAUGUUUCAUUAAGUGCUUCUUCCCAUGCAAAUUUUAAAAAAAAACCAACCAAAUAUCUCAAGUGGUUCAAUCAAGCAUCUAAUCAUUUAUUCCAAAACAUUUUGAUGCAAGUUCAUUCUGUUGUCUCCAUUAGUUUUUUAUGAUAAUAAAACAUUCCCAUUUAUGUGUGUCUAAUGCCUUUACUUGAGUGGGCAGGAAAGUAAUAUAUGAAAUUAAUUUAUUGACUCUUCAAAGAGUAUUUUUGAAAGAAAAAGAGGGAUAAAACCAACAAGAUGUAACUAAAUAACAAGGAGCAAGCUUAUUGGUGAAACAAGGAAAAACAUUGGUUAACCAAAUUUCAAAUUGGAGAAAUGGCGAGCUGAAAAGUUUGAGAAACAGAACCAAUUUAGUCAACCAAGUUAGUCAACUAAGUGCUCUCUGCCAGAAUCUGCAAACCAGAAACAGAACCAACUUAGUCAACCAAGUUAGUCGACUAAGAGCUCUCUGUCUGCAAUUUGAUCCAGAGCACUACAAGACAGAUUAAAGGCUAGAACUCAUUCUCAAUUGUUUCCAAUGGAUAUAAACUACCAAACUGCCAUCAAAGUUGCAUUUCCAAGUAUAAAAGGGUCUUCCAACAAUAAGAAAGAAGUUUUUUAAAGCUUUGAAUGAGAUUUGAGCUAUAGAAAGUAGAAAAAACCAGAAAAGCUUCACUGCACCUUACUGCACUUAAAUGCCAAAUUUUUGUACUAGAGUUCAACACUUCAUCUUGUACCAUCUAAAUCAAGUAAGUGAUCAUAGGUACUUCUUUAUUACUUCUUUUGUAUUCUUAGAGUGAGGGAGUCACUCUAAGGGGUUGUUCAAGCUUGGGAUGGCUUGAUUGUUGUAGGUUGUGGUUGAGCCUUGGAAAACCACAUUGGGUUUUAGUUGAGCCCGUGAAAAACUAGUGUAAAAGGUUGUGGCUAAGCCUAGUAAAAGCCAUUGUGAAGCUUGGUGAAAGCUUGUGAAUUUCACAAGUCCAUAGUGGAUUUGUGGGAAAAUCCUUGGUUGGAUAAUCAAGGUAGUGGAUGUAGGUCUUGGACUAAACCACUCUAAAUUGUUGUGCAUUUUAUACUCUGUUUUUGGUUUUCUUAAGUUCUAGAAAUUACUUUCCAAUCUUAUCAAGAGCCAAAUUGUGCUAUUCACCCCUCCCCCCCUCUAGCACAUAUUAUCAUGACCAACAAUUGGUAUUAGAGCUAGUUACCUAUUUUUAAGGCUUAACAUCCUUUAGGAGGAUCCAAAUGGCUCAACAAAAAACCAUAGUUGCAGAGGGACAAUCAACAAACAGACCACCUCUGUUUGAUGGCUCUAAUUACCCUUAUUGGAGCACUAGAAUGUCAAUUUAUAGUAGGGCUAUAGAUUAUGAAAUGUGGGAUGUCAUAAUUGAUGGACCCUUUAUGCCCUCAACAGUGAAUGUAGUGACAAAUGAGUUGCCCAAGCCAAGGUCUAAAUGGACUGAGGCUGAAACUAAGAAAGUUCAAACAAACUUUAAGGCCAUCAACACAUUACAUUGUGCCUUGACCCCCACUGAAUUUAACAAAGUCUCAAGCUAUACAACAGCUAAACAAGUGUGGGAGAAACUUAGGAUAAUCCAUGAAGGGACUUCCCAAGUCAAGGAGUCCAAAAUUGCUCUCUAAACACAUAAUUAUGAAAUGUUCAAAAUGGAGCAUGGUGAAGACAUCACCAGCAUGUUUGAUAGGUUUACAAACAUCACAAAUAACUUGAGCCAGCUAGGCAAACCUAUCUCUGAACAUGAAUUAGUUAAGAGACUGCUUAAAAGCCUACCAAAAUCCUGGAAACCAAAAGUGAUUGCCAUUAGAGAGGCUAAAGAUCUAAACAUCAUCACUCUCGAUGAGAUUUGUGGUUCUCUUCUUACUCAUGAGCUGGAGCUUAAGGAAGAAGAAGAAAAAGACCGAAGGGAAGCAAACGAAAAGAAAAAAAGUAUUGAACUUAAAGCUAGCAUCCUUGAAGAAGAGUUGGAAGAGCUUUCUUGUGAUGAUGAUGAAGAAUUAGCUCUAGUUGCAAGAAAAUUCAAAAAGCUAAUGAGAAAAAGAAAUCAAAAGCUAAUUAGAAGAGGUUUCAGGAAAGACCAAGGUGCUUCAUGGAAAAUAAGGAACAAAAAAGAGGAGAUGAUCUGCUACGAAUGCAAGUAACCUGGUCACUUCAAGUCCGAGUGUUCAAUGCUGAAAGAUGAAGCCCCCAAGAAAAAUAAGAAAUCCAAGAAAGCAAUGGUGGCUGUUGCAUGGUCGGAUAGUGACACAUCAAGCUCGAAAAUUGAUGAUGAAAAAUCUGAGGAAAGAGCAAACAUUUGUUUAAUGGAACAAGAGGAUGAAACAGAGGUACCCUCAUCCCCUUGCAUUAAUUCAAAUGAUGAUUUUUAGGAUGAGUAUGAGUGCCUUUAUGAUGAAUUUGAAAAGCUUUUUUCAAAAUACAAAUCAUUAAAGAAAAAGGCUGCAUUUCUUGAAAAUGAUUUGGAACAAAUCAAACAAGAAUUUACUUCUGUUUUUAAGCAAAGAAAUAUUUUGCAAAUUGAGUUAGAACACUCAAAAACAGACUUUGAGGUUUUUAAACAAGAGCUGGAAAACAAGUCUGAAGCUUUGCAAAUAACUCCUAAUGAAAAUACAGCUCUUAAAUGUUUGAAAAAUGAAUCCUCAAAAAGAGAUGUACACCACAAUAAAAAUUCAACUAAAGCAUUACCUAGAUGUUAUAAUUGUGGUAAACAUGGUCAUUUAUCAUAUAAGUGUUUUAAGAAAAGAAUAGUGCAGAAAGUUAAGAAAAUCUGGGUUCCUAAGGGAUCUUUUGUUGCAACUAACACUCAAGGACCCAUCAAAGUAUGGGUAACUAUAAAGAAAAACUGAAAUUCUAUUUUGUAAGUUGAGCUAGACUUAAAUGAGACAUGUUCAAAAACUCAACUCAAGAAGAAACAGCCUUGGUACUUGGAUAGUGGCUGUUCACAGCACAUGACAGGACAUGAAAUGCUGUUUGCUCAGUUGGAUAAGAGAAAGGGAGGAACCGUAUCCUUUAGAGAUGAUUCAAAAGGAAGAAUUCAUGGUAUAAGUACGAUUGGUAAGAAUUCCCAAACUCAAAUUAGUCAUGUGUUGUUGGUUAAAGGCUUAAAGCAUAAUUUACUAAGUAUUAGUCAAUUAUGUGAUAAAGGAUUUAGAGUGUGCUUUGAUUCAACUAAGUGUGAAGUGAUAGACAUGAGUACAAAUAAAAUCUCAUUUAUAGGAAAUAGAUUGAAGAAUAUAUAUGUAAUUUUUCUUGAAGAUCUUGAAGUAAAUAAUGAAGUACGUCUUAUUGCAAAUGAAAAAAAUGAUAGUUGGCUAUGGCAUAGGAGAUUAGGACAUGUGAGCAUGAAUACUAUGUCAAAAUUAAUUAAGAAAAUUCUUGUUGUUGGACUGCUUGAGUUAAAAUUUGAAAAUGAUAGGAUAUGUGAUGCUUGCCAACUAGGAAAACAAGUUAAGACAUCCUUCAAGUCUAAGAAAAUUGUGUCAACAUCUAGACCUCUUGAAUUGCUUCAUAUUGAUCUAUUUGGUCCAAUAAGUACAACUAGCUUAAGAGUAUUAUCUUAUGGCUUUGUUAUAGUUGAUGACUAUUCAAGAUAUACUUGGGUGUAUUUUCUUGCUAUUAAGAAUGAUGCUCUACAAGCAUUCUUAAGUCAUUGUAAGAGAACAGAAAAUGGAAAAAGAAUAGCCAUAGUUAGCAUAAGGAGUGAUCAUGGAGGAGAAUUUGAAAAUGAUGAGUUUGAAAAGUUUUGCAAUGAAAAGGGGUUGGAUCACAAUUUUUCUGCACCUAGAACACCCCAGCAAAAUGGAGUUGUAGAGAGAAAAAACUGAACCUUGAAAGAAAUGGCUAGGACCAUGCUAUGUGAGAACAACCUACCUAAAUAUCUUUGGGCUGAGGCAGUAAAUACAAUAGCUUAUAUUCUUAAUAGAGUCUCAAUAAGACCCUUAAUUUCAAAGACUCUAUAUGAACUUUAUAAAGGUAUGAAACCAAAUAUUUCUCACCUUAGGAGCUUUGGCUGUAAAUGCUUUGUAUUGAACAAUGGAAAACAGCCCCUAGGGAAGUUUGAUGCAAAGAGUGAUGAAGCAAUAUUUUUAGGAUAUGCUUUAAACUUAAAGGCCUAUAGAGUUUUCAACAAAAGGACCUUAACCGUUAAAGAAUCAAUUCAUGUAGUUUUUGAUGAGUCAAAUGCAUUGCAAAAAGAAGUUCAUGAUGAUGAUGAUGAUGUAGAAGUCCUAGAAAAACAAAUAAAGGAAAUGAGCUUAGAAAACAACAAAAAUAAUGACGAAAGCUCACCUAGAAAAGAAGAUGAAACUCCACCUUUAGAAAAUCUGCAAAGAGCAGACAAUCAGCAUGAUGAUCUACCAAGGAGUUGGAGAUUUGUGAGAGAUCACAAAGAUCUACAAUACCAAAUAAUUGGUGAGAUUUCUCAAGGAGUUAAAACUAGGAAAGCAACUAGAGAACUUUGUGAGUUUUCAGCGUUUAUAUCUCAAAUUGAACCUAAAAACUUUGAAGAAGCUGAAAAAGAGGAAAGUUGGAUAAUGGCCAUGCAAGAAGAACUUGAUCAAUUCACAAGGAGUCAUGUAUGGUCAUUGGUACCUAAACCUUCAAAUCACCCUAUUGUUGGUACAAAAUGGGUAUUUAGAAAUAAGGUAAAUAAGCAAGGAAAUGUAGUUAGAAAUAAAGCUAGGUUGGUAGCAAAAGGAUACAACAAAGAAGAAGGAAUAGAUUAUGAUGAAACUUUUGCUCCGGUUGUUAGGAUUAAAGCCAUAAGGUUGUUGCUAACUUUUGCAUGUUUCAUGAAUUUUAAAUUAUUCCAAAUGGAUGUGAAAAGUGCAUUCUUAAAUGGAUUAAUUCAAGAGGAAGUAUAUGUAGAACAACCACCUGGUUUUGAAGACUUUGAAAAAUCUGAUCAUGUUUUCAAACUUCAUAAAGCCUUGUAUGGAUUGAAACAAGCUCCUAGAGCUUGGUAUGAAAGGCUUUCAAAAUUUCUAGUUGAAAAGGGGUAUGAUAGAGGUAGCAUCAAUACUACAUUGUUCAUUAAGAGAUAUAUAAAUGAUUUAAUUGUUGUGCAAAUAUAUGUGGAUGACAUUGUUUUUGGUGCAACUAAUGAGGCUUUGUGCAAGAACUUUGCUAAGGAAAUGCAGGGUGAAUUUGAAAUAAGCAUGAUGGGAGAGUUAAAGUACUUCCUUGGUCUUCAAAUCAAACAAAGUAAGGAAGGAAUCUUCAUCAACCAAGAAAGAUACACUCAUGAUAUGCUCAAGAAAUUUGAUAUGCUGAAGCUGAAAUCAAUGUCUACACCAAUGAGCCCAUCCACCAAACUCGACUUAGAUGAAAAAGGUAAGGAUGUAGAUCAAAAGCUCUAUAGAGGUAUGAUUGGUUCUCUUCUCUACUUAACAACAAGUAGACCAGAUAUUCAGUUUAGUGUGUGCUUGUGUGGUAGAUUUCAGUCACACCCUAAAGAAUCACACCUAACAGCUGUUAAGAGAAUUUUUAGAUACCUUAUAGACACUCAAGAACUAGGAAUAUGGUACUCUAAAGACUCAACUCUUAGCUUAGUUGGAUAUUCAAAUGCUGACUUUGCCGGCAGCAAAACUAAUAGGAAAAGCACUAGUGGAACAUGCCAAUUUUUAGGAAGGAUGCUUGUGUCUUGGUCCAGCAAAAAGCAAAACUCAGUGGCACUGUCGAUAGCAGAGGCUGAAUAUGUAUCAUUAGGUAGCUGCUAUGCACAAAUCCUUUGGAUCAAGCAACAAUUAAAAGACUAUGGAAUAACUAUGCAUAAUGUACCAAUAUACUGUGAUAACACAAGUGCAAUCAAUAUAUUAAAAAAUUCUGUGUAGCACUCUAGGACAAAGCACAUUGAAAUUAGACACCAUUUUAUUAGAGACCAUGUGGUGAAAAAUGAUAUUAAGAUAGAAUUCGUGAAUACUUUACAUCAAUUAGCAUAUAUUUUUACCAAACCUCUAAGUGAAGAUAAAUUCUGUGAGAUUAAAAGAAAUUUAGGGAUGAUUAGUGUGAAGGAAUUAUAAGAAAACCUUAGGCUCUCACAUAGAAAAUAGAAUGCUUUCAGUCAACUAAGAGUGGUCUGAUAGCCUUAAAUAAUAAAACUCGGUGAGUUUUAGAGAAAGAAGUGUAAAAUGUGGUAAAAAUUUGGGUUUACUGGGUGCAAAAAGAAUGAAGAAAAACUGUCUAAGGUAAAUAACCAGAUUUUAGAGGGAAGUUUGAAAUUAUAAAGAAAUAAAAUAAGGCAGCACUUAAAGAAAGGUGAGGAUUUUUUUUUCGUAACAGCUGCUGACUGCCUCUCCUCCUCUCUCCCUUGAAACUCGUUGCUCUAAAAAUAAAAACCUAAAUCUCCCUUUUUGCCUCUAAAAUCGACUCAAACCCUAAAAAAUUUCUACAACCAAUAUGGCUAGAACAUCUCAAAGCAAAGAGAUAUCAGAGAAAAAGAAAGGGAAAAGGCCAAUGGAGGAAGAAACAGGAACUGAAAGUCUGAAGAAGAAACUGAAAAUCAUGCCUGGUUCAGUGAAAGAUAUAUUCGAGAAACUAAGAGAAAAGAAGCAGAAAACUGGUAAGAAGAAAGAUAUAGAGCCUUCACUCCACAAAGGUACCAGUUCUUCUUCUUCAAAAUUUAGGAAUAAGUUGCAUGAGUAUAGAUUCAAAAAUAUCGAGAAUGCACCAAUCUCCUAUGGAAAGUUUAUUGAUUGGAAGAGUUUUGAGGAAAAUGUCGAAAUCCAAACUAGUUUAUCUGAGUACUUUGAUGAACUAGAAUUGAAAGGUUACAGCACCUUUAAGAAUAGGUCUUGUAGUCCAAGUCUGGUCAAAGAGUUUUACUCUGGAAUUGCUUUGAAAGGAAAGGAAUUAAUAGAUUCUGAUGAUUAUGUAGAAGAUGGGUUGAAUGUUUAUCUGAAUGGAAAAGAGUUUAUUAUGACUGUUGAGGAUUUAGGGAACCUGUUGAAAAUAGAGUAUGAAGAAGGUGAAUUUGAAUUGCUUGAAAAAUAUGAUCCGUCCUCAUUGUGGGAGAUCAUCACUAGAAGGAAAGAAAAUUAUUCUUCAAAAAGUAAUUCUGGUUUGAUAACCAGCCCUCAUAUCAGAAUUCUACAUUAUUUCAUAGUAGUUAAAAUACAAGGCAGAAGUGGAAGCCUUAGCUACAUCAGCUUUCAGGACCUUUGGCUAAUGGAGCAUGCUUUCAAUGGAGUGUUUAUGAAUUUGGGAAGAUUUAUGAUUGAGAAAAAGAGAAGUGCCUGCAGACUUGAUAAGGUAAAUCUGCCAUAUGGGAAUAUGAUUACAUCCCUUGUGCAGAAGAAGGGAAUAUGGGUAAAGAGGUAUGAUAUGGACUUGGUAAAAACCAGAGACCAAGCUAUUCAUUUUGGCAGCUUGGUUAAAAUGGGCUAUGUACUUGAUGGAGAAAGGUUCAUUAAAACCUCCAAGAUUGGUCCAAGAAAAGAACACAGCCUACCUGCUUAACCUAAAAAAGCUCCCUCCAGAUUUUAAAAUGAAGUGAUUUUUAAUUUGCUCAUGAGGAUUGAUGGUAAGCUGACUGACCAAGGAAUGAAGCUACAGAAAAUGGAAGAUAAAAUCACUAAGUUGGAAAACAAGCUGAAGGAGAAGGAAAACAUGCCAUCUGAACCUGUGGCUACAGAUAGCUCUGCCACAUCCAGCACUGCAUCUGCACAACAAGUGCUGAAAGUUUAGUUAAGUCAGCAGAAAAAUUUGCUCCUCAUGUUGGAAGUUCUAGCAUUUAGACUGAAGGUUCCACCCAUAAAUCUGCCAGUCCUACUCUACAGACUGAAGACUCUCCCCAAGGGGUUGAUCAACAAGCCAAGACACCCUCCCCUGAACCUCAAAGCAAAAAUAAUUCAGAGAUAGAGAAACACUAGGCCUCUCCUCCAAACUCAGAGGAAGUUUCCAUCAUGGAUGUCUUCCACCAAAUGGUUAAGGAGGGACAAGCUGAAAAGGACACUGCCAGGACAGAAACUCAAAAGGAUGGUGAAGGUGUAGGAAAAGGAAAGAAAUCUGCAUCAGCUACUAGAGUAAAGACAAAAGCAGGGAAAGCCAAAGCCACUGCAGCACCACCAACUGAGGCAAAACUACCAACCAAAGGCAGGAAGACCAUGGCAACUAAGACAGCUUUUCUCAAGAGAAGAAAGUCUUCCAGGUUGGUAGAGAAAUCCAGACCAGUUUCAACCUCCUCUCCAAUCCCUGUCUCAAACAAGUCCUCACCAGAACCUUCCCCAAGACAUUCAUCACCUCUCCGAGAGCCCUCUCAUUUUCCUCUCAACCUUUUCUACAGCACUGAAUCCUCACCCUCUGACACAUAAGAUGAAUAGAAGCCCCUCCUUUUGAUGCUGACAAAAAGGGGGAGUAGAGUAGAAUGGGUACACGAACCAAGAACCACAAGAACCAGGAACCAGAGAAUAAAUUUAAAAAAAAAAUGUUAGGGUAGAGGAACCAGGAAGGAACCUAGGAAAGGAAAAAAGACAGAAUCAAAGAUGAAUGAACUUAGAAAAAUAGAAGAUAGGAAGCAAAAAAAGUCUAGGGGCAGUUUCAGAAUACUUGUUGAUUAACUGUUAUUUGUGCCAUGGUGGCACUUAAACACUCAGUUUUAAUUCUAUUAUUUAUGUGGUUGUAUGUGAAAAAUGAAUGCUGAUAUAGCUAUGUUGCUUAAUUGCUAAAAAUUGAAGUCUGUUGAUAAUUUGUUAUUUUGGUAUUUUGACUGUCAUGAACAAAAUCUGCCGGUGCUAUUCUAAUAUUGAUUUACAUGCUGAUAAAUUAUUUUUGUUAUGCCAUUGCGGAUAAUUUUUGUUUGAAAAUAGAUAUAGAUGGUAUGAAUAGUAUAUCAAUUGAAACAUAAAUGAAGUGAACAAAAUUUGAAAUCAAUAAACUAUUAAUAGCUGCUGGAACAGUGAUGAAAAUCUGUCAACACUUAAAGCUGAAAGUUUAAUAAUGAUCUGCUAAUACUUACUUGCUGAAAAUCACUCUAUUUUGCUGAACAUAUGUAUACUCUAAAUGUACAAUAUCAUUUUCUAUAUGACAAGAAUAAAAUUGGCUGAAAUAAAAUAAGCAAAAUAUGCACACACUAAGGGGGAGCUUAUACUUAGGGGGAGCAAUCCUCAAUUUUUGCAGAAAACUAAAAAGAAUUAAAAUGACACUAUGCUGUUAAUCAAGGAAUGUUUUGUCAUCAUCAAAAAGGGAGAGAUUGUUGACUCCAUUAGUUUUUUAUGAUAAAAAAACAUUCCCAUUUAUGUGUGUCUAAUGCCUUUACUUGAGUGUGCAGGAAAGUAAUAUAUGAAAUUAAUUUAUUGACUCUUCAAAGAGUAUUUUUGAAAGAAAAAGAGGGAUAAAAUCAACAAGAUGUAACUAAAUAACAAGGAUCAAGCUUAUUGGUGAAACAAGGAAGAACAUUAGUUGACCAAAUUUCAAAUUGGAGAAAUGACGGGCUGAAGAGUUUGAGAAACAGAACCAAUUUAGUCAACCAAGUCAGUCGACUAAGUGCUCUUUGCCAGAAUCUGCAAACCAAAAACAGAACCAAAUUAGUCAACCAAGUUAGUCGACUAAAAGCUCUCUGUCUGUAAUUUGAACCAGAGCAUUACAAGGAAAAUUAACAGCUAGAACUCAUCCUCAACUGUUUUCAACAGAUAUAAACUGCCAAACUGCCAUCAGAGUUGCGUUGCCAAGUAUAAAAGGGUCUUCCAACAAUAAGAAAGAAAUUUUUUGAAGCCUUGAAUGAGAUUUGAGUUAUAGAAAGUAGAAAAAACCAGAAAAGCUUCACUGCACCUUACUGUACUUAAACGUCAAUCUUUGUAACAGAGUUCAGUACUUCAUCUUGUACCAUCUAGAUCAAGUAAGUGAUCAUAGGUACUUUUUUAUUACUUCUCUUGUAUUGUUAGAGUGAGGGAGUCACUCUAAGGGGUUGUUCAAGCUUGGGAUAGCUUGAUUGUUGUAGGUUGUGGUUGAGCCUUAGAAAACCACAUUGGGUUUUAAUUGAGCCCGUGAAAAACUAGUGUAAAAGUUUGUGGCUGAGCCUGGUAAAAGCUAUUGUAAAGCUUGGUGAAAGCUUGUGAAUUUCACCGGUCUAUAGUGGAUUUGUGGGAACAUCCUUGGUUGGAUAAUCAAGGUAAUGGAUGUAGGUCUUAGACCGAGCCACUCUAAAUUGCUGUGCAUUUUAUACUCUGUUUUUGUUUUCUUAAGUUCUGGAAAUUAGUUUCCAAUCUUGUUAAGAGCCAAAUUAUGCUAUUCACCCUCCUUCUAGCACAUAUUAUCAGGACCAACACAUUCACCGGUCCUCGUUGAUUCUUAAAUCGACUCCAACUGCCCCUAAUGGUCCAAAUGGAGAUGUGGGGUCUCGUUAGAACCUAUCACACAUAAUAGCAUCACAAAUCAACUCAAUUCACAUAACCAUAAUUCUAAAAGCUAUCUCCUAAAUCAUGUUCUACUAGUUAUUCCUAGCUAGCUUCCAACUACCAUUAAGUGGAUAUCUAUUUUCACUAUUCUAGUCACACUAAAAUGAAUAAACCACCUCAACUGCAAAACACUCACAAAUCUAACCACUAUCCAUUAUCAACAACUUAAAAAUCAACUCAAUUUUCAUUACUCACCUUGGUAGCUUUGUAAUUGAAUUCGUUUUCAAAAGCUUUCAAACUAUUGUGAAAAUUCUUUCUUUCUCUCUCUAGAACAUCCAACAAGUGAGAGCAAGUAUUAAGGAAAGGCUUUGGAGGGUUUUAAGGUGAAAGAGUAAAAUAGCACAAAGGACUUUGUAAAAAGGUGAAGAAAAGCAUAAAAAUUGGGGUUAACUUGAGAAAAUUUAUGGAGGUUUCAAAGCAAGCUUCCAUGGAAUGUGAGAAAAUGUGAGGAGGGAAGAAGAAGAAGAAGAAGAAGAAGUUGCUAGAAACUUAGAUAUUUAUGCCUAAUGUUUAUCCAAUUUCUCACGAAAUUACCAAAAUGCCCUUAACGAGGUCACUUUGUCUUCCUCUUACCUUUAGAUAAUCUUUUUACUUCUUUGACACUGAGACAAAGUCCAUAAUAGUCUAAAAAUACUCGGGUUCAUGAAAACUUAAAAGUUUUGACUCAAGAUGUAAAAUGACCGUUUUACCCCUACCAUGAAAAUUAUCAGUAUUUCUAUCUUCUUCAUUUAUUUUAUCAUCAUUCAUUUAUUCCUUAGGUCUAUUUAGACCUUAAUAACAUUUGAGAGCUACUUCAAGGAGCUCACCAUGAGAAAUGACGAAAUUACCCCUAGUCCAUGUUAUCGCAUUUACUUUUAAUUACGAGUCUAUAGAGGUCGAGGUCUCACACUCCUCUUGUCUCCUUGGUGCCCAAAAUACCUUAUUAUGAUGUCAAAUCACUUUUUUUAUCUUGCAAAUUCUUCCUUGAUAAAAAUAUUAUUAUUUUAUUAUUAUUUCUUCACGUGCGUAAUAUUUUAUCUCAAACUAUUCCUUUCAUCUUUUAUCACUUUUAAACAUUAUAAUUAACCUCAAUUGGCAUUCAAUAAGCUUUAUUAAUCACCAUAUCAAAUUACAAGGUAUUACAAUGCCAGUAGCUAUGUCAAGCUUAAAACCUCUAGGGAUCGACCCCUCCUUGCCAUGUGAAUAACCUUUCAUGCCUUAUUUGCAAAAAUUACAUUUCUUUGGUUUCCUUAUCCAAUCAUACUUUCAUCCAUUGAUACCACAUUAAUCCAACAACAUCAGAGUAGGAAGUUCAUGUCAAUCUAGUUAGGAAAACUCAACCAACAUUCAAAUUAUAUUAACACGUAAUUCAUUCAAACUUGUCCAACAUUUACUUAAGUUUAAGCAACAUCAUUUCAUAAAAGGUGGGAGUUUCAUUAUAUGAAUGUAAGAGGUUUGCUUGGGACUAGCGGGCUAUACCUAUCUAAAUUCUAGUGCUGGUCAUGGAACCCCAAAAAGGGAUCGUGAUAGUAUCAUAAAGGGUAUUGUUAGUAGGGGUAGCUGACAAAGCUAUAUGGUUGCUACGCAGAUUUAUUUUUGCUCAUUUGAAGUUUUUGAGAUCACAGGGGAAGGCUAUCUAGGCCACCCUUAUGUGUUUUCUUUUGUUGUUCUCAUCAUGAAUACAAAGUCAUUACCUUUCAAAAAAAAAAAGGUAACAUUUUAUAAAGUAAAUUCAAAUAGGUGGUCAAUCACACCUAAACAAAAAAUAUUGAUAAUGAUUUCAUUUAACAUUAAAUGGUUUAGUUUCGGAACCUGCACAUUAUGACACACACAACUAGAUUUUAGAUGUAAGUAGAUAUAUAAUGGGAAAAUGUUUACGGUUAGUAGUUUUUUUCUAUUUACACCAAAAUUGCUAAUAGCAAGACCAAAUAUCCAUUUGGAAAACGAGAUUGCAUUUAGUAUUUUGAUUCAAUAUGUACUACAUAGGACCCCUGCUAGCUUUAAAAAAUUUUCCUUAAUGUAUAAAUAUAAUUUACUAGAAUUAGGUGCAAUAAAUGAUACAACAUAGCAUAAUAGUUACAAGCAAGACUCAAUUAGAAAAAGAUAAGCAACCUUUUAUUCAAAGACCUCAUAAAGCAUAAAAUCCAAUUAUUAAGCCACUCUUGGGCUGAAAUUUCAAAAUCUUAUUUCAGUAAAGCUUGAUCACAUUGUUCCAUCGGAAUGGGCUCAAGGAUUGGCUUGACACAAUCUUGAUUUUCUUUGAUUUGAAUGCCAAACCAAUCGCAAUUUUGGUAGAUCCGAUGAAUACAUGGUGUCAUUUCGACAGCAACUUUGACAAUAUCGGGUGCUCGAAGAGAAUCUUUAACUAUUACUUUGUUAAAUUUUUACCACAAAUUUCUUAUCAAGCCUGUCACAUGAUUAUGUGCUUCUUCUUCCGAAACACCUUCUUGGGUCAUGUAAAAAUGGAUGAAAUUCAUUGAUUCUCCCCUUUUGAUUUCAACCUUCAAAAGAUAAGUAAUAUCUAACUUAACAAAUUAUUGAAAUAUAAUAAAAUAGGUAGCCACUAGUUUGGUAGACAAGUGAGAGAGAUUUGUUGAAACGUUAAAUUGGUACAGCAAUAAAGCAAUAGCAAUGCAGGCAAGAACAAACCUCGGCAGUGUUUAAAUCAUUAAUGAGUCGACCAAUGUAGCCAGGCAACCUAACUAAGUCAGAGACAGACCAAUGCUCCACAAAUUCUGACAAAUAAUCAUUUAUAGAGUGUCCUGCCACUCCAAAAAAGCCAUAGACAAUGGAUACAGGUACACCAAUCGAGACCCAAGCAUUCUCAAGAUAUUCAUCUGCAGUUGGAGUGUAUCCGCUGUGAAACCAUCGUGCUUCCUUGAGAUAUCCUCUAAUAUAACACAACCACUACAAAAAUUGAAUGUCAACUUGUCAGUAUAAAUUACAAUUAAUAGAUAAAGUUCUCAUUAUGUAUGUACUCCAUGCAUAAUUUCCAUUUUUUCUCUAUAUAUCUUUUUUUAAAAUUAUGUCAUUUUUUUAAACAUCUAAUAUUCUUUUUUGUAUUUUAUAAAUUAUUAUUUAUAAUUUCUUUUUUUACUUUUCAGCAUUAAAAAUUGUAAAACAUCAAUUAAUUUACAAAAUUGUUUUGAAAUUUUUUUAACAAAUAGACUAAAACUAAAGGUUUUUUUCCCUUAAUUUCUAUAAAAGUUCAAGAAAGACAAAUAAAUAAUAUUUUAUUUGGUCAUUCGAUUAUGUACCAUACCUAUUACAUUUUUUUUAGUGAACAUAGCUAUUCCUUAAUAUAGGGUAAAAUAUCCAUGCCAUUAUCUUUCAAGGCAUAUUGGACCAAUUCACUAACAUGGUUGCACAUGGCUGAGGAUACUUUCAUGUACUCUUGGAAGUUCCUCCAUUGCCUUAUUAAGAUCCCAUCUGCAAUUCGGGAAAAGUUUGUCAUUAAAAGAGUUUGGAAACGUGUACGUAGAAUGAACACAAAUUUUCAAAGCAUUGCUCAGACUAAGGAAAGAAGUUGAAAAUCUAAAUUUCUCACCUAUUUACUGCAUCUGUGUACUUCUCAAGCUCAUCAAGUGAGCCAUAUACGUCCAAUAUGUCAUCUAAGGCUGUUCCCAUGAAUCCGAAUUUCGCGAGGUUCCUCCUCAAUAGGGGUAAUUGGGGCCCCGGAGGGCAACUCCCCAGUGCCCAAAAAUAAGACUCAAGUAGCCUAUCCCGAGCGAAAGGUCGCCUUUCCUUAUAGUUCAAGUCCCUCCACCCCCUGCCCAAUCAAUUGGAAAACAGUAAAUAUCUUUACAUACAAACAGCAACUAAAUUCAAUUUGUAGACUUUAUUACAAUUUACUACCUAUUCGCGAUUUAGGGGCAUUUUCCAUUAAACCAUGUAUAUCCAUUUAACAGCACUGAUAUUUAGUAACAAUUUAAAUGAUUUAAGUUGAUGUGAAAAUUAAAUUUCUUAACUAUCACAUUUUAUUUUUACCCAUAAAAAAACUGACAUUUUAAAAUCUGAUUUAUUUUCAAUCUAAUUUAACUAAUGAUAUCUAGUAAUAAUAAUUUAAAAAUCUGAUUUCUUAACAAUGUAAUUUAAGUAAUUACUGAUGUCAAGUAAUCGUAAUUUAAAAAUCUGAUGACAAUCUUAGCUUAAAAGUUCUUUUUUUUUUCUUUUUCAGAUUUAUUUUUUAAUAGAUAAUCUUACUCCACUAGUUCCUGUACCUCCUUCAGAUAAACAGAUUGCAUGAUAUUGUAGUUCAACUUGGCAAGCUCGAGCAAAACCAAAUUCAUCUUAUCAUCAUAUUGGUAGAUAGCAAUGAAAUCUCGUGCUUCUGUCCAAGGCAUCCUCCAGUGCAGUGGAUAUUCCAGUGAUUGUUGUAUUUGCCGAGCUAUAGUCUUCUUUAGCACUAACAGAUGUUUUGUACUAAAAUUCAGGGCCUCGUCUAAAACAUCUUCUUCUGGCAUCCCAAGGUAAGAAGCUUUGUGUAAACUCAAUAGCCCAAUAACAUCUUCUCGUGAGCUGUCCAUGAAUUUUCCAUCUAUCUCCAUGAACUUAUUAAACAGAUCUGCACAUUUUCACCCCUCACAUCUUGAGUAUGUAUGUUACCCAAAUAAACAAGAAGUGGAAUCCCUUAAAUGAUCCAGCUGCAGGGUCCCUGCAAGGGCACAGCUGUUGAAAAUGCUAAAUGAAGAUGAGGCGUCGGUAAGGAUUCGAAUGCAUAGUAAAGCAAACUAUUCCUUUCAAGAUAGUUGGGUAUAGAUUGGUAAAAGAUAUUGUAUUCAUGAAUAUCUAUUUAUUGUGAUAGUUUCAAUAAAGCGAAAUAAACUAGAUUUGUCAAAAAAAAUUAAAUAAGGAGGAAAAUUAAAAUUAAAAAAGAACACGAACAUUUUGAGUCUUGUUAGCCAAUCUGAAGUGUUAAAUUGAAUGAUUGAUUAUUCCAAAAAGUUAAACUAAUAAAAAAAACUUGAUUAUUAUAUUUAAAUUCUAAUACACUUCUUCACAUGUAUUUCAGAUGAAUAUUUAAUGGGCUUGCAGGUGGACUCAAGUGUAGAAAUAAGCCACGCCCAAAAAAGGAUUAAAGAAGUAUUGUAAAGUUCAAUUUGUAACCAAACACUCGAAACAAUAUUAAAAGGAGAGUAACACAUUUUCUAACAUUCGAAAUCAAAGCUCUAAUAUUAUAUUAAGUUGGGCGUUCAAUUAUUUCAAAACUUUAGUUGAUAGGAAAGGGACAACUAUCAUAUUUAAGUUUAACACUAGGCUUGACAAAAAAAGAUGACCAUAAAUUAAAUAUAGUGUCCUUUAAUGAAACGCUAUUCAAAAUGAUAAAAAAAUAAGUUAACUAUAGUGAAAACAUUUUGCGCAUAUAACCUGUACCAAUGAAGAAACCAUUUUGACGUAUAAGUCUAAAUUGCAAGGCGGCAGUGUAAAGAUCAGUGGCAAUGUUGGCAUCAACAAGUUUAGCGAGAAUAUCCUUGAUAUCCUUCUCAAAGUGGUAAGCCCCUCCUAAGCGUUGCAUUGUAUUGAUCAGAUCCAGUUGGUCACGUGGUUCUUUCAUGCUAGCAAGUAAAUCCCCAGCACCUUGCUUAAGUUCCUCAAGACGAGUGACAUGGUUCUCGAACUGCAAAGUUAACCAAAAUAAAGUGGUGCAGGUUAAACACAGAGUAAUUCUAAGGUGAUGAAGCUUGGGCAUCUAAUGAAAGUAAACUUACUGAGUAGGGUGUGGUGAAGGACUUGACGAGUUCAACAUCCCAAACAGUGGGAAGGUUACCUGCUGAUCGUUGUUCAAUACCUUCUGCUUCCAUGGUAAUACUAAAAUGAUUAAUAUUGCGUUGUAACUCGACCGGUUACAGGUAUUUAUAUAGAGAUGCAAUGAAGAAUUUAUCCAUAACAUAACAGAGGAUAAUAAUUAACAGCAGAAAUAGUAGAACCCACAAAUAGUUCUAAAUGACAAAACAGCAUGUCUUUCGGUUUUGUUAUUCAAAUAAUUAAUUUUUAAAUUAUUUACUUAUAUAUAAGCAUUAUACCAACAAAUAGAAGAACCCACGUGUAAAUCUUUUUGAUGGAUAUGCAUCAAACAUAAUUGGAGAUUUGUACUACGGAUUGAUAAAAAUCCAUUUGACUUAUUCAAAUUCUGAUCCGAUUUAAUUUGAUUUGAUUAGAAAAAAUCAUCAAAAUGUUAUGAAUAUUUUUGUGAAUAUUUAUUUAUACCAUGUAUAUCUAGAGUUGGAUGUAAAUUAGAUUGGAUGAAUAUUAAGAUUUAAUCCAUCUAAUCCCUUAGUAUUAUCUUCUUCUUGUAAAUUCAAUAUAGAUAAGGGGUUAUUAGCCUAUAAUAGGCCUCUUCACUUCAUUUGUAAAUAAACACUUGAAUAAGAUCUUCUUACUCCCUCUAAAUACUUUCUCUUUCCUCUAAAUACUUUCUUUUAUAUUUCUCUUGUAAUUGUUCUUUCAGAUUUAUUUCAUAACACGUUAUCAGAACGAUUAUCCGAUCUCUCAAAUUUUAGAAUUAUUAUGUUUUCAUCAUCUUCAAGCUCCAAAAGAAUUUCAAUGAUUGGGUUUUGAUUUCUGAUUCUAGAGAAUCAGGUAAGUGACUUGAUAUCUCUUUAGUAUUUUCAUUCUUUUAAAAUCAACCUUAAUAUGAAUUUUACUAUUAUGUUGUAUAUAUUAUAUUUUGUCCCUUGAUUGGAAAGUGAAUUUGCUAUUAUAUAGUUCAUUCCCUAAAGUGAAUGUGACAAACGAGUUGCUAAUAAAAAACUUACAUCUCCUUACCUUAUUUGUUGAGUUUGUAGGUUUGGAAAGCAUGAAGAUAAGGAGGAUAAAAUGGUACAAAUUACUCUUAUUUAAGUAACUAAAAUUUUAAUUACCUCUCCUUUAAUAUGCUCAAAAGCUAAUCUAUAUUCAUUUAAAUAAAUUUAAUUUCUAAAAUUAAAUAACUUGAUGAAUGAAGAUACGCAAUUGAAAUGGUAAAAAUUAAUUCAUAUUCAUAACUCUAGGCAACACUCAAAUAUUAUUCAAUUGCACCAUUUUAUUUGAUUAAUCCAUAUUCAUUUAUAAUAUUAUUCAAUUGCAAUCACAUUACUUACAAUCACAUUACUUGUAAUCAAAUAGCAUUGUAAAGUAACAAACGCCACCAUAAUAUGAUUGCAAGCAAUAUGAUUAUAGGAAAAAAUAACAUUACAAUAUUUGGUAUACAAGCAAAAUAAUAAUUAAAAUGUAGGGAGAUAAUAUUACAGCGUUUGAUUUACAAGUAUUUUGAUGUAAAUGUAAUAUUAAUUUUCAAAAUUACCCUUACUAUUAAAAUGAAAAUUUAAUAUACUUGUAUUUUUUAUUGUUAAUUUUUAUAUAAUAUCAUCUCUUAAAUAUAUUUUUAAUGUCAUAUAUUUUAUUUUCAUUUCUUAUUAUAAUCUUAUAUAUUUUAUUUUCAUUUCUUUAAUAUAAUUUUUUACAUUAUAUAUUUAUUUAUUUUAAUUUCUUUUACCUAUAUUAUAUAACUUUUAAUUUCUUAUAUUUUAUUUUAUUUUAAUUUCUAAUUUUUAUAUUAUAUAUUUUAUUUUAAUAUUUUUUAUUUUAAUUAUAACAUUAGAAAAUGUUUUUAAUAAAGUAAUAAAGUUGAAGGGUAAAAAUGUCUUUACUAACAUUGCAGAGUGCAAUGUAAUGGGAUUGUAUUGGUUUUGGAUUGUAAUCACAUUACAUUACUUGGCUACAAUGUGAUUGCAUUGCAAUCUUACAUUGCAGUGGUCUGUUGCAAAAACAAAUAUUGCAGUGUAAUUUAAUUUGACACAUUAUAGGGAAUGGGCUCCCACUUCUCUUAUACCAAAUGCUACAUUAAAGUAGUCAAUUCCCAUGAUUCGUAGGGUAGCUUCUUGAUGUUAGAAUAAAAGAUAACAAGAAUUUCAAGUUUUUUCAAACUUCUGGAUGCCCAAGCUUUCUCCAAACGACAACGUACUAAGUAUAGAGUUCGAAGGUUUGUUAAGAAUUGAAGUCCUUCUAACAACAAAAGAUUCUUGUAAGAACUAAAACUUUAAGGGUUUUCAUUCCUUCAAAGAACAUAAUUGGAACUCUUGUUAAACUGCCUUUGUGAUAUUGAUAACCAUAACUCAACAAGAGAGUUUUGAGAUGUGGAUACUCUAUUUUGUGAAGAAGAAUAUUUAUGUUACUCUUUAUUAAUGACAUUGUUGUGUAGCUUUCAAACCUUUCAUUCCUAGGCCAUUUCUCUAACUCACUUUUCACCAUGAAUGUGUUUUCCCCUUCUGAUUUCAUCCAAUGAAUAAAAUCAUGAGCCACAUCAUGCAUUUUCACAUGUCUUUUAUUACUACUUUCCAACAACAAACCUAACUUUUGGAGGUUUUUUUUAUUGUUACAUGCAUUUCCCUCCUUGCAUCUUCAAGUUAACAUCGUCGAACAUUCCUUCCCCAAUUCCAUACAUAGUUAAUUGGUCGAUACUAACUUCAUAAUCUUCUGGGAAAAGAAUAACACAAUAAUCAACAUGAAUGACUAUUGUUUCCUUUUAAAUAAUCAUAACUAAUCUGAAGUCCGUUGUAGAUACCUCCACAAACAUCUUGAUUCUCUUUAUGUCUAGAGCCUUUUAGUCAUUGAUUUACUACUUCCCACCCAUCUAGAGUUUCAGUUUUCAAAGCUCUUCCCACAAUCACAAUUGUAAGAGGCAAACCCUUGCAUUCUUCGGCAACCUCCUUAGCUACAUCAUGCAAAAGGGAAGUGACAUCUUUUAACCGAACAUUAUCUUUGAAUAAAGCCCAUGCUUCAUGUUCAGAUAAGAUAUUGAGCAGAACAUCCUUUUGACAAUUCAUUUGAGUGAAAACUUGUUUAAGGCAGGUGGUUAGAAAAAUUUUGCAACCAUUGUGAUCAUCACCGAAUGGAAUUCUGAUAACCUUCAAGUCAAGUUCUUCCCAAACAUCAUCAGGGAUUAUAAGGAUGCUAUUCACCUCUUUUAUUCUCAACAACAAUUGCUCUGCUUUUCCUUUGAUAGCGUUCUUUUUAAAAGCUAAAUCUAAUAAGUUUGCGAUUUUGUCUUGAAUAUUGUUGAAAUUUGGAGUUUGGGACACGGUUGUGAUCACAACUUUAUGGAAAAGUUGUUUGGCUUGGUUUCCCACUUCUUUUGCCAAAGUGCUUUUACCGUCUCUUCCCAUCCCAUAUAGUCCAAUCAUGUUGAGAAGAAUUCGAAGAUUCAGAAGACAUGAAAUCCUUAGAUGGAAUGAACUCUAAUCCUAGAAUAGUAGCUUGGUAACCUACUCGUUGAAAAUUACAAGUCUUUAAAAGUUGAGAGAUAGAAAGUGUCUUCUUCGCUACUUUCUUACUUAAUCAAUAAUGCUAACCGCAACAAGGACACUAAUUGAAACACUUUUUACAUUCUAUUUCAUUUUCCAAACUUUGAGCUUCUUCUAGUUCUUUCUCUGCCCUUGUUAGCCAGUCCUCAACGUCCUUCUCAAUUACCUCAGUUUGCCUUAAAGCCUCAUCAACAUCAUUUUUCACCCGAUCUUUUCUCAAUUCAAGUUGGUUUUGCCGAUUCUUGAACUGCUCAACAAUUUUGCCCAAACGAAUAAAGCAAUUGACAUAAGGUGAUGCGUAUUUAGUUUCCAGGUUCCCUACAAUGUUGGCAGCAAUAGCAAACUCAGCAGCCAUUCUUUGAUGAUUUGAGAUUGAAAAGCAACUUUGAUGAGAAAAAAGAAAAGAAAAGUGACUUCAAUAAGUAAAAAGUGUUACAGAGAGAUAAAUACAAUUAAUGAAAGAGAAAAUUAUGAAAGUUGGUCGUCUUCAAAACUUGACUUCAAAAAUAACCAUCAAAAUAAAAUUAACUGUUUUUAGCCAUAUUUAACCAUAACUUGACAAAAAUAUCUUUGAAACCAUUUCAAAUAAAUUAAACUAUUCACUACAAUUGCUCUCGAUUAUCGUAUCUGCUUUAGAUUUCUCUCUCUCACCAUUCAGCUCUCUCUAAUUUAUCGAUUUCUCUUUUCAACAUUUGUCUAUCGUGCUCUUGAUUUUUCUUUCCUAUGCUUUCAGGAUGCCAAGAGAUGAUUUUAAUGUGCUUGGGGUGGGUGGCUAUUUAGAAAAUUUGAUUUUAGGUGUUUUGGAUGAAACUAAAAUUAUAGAAAUGAUCACAGAUGUUUGAAAUAGUUUUUAAUUGAAUCAAUUCGGGCCUAAACACUAAUAAACUCAAGAAUUUAAAAUUUAUAAUUCUAGGGUUUCAAAGGGAAUUUUUUUCAAUUUUUAGUUAAAAUAUGUGUUUUAGAUUAGGAAAAUUGUGUUUUGAUUUAUGAAAACGUGUUAGAAACAUUUUAAUCAGUGCCAAAUCGUAAAAAAAAAAAAAGAAAUGAAGAGAGUUGAAAAGAUUUGAAGUUUUGGUUCGUAGGUAACAACAACAUUUCAAGCAUUAAAGUGUAACAAAAUUUUUUAAACAUGGUGUGUAACAAUAAUAUUUUUUCAAUAUGGUGUGUAACAACAUCAUUUUGUUCAACAUGGUGUGUAACAUAGUUUUGUACAUGGUGUGUAACAACAAUUUUUUUUUUUUCAAUAUGGCAUGUAACAACCCUUUUUUAACCAUAGCGUGUAACAUAUUUUUGAACAUGGCGUGUAAUAACUUUUUUUAACCAUGACAUGUAACAUAUUUUUGUACAUGGCGUGUAACAAUAAUAUUUUUUUUCAACACGACAUGUAACAUCAUGUACACUUGAUAUAAAGAGGUUUAAUACAUGACGUAUAAUAUGUUUUUGUACAUGGCAUGUAACAUUAUGUGCACUUGAUAUAAAGAGGUUUCAUUAAGGGUAAUUUUGUCAAACUUAGUUAAACAUAAUUAAAAUUAUAAAAGGGUUAUUUUUUUAAAACAUCUUAUCUUUGAGGACUAUUUUUUAAAAUGCCCCAUUAUGAAAUAUUUACAAAUUAAGUACCUUACCUUCUGAGCAAUAUCUUAAUGAAAAUGUGAGUCACAUGAGAAUAAAUUGUCGAACGACCAGCUUGAAAAUUGAAAAUGCAAUUGACAACUUCCUUAUGAAACAAAAGCUCUGCAGAUGAAGAACAUUUUUAUUUCUUCAAGUUUGUUUUAUCAAUAAUCAAUUGAUUUCAUUUCACUCUUUGUUUAAGAUUUACUAGCCUAAUCUCACCCAUAUAAACAAAAUCAAUUUCGAAUUGUUUAUGCUUUCUAGUUUAGUGAUAUUCAAUGGCUGGAGGCCAUGAGUUCAUGGAUGAAGUAUGGAUAAUCGUCAAUUAAUUAACAAGGCAGUAGAAAUGUAUUUAUAUAGUUAAAAUCAAAAUAAAAAAUUGGAGCCAAAGCCUUUUACCCUUUUUAUAGUUGAUGCUCCUUCCAUCUUUCAUCACUUGACUUUCUCCUUGGUCUUUGAGGUGAUGGCCUUGGAGUACUAGUGGCUUCUUCCAAUAAUUAUUAGUCAUUUUACAAUUAUGAGAAAAUACCUUAUUUAAACAUCUAUAUAAUAUAUUGUCCUUUUCUAAAUAAUGAAGACCUCAAUAAGCUAAGUUUUAAAUUGAUUAAAUUAUGGAAAACUAUUUAAUAAAUUGCUGAUGGAGUUUAAAAUCUCUACCAGUCGAGUUAAAAGGUUGUCAAAUAUCUUAUUAAGUGCAUUUAAAAAAUUAAUAAUAAAUUAAUAUGAUGAAUAAAAAGAUACGUGACAAUAUUCUAAUCUAUCUUGUGUUGUUUAGAAACUAAACUGAUAAUGUAUAAAAUAUUAUUCUAAAUUUCCCAAGAAUAAUUAUAUUUUAUGAAGACUAACACGCCUAUUUUUCGAAGUGGUAAGAACUAAAAGCGUAAUCAACCACCUAUUUAUUGAUGUAUAAACAGUAAAGAUGGUUAGGAAGUUAAUACAAACGAACCACCCAAAAAUUAACAAGUAAAAUAGAAGAAAGAUGGAAGAAAGAAAUGAGAAUACUUGGUAAUUUGCUAACAUGUAGCAGCAGCAGCUAGUAAAAUUCAGAUUAUGCUUUAACGUAGUUUUACAUUCUUGUUACACUGUAUUGUGAUUCUUCUGAUGCAACGUUGCUCAUUUUGCAUGGAGCCUUCCAAACCAAAGAAAGUAAGAAGAGUAGGUACAGGAAAUUUAAUUAAAUAUUGGCAACUUGGCUCAACGUCGUCCCAUUGAGAAAGCUACAAUGCCUAAGCUACUUCAAUGCAUUGAGAAACUUUGUUUUAUUUAUUGUUUUCCAGCUACAAUCCAAAACAUUGUUUUCAUUAAUAGUGUAGAAAUAAAUUUGUUAGAGAUCCUUUGAUUUGACAACUUGUAUACAAAACAAGAAUUUUGGAAAUGGCAACCAUUGUGUUUACACUGAAAAUAUAGAGCUAUUAUUUAUAUAGAGAGACAUGUGAGGUUUAUAUCAAUCACAAGAGCUCGAAGUACAUUUUUCAACAAAAGCGUCCUUAACCUUAAACAACAUCGAUGGAUAGAGUUACUUCAAGACUAUAAUUGCACCAUUUUGUAUCACUCCGACAAGACAAAUGUGGUGAUGGUGUAGACACCUCAUUUUGUCCAAGUCAAUUUAAGUCAUUAUUUUUAUUUUAUUUUAUUUGUAUCCAUAUUUAUUUAGUAUUGGGUCAAAUUAGGUGUGGGUUUAAGUGAUUAAGCCCCUUUAGGAUGGAAGUUUAAUUAAAAGGUUAGGUCUUUUGAGCUUUUAAAUCCAAAGUGUUUUGGGCCACUAUUACAUGAACCUUUCUUGGACUUUCCAGGUCCAAAGGCCUUUAAUUAAAUGGAUUUAAUAAUAAAACAAAAAAAUAGAGAGAAAAUCAAUAAAAUAAAAAAUAAAAAAAAAAACAACAAAUUUGAAAAAUGGAGGUCAUUGCUAAAAACCUACCAUGGCAACCGCUACCUUGUGUGUAUUGAGUCAACCUUGUAUAGGGCUAUGACAAGGUAGAAUUCCUUAGGAGAGUGAGUCUUUUGUACCUCUAAGGGAGAUGUUGCCCACUUUCAAACAUUGCAAUGGCUCUUGGUGACAUCUUUAGAAAUACUUGUUAAGUCUUUAGGGGAGAAAACCCUUUAGGAAAAGAUUGUUCCCAUCUCAAGCAUUGUAAUGGCUAUUAGCGAAAUACUUAAAAAAUCUUGUAAACUCUUUAUAGAGGGUGUGCAGUUGACAGGCUGUUGGGCUAUCUCACUGGUUUAGGUACGUUUGUGGCUAACCAUCUAGGGGUGCCCCUAUAGCUCGAUGAUGGUGCGUUCCUUUUCUUGGUUCCUUUGUACUUAUUUGCAAUAUUAAUAUAACACAAGUGGUUGCAUAUAUGGCAUUUGGUAUGCCUUUUGAUUUUAAUAUUGAUUUCCAUGACUUAACUCAUGGCUAUUAUUCAUGUUGUUCAAAUAUAAUUGAACAAUUGGGUAGCUUGAGUAGAAAUGUCCACCCAAGUGCUGCACGGAUUAUCAUGUACUUAAGCAAAUACGGCGUAGUAUGUGACAGUUGGUAUUAGAGCAUGGGUGAGAUGUGCUAAGCAAAACAAUAAUCAUGGUGACCACAUAGAGUUCACCAAAGGACCAUCAGAAGAUUGAUGAGCUAAAGACCGUGGUGACCACAGUAAAAGCUUAGAUGGUCCCACGUGAGUGAAUAAAUAAAAUUGAGACAGUCUAGCAAAAACUGUCCAAGAUUAUUAAUACCUUGAAUGAUGAGACCAAGGAUGUGUUGAGCACUCUCCAAGGCGAGAUUGGAGAAUUGAAAACUUAAGCAAAUCUUUUGGUUAUUGUUGCAGGUAAUACUAGUGCAAACUAUAGUCGAAAAAGUCGAGGAAGAGUCAACAUGAAUGGGUUCCAUUCGUUUCCUCAGCGCCUUACAAGCGCAAUUGGAAUAGAUGGAGAAGGAGGCCCAAUGAGGUUUAAUGUAUGUAAAGGUGUCAUUGAAUGAGAAAAGAACCAAAGCCAUGCUUGACACAAAGGCCUCAAACACUUUCAUCACCUACGGAUAAGUAAAGAAUUAAGGUCUAAAGAUUCAGAAAGACUUUGGACAGAUGAAAGCAAUUAACUCACCAACCUUCGUUAUUAUGGGGAAUUCAAAAAUUGUGAAGAUCAAGUUCAACUCUUGAGAAGGGAGUGUAAAUUUGACUAUAGCUACUAUAGAUGACUUUGACUUUGUCUUUGGUUUGGAUUUCAUGACAAAGGCAUAGGCCAUUCCAUUUCCUGUGGCUAACUACUUGAUGUUUUUGGGAAGACAACCAUGUGUGGUACCAAUUACAAUCCUACCUAAGAGUGAGAAGAAGGUUAUAUCUUCCAUUCAGUUCAAGAAGGGGAUUAAAAGAGGAAAACUGUUUUAUGUGGCGAUUUCGAUUUAUAAAGAUGGAAGAAGCCAUGAUCUAGUACUUGUAAGACUAAAGUUAGUUUUGGAAGAAUUUAAGGAUAUGAUACUAGAACAAUUACCUAAAAUACUACCACCUUGACUAGCAAUUGAUCAUGAGAUAGAACUAUUUCCGGGAGUUAAGCCUUCGACAAAGGGACAGUAUAGGAUGGCUCCCCCAAAGCUAGCAGAGCUAAAGAAGCAACUUAAUGAGUUGAUACAAGCAGGAUUUAUUUAACCUACAAAAGCACCUUUUAGGGCACCGGUACUAUUUUAGAAGAAGCAAGACGAAAGUUUAUGGUUGUGAGUAGACUCCCGGGCUCUAAGCAAGGUCACAGUAUGAAACAAAUAUCUUAUGCCUUUAAUAGCAUGUUUGUCUACCCAACUGAGUCACACAAACUAUUUAUCUAAAUUAGAUCUUAGGUCUGGCUAUCAUCAAGUUAGAAUUGCUGAUGUGGAUGAACCAAAAACCACUUGUGCCACACGGUACAGUGCAUUUGAAUUUCUUGUUAUGCUUUUUGAACUAACUACUGCUCCUGCCACAUUUUGUACAUUGAUGAAUCAGGUUUUUCAUGACUACUUGGACAAGUUUGUGGUAAUCUACUUGGACAACAUCGUAGUAUACAAUUCAACAUUAGAAGAGCAUAAAAAACAUUUGCGAAAGGUGCUUCAAAGGCUUCGGGACAAUCAAUUAUAUGUGAAAAGUGAGAAGUGUGCUUUUACGCAAACCAAAAUUCAGUUUCUAGGCCAUAUCAUUGAAUAGAGUCAUAUCCAAAUGGAUAUACAAAAGGUGAAGGCCAUUAAGGAGUGGGUGACCCUAAGAAUACAACUGAACUUCGUUCAUUUUUGGGGUUAGCUAAUUAUUACCAGGAUUUGUGGAAAGUUAUUCAAAAAGGAUGGUGGCAUUCAUGAAAUUGAUGAAGAAGGGGCAAAAGUGAAGUUGGACACUGCAGUGCCAAGCAGUUUUUGAAAGCCUAAAACAAGUCAUGAUGAUAGACCCUGUUUUAGCCCUCUCAAACAUCAAAAUGCCUUUUGAGGUACAAAUAGAUGCAUCAGACUUUGCUCUUGAAGAAGUAUUGUUACAAGAAGGAUACCUAGUUGCAUUUAAGAGUCGAAAAUUGAAUGAAGUCAAGAGAAAAUACAUUGCACUAGAGAAAGAACUUUUAGCAGUGAUUCAUUUUCUACGGGUGUAGCAACAUUACUUGUUAAGAUCUUAGUUCAUGGUUAAGAUAGACAACAUAACUGUAAACCACUUUCUCACAUAGCCAAAACUUAUAGCUAAGCAAGCAAGAUGACAAGAGCUCUUGACUAAAUUUGAUUUCUCCUUUGAGCACAAAGCCAGAAAAACCAACUGUGCAGCAAACGCCCUAAGUAGAAAGGUUGAGUUCAUAGCUCUUAGGGUAAUCGAGCCAAUGAUAGGCAACAAAGUGACCACAAAUAUCCGUAAUCUUGUUGAAGAAAACUUGCAUUGAGAUCCCCAAGCAAUUUCCAUUAUAAAGUUGGUUGAGAGUGGAAAGUCAAAAUACUUUUGGGUGGAACAUAGACUCCUACCAAUAAAAGGACCACGUUUAUUUAUUCCAAGAGCGAGAGAGUUGAGAUAGAAGUUGAUGCAGGAAUGUCACAACACCUCUUACGCAAGACACUCAAGUUGGCAGUGGAUCGUUACAUUACUAAAACAAGGUUACUAUUGGCCUCAUAUGUAGCAGAAUGUGAUAGAUUAUGCCAAGACAUGCCUCAUUUGCUAAUAAGACAAAGUAAACAAAUAGAGAUUAAUGAGCAUGCUCGAACCUCUACCAGUGCCAACCAAACAAUGAGAAAAUAUUUCUCUGAACUUCAUAGUAGGACUUCUUAAAGUGAGAGAUAUGAUAGCAAUCUUGGUAGUGGUGAACCGUUUCUCGAAGUACGUGAUGUUCAUCCCAUGUAGAAGUUUGGUUAUACAGAAGAAAUGGCUUGUAUAGGUUUUAAACAUGUGAUAAAAUAGUGGGGUGUUCUUAUGAGUAUUAGUAGUGACAGGGAUCCGAGGUUUACUUGUUUCUUCUAUACAGAGUUUUUCAAGCUAUUGGGGUCAGAACUCAACAUAUCUUCUAAUUAUCACCCGUAAAUAGAUGACCAAACAGAACGCUUAAACGAGUUGUUAAAAGAAUAUCUACGACACUUUGUAUAGGCGAACUAGAAGAAUUGGCCCAACCUGCUAGAUGUGGCCUAACUAUGUUUUAAUUCGUACAAAGCUCAAUGACUAAUAAAACCCUUUUUGAAGUCAUCAUUGGAUAGCAACCUAGACUUCCCCAUACCUCAGUGGAAUCAUAUAGUGGAAACAGUCCUCGAGCCUUUAACUUUGUAAAGGAGUGGAGACAAAACACUAAUAUUGCCAAAGCCUAUUUAGAGAAAGCCUCCAGUCGCAUGAAAACUGGGCAGAUAAAGGUCAAAAGAAGCAACACUUAAAGACAUGAGACCUGGUGCUAGUGAAGUUGGUACCUGAACAACUUUGAUUCUUAAGAAAGAGAUAUUGAAGACUAAUGCGAAAGUCUGAAGGCCUAGUACCAAUUAUGGUAAAGGUGGGGAAGACUUCCUACAUGAUUGAUUCACCCAAGUUGAUGAAGGUACACCUUGUAUUUCACGUCAGCAACCUAAAACCAUUCCACGUAGAUCCAACAGAUGUAAGUAGGAGUCAAGCCAUGAAAGCCACUAUCAUCACCAAACCACUAUCAUAGCGCAGAAUAGAGGAGAUCUUGGCAAGGAUAAUGACAAUAAUCAACUAACGACCAACACAAGAGUAUCUGGUGAGAUAAGAAGGUUUGGGGCCAGAUGAAAUCACUUAGGAGAAGGAAAUUGAUCUCUGCAGCUCAAAACAGAAAAUUGGAGUAUUCUAAGCCAACUAGUGAACGAGGACGUCGAUAGAUUGAGUCGGGGAGGAUGUCAUGAGCCAACCUUGUAUAGGGCUAUGACAAGGUAGAAUUUCUUAAGAGAGUGAGUCUUUUGUACCUCUAAGGGAGAUAUCCUUUACUUUCAAACAUUGUAAUGGCUCUUGGUGACAUCUCUAGAAAUACUUGUUAAGUUUUUAGGGGGGAAAACCCUUUAGGAAAGGAAUGUUGCCAUCUCAAGCAUUGUAAUGGCUAUUGGUGAAAUGCUUAUAAAAUCUUGUAAAUUCUUUAUAAGGGUAAGUAGUUGGUGGGUUGUUGGGCUGUCUCACUAAUUCAAGUGCAUCUGUGGCUAGCCAUCUAAGGCUGCCCCUAUGGCCCGAUGAUGGUGCGUUCUUUUUCUUAGUCCUUUUGUACUUAUUUGCAAUAUUAAUAAAAUAUUUUCUUUUAUAUAACACUGGUGGUUGUAUAAAUGGUAUUCGGUAUGCCCUUUGAUUUUAAUAUUGCUUUCCAUGCCUUAACUCAUGGUUAUUAUUCAUGUUGUUAAGAUAUAAUCGAGCAAUUGACUGGCUUGAGUGGAAGCGUCCACUCGAGCGCCACAUGGACUAUCGUAUACUUAAGCGAAUAGGGGGUAGUUCGUGACAUUGUGCCUCAUGCUUUCCCCUUUUGCUCGAGCACUGGUUUGGAAUUUCUGAAUCCUUCCCCAAAAUGGAAACACAAUAAAAACACGCAAACUAAAAGAUGAUGAAACUAAGAAAAGAUAGGGAAAAGACAAGUCAAAUGCUACCAAUGGCAGUAGUCAAGCCUCUUGUUCGCUACCAAUGGGAGCAACAUCAAAGUGAUCCCCUCUCCUUUAGUUAUAAAACUAGGAGAUAGGAGCAUGGUGAGGGGGAAAAAGAAUCCUUAAAAGAAAAGAAGGAGAAUAUAACAAAUUUAAUAGAUAGCCCAUCACACCUUAUAAAAAAAAAAUUGGUGACAACUCCAAAACCUUCACAUCAAGAUGGACGGAUUCCCAAACUUGCACGUAAUAACAUUAAAAUUUGUUUUGAUGUCGUGGGUUUUGAAUUUUGUCUACUGUGAUUGCUUUGAGUAUGUUUUUUGCGGGCUUCAGGCUGCGUGAUUUUUUUUUUUGAUGGUUGCUAUUUGGCUCCCGAUAUGGUGGUUUUUGUGUAUGGAGUUUUUGAGAGCUUUGAUGCAGGAUUGAUGUGGUUGUGAUGUACGUCUCGUUUAUGAGACUCUAUUGAACAUUUGUAUCCUUGCCAUGAUUCAAUGAUAUUUAAACAUUUUAAAAAAAAUGCUUGAAAUUAAAUCAUAGAAAAUUUGGCUCUCCCACCAAAACAACUUGGUGAGACCAAAACCCCUAAAGAAUUAUUGAUGCCCAACUCUCUCCAUCUAUUAUUUUGCGGCUGUGGCUGUCUGAUUCAAAAGCUUGCCGUGGACCAGCUUUUGCCGCCUGGUUUGACUAAUUGAAUCCAUAGCAACUGUCGACAUGAGCACAUAUUCCCAUUGACUAAAGAUAUACUUACUGUACAUUUUUCAACUCUUCAUUUCAGAAAUAAUGGAUAUGGAGCAAAUUGUGGCUUGGAGAGAAAUAAUUGGACGAAUAAUAGAUGGAUAAAAUCUGUUAUUAAAGAGAAAUAAAAUAUGCUGAUCAAUCAUGGUUGGAUGCAAGUUGUUAAUAAUUAAACAGAAAUAAAUAGUUUAGCAGUUUCAAAAUCCAAAAGGUUAUCAAUAUAUAUAAUAUGCUAAUGCUAUGAAAAAUCCAUAUAUCUAUAGCAGCUAAUUAAGUUUACCCAGGCGAAAACAUUUAUAUGGCACUCCAAGCCAGUAUUUUCACUAAGUCCUGCUUCCACCGAGGCGUUUAUAUGCCAACUCUUCCGUCCAAAUUUCGGGGGAGACAAUGCUUGGCUUCCACAAACUCAAUGGCUGCAGCAGCCCUGCAAGGCUCUCCGCUGUCGGCAAACACUCACCAAGAAGUCUUUCGUCCUUUGGCAGACUUCCCCCCGGAUAUAUGGGGCGACUGUUUCAUGUCUCUCUCGCUCGAUAACUUGGUAACUCACGUUUCUCACGUAAAUUAUAUGCAUUUGUAUGUUAAUUUUCACAUUUAUUAUAUACGAUAUAAGUAAGUGUUUAUAGAUAAACAAACAAAAAUAGAAUAUAACAUGUUUUUCGUAAAAAAAAAAAAAAGAAAGGUAAAAGUACGAUAGUUGGAAAAUUAAUAAAUAUGAAACAGAACAAACAUGAAACUUUUUGGUGUUUGAAAAAGAAAUAAAAACAUGAUUGAAAGACGUAUGAAAGUACAAAUAAUCAACAGUUUAUUUGAAAUUGAGGAGUAAAGUAUGAUAACGAGAAAGUAUCGAAGAUCUCUAAUUAUUGUACCUUAAGUUGCUUUCCUUGUGCGUUCUGCAGGAAUUUGAAUCACUCUGUAGACAAGUAGAGGUGUUGAAAAAGAAGGUGAAGGGCAUGUUAUCGGCUCCGAGUGACCAAGUAGAAAAAAUCCUCUUGAUCAACUCUCUAUGCCGCCUUGGAUUAUCGUACCACUUUGAGAAUGAGAUUGAAGAGCAAUUAAGUUACCUUUUUGUUUCAUUAUCUAAACAUAUGGAUGAUAAAGACUAUGACUUGGAAACAGUUGCAGCGAUAUUUCAAGUUUUCAGGCUACAUGGUUAUCGAAUGCGCUGUGGUAAGUCUCAUUUACGAAUAUAUGUAUAUGCAAAUUUUAUUGAAUUAGUUCAUUAAGAACAUUUUUUAUCACUAGCAUGCAAUGAAGGAUGCUAGCUAAUCCAAUAUUGGAUUUUAUAUCAGAUGUGUUUAACAAGUUUAAGGAGGGUGAUGGUGAGUUCAAGGAAGUGUUAGCUAGUGAUGUCAAGGGCAUCCUAAGCUUGUAUGAAGCUAGCCAGUUCAGAAUAAAUGGCGAGAAAAUUUUAGAUGAAGCCCUUGCUUUCACAACGAAGCACUUAGAGUCCUUGACAGACCAAUCAAGUCCCCAUCUUAGAGAAUACAUAGGAAACGCUUUGAACCGACCUUAUCACAAAGGCAUGCCGAGAGUGGAAGCAAGGCAAUAUAUAACUUUCUAUGAAAAAGAAGAAUCGCCCAAUGAAACAUUGCUCAAGCUCGCAAAAUAUGAUUUUAACCGAGUCCAAUUUCUACACCAGCAAGAAUUAAGCAUCCUUUCGAGGUUAAUAUUAGUUCUAAGCUUUAAGGAUGAUAGGUGCAAGGUAUUCUUCUUUUGAGAUAAACAUGUUAGAUGAUAAUUGAUUGCAAACUCUAUUAUUUGUGUUGCAGUUGGUCCAAAGACUUGAACAUAGCAUCACAACUUUCUUACGCCAGAAACAGAACGGUGGAGAUCUUUUUUUGGACAGUUGGAUUUUAUUUCGAGCCACGUUAUGCACUUGCCCGAAACAUAUUCACUAAGCUGCUGAUCAUCUUAGGAUUUAUAGAUGAUACCUAUGACGCAUAUGGUACCUUCGAAGAACUCCAAUGUUUCACAGAUGCAAUACAAAGGUACCCUUUUUAUCCUUUCCUUUUUUAUACAAGUCUUUCUUUCCAUUUGUUUCACAUAUGGAAGGUUUUUUCUUUUUUUUUCUUUCGAUGAUGUCUGAUCAAGUAAAUUCUUCAUGUUUAGGUGGGAUAUUAGUGCCCUUGAUCAGCUGCCCGCAGAUUAUUUGAAAUUUCUUUAUGGGGCACUCCUUAAUGUUUAUGAUGAAGUGGAUAGAAUGGUGAGCAUGGAUGGGAGAUGUUACAGCAUGUCUUUUACCAAAGAUGAGGUGAUCAUUCUUUCUUAUCCUCCACCUAGUUACACAAUUAUCGAUAGUUUUAUUUACAUUGAUGAGAAGCAUAUAUCUUAGAGUAAAGUUGUGUAUAUGUUACUUCCAAAGCUAUGCAUACUUAUGAUUUUUGUCCCUAUGGUUUCAAAUUUCACAUUUUUUAUUGAAGACUUCUCAUUUGACUAAAAACUCUAUGCCCAAUAAAACAUGGGACAAAAAAAACAUGCACCUUGUUAUUUCUUUGAUGCUUAAGGGCUCAAUGUACUGGAGUUGACACUGAGACUUUACCUUUUUGUGGUAAAUUAGUUGAAGAAAAUUGUUAUUUCCUACCUGGUUGAAGCUCAGUGGACGCAUGAAGGUUAUAUGCCAACAUUCGAUGAGUAUUUGGACAUUGCAUUACAUUCAAGUGCAGCCAUUCUAGUGAUUGCUGAAGUCUUGGUCGGAAUGGAAGAAGCAGAUGCCAAUGUUUUUGAAUGGUUGAGACAAGGUGACAGUAAAUCUCUUGCAGCAAUAAAAAUAAUUGGCCGUCUCUAUGAUGACAUCGCAACCAAUGAGGUAAUAUUUAUAAUUUUAUUUUCAAAGGGAAAAUAGAAAAAUAUUCUAAUUACCAUAUUCUCUCAUUCGACCAAAUAAGCUUUAUAGUUUUAGCUAACUAUAUGCCCUUUGAUAUGAUGGAAGGAUGAGGAAAAGAGAGGACUAGUUGCUUGUGGAAUCAAAUGUUAUAUGAAGCAAUAUGGCGUUUCAAAGGAAGAAGCUAUUGAAGAAUUUCGAAAAAGACUUGUCAUUGCUUGGAAUGAGCUUAAUGAAGAUCAUAUGAGGCCAACGACUGUCCCAAUGGAAAUCCUUAAUCGUGUUCGUAACAUUGCAUGUGUAAUAGAUCUUACAUACAAGGAUGAGGAUGGAUUUACCAUGUCUGAGAAAAUUUUGAAAGACCACAUUACCAAAGUGCUCAUUGAGCCCAUUCCUAUUUGAGAAAAGGCAUUCCAUGUCUGUACAAGUACGACUACAUAUUGUAUUUGCAAGUUAGGUUAGGGUUCAUUUUGGUUUGCUGCGCUACUUUUGAUCAUGAUAUAGCUCUUAAUGUUGAGGUAUUUUCUGAAUCAGGGUUGUGAUGCUUCAGUCAUCUUAACUGACAGCAAAGGUGAACGAAGCAAUUUCACUGAGAGGCAAGCUGUGCCAAAUAGGACAUUGAAAGGUUUUGACAUAAUAGAUUUGAUUAAGGAGGAGGUUGAAAAGGCUUGUCCUGGAGUAGUAUCAUGUGCUGACAUACUUGCACUUGCCACCAGAGAUGGCAUUCUUCUGGUCUGUUUAAUCUCUCUCUUCAUAGAUGUUCUUUUUCUUUCUGAAAUUCCUCUUCCAUUCAAGGGAUAUCAAGGUUCAAAAAUUGGAGGGGUCGUUUUAGUUUUGAGUAUGAUAUAUACUUGUGUUGGUGUGUAAGGCAUAGACUGGUAAAAGAGUACUUCUCUCUGCACAAUUUUAUAAAUGGAGACUCUGGUUAAAUACUCUGGGCUACUCCUCUAACUGGUUGCUCAAAAAUCAAAGUGUACAGCAAUUUAAGUUGGUUUUGUAGUAUAACUGUAAUGGGCUCUUUAACAGAUAUAGGCUUUUACAUAUAUGCUUCUUUCUCUCAGUAUUAUGCCCUUUUUGUCAUUGCCCAUAAUUAUACUUUUUCCAAAACUUCAAGAGUACUGAAACUUCAAAAUGAUUUUAGAUUUCACAUUACGCUUGAAUUAAUAUGUCAUUAGCAUGAAGACAAACAGAUGUAGAUUGGAAUUGGAUAUUGGGAGGAGGAUUAAUAUCUUUUACAAUAUUAGCAGUAAGAGUAUGAUGCUUUCACUGAUAGGGCUUUCUAUUUGGUACAUCUCAAAACUGAAUUGUGUGGACUUCGGAGACAUGCUAUUGUUCUUUGGACGUCUUUCUUUUUGUCCUUCCUUUUGUAUUCUGAAAACCAAAGAGAAAAAAAGAAGCUAAGAUUGUAGCUGAACAUGUUACCCAAUCCAGAUAACUGCGUGCGUGGUUCUCUUUGAGGAUACUCAUUCAUAUUUAUUUUCAAUGCUUAUAUCAUGAAACAAUGUUGCUUUCAGAGUUUAUCAUUAUAUAUUUGAAAGUAUGCUGGUUUCUUAAUGCGCUAUCUUCCGUUUGAAUCACAGGUUGGUGGCCCAUUUUAUCCUGUAUUCACGGGUAGAAGGGAUAGCAUUCAGUCUUACUUCAAUGAAGCAGUUGCUGAGAUUCCAAAUCCUGAUGGUAACCUCUCGGAGACACUUUUCCUCUUUGGCCUUAAAGGUUUUGAUGAAAGAGAGACAGUCAGUCUUUUAGGUAUAUACCUGGAAUUUUUGUCCCCUUGCCUUAUCUCCCUCUAUAUGGUCCUUGAAAAGUGAAACUUAAGAUGUCAUAAUGGUUCUUUCUGAUUAUCUGAAGGGGCACAUAAUAUUGGAAAAAUUAGCUGUGAGUUUAUUCAGAAUCGCCUCUACAAUUUCUUAGGGACUGGACAGCCAGACCCAAGCGUUCCAUUGGAUUUUCUCAAUGAAAUGAGAAUAAAUUGUCAAGAAAUUCGUGACAGCAGCAAUGGUAUGUCUCCUACUGCCACAAAUCCAUGUAUCUCGGAAAGUACUGUCUUCCAAGGACUAACUUCAAUUUCCUCCGGAGCUGGUUUUGACAAUCACUUUUAUCAGAACUUGGUAAGGGGUAGAGGACUCCUCUUUUCUGAUCAACAACUAAUGGCUGAUGAGAAGACUGCUAGAUAUGUAAGGGAUUAUGCCUUUGGUAAUGGAUCAGCCUUUAGAACAGACUUUGCCAGGGAUAUGGUAAAGAUAUCUGUACUCGAUGUAUUGACAGGAUUCCAAGGUCAGGUCCGAACUAACUGUUCCCUGCCUCUCUAUGGCUCUUAAACAACAGUCUCCUAACCAGGUUGUGCAUUUUGAGAUUCUCCAAUUCUUUACUAGUUUAAUGUACUACUAUCUCGAGGAGUUGUACAAUUGAUGAAAAACUUUUUGCUUCAAUACCUUCAACUACUAUUAAACCCAAUUGUGGAGCAAUAAUCAAGUUGAGGAUGACAUUUUGAUCUGUUUGUAAGUUUGAUCAGGAGAAUUCUGGAUAAGUAAUAUCUGUAGUGUACGAGCAUGAUUUCACUUCAUCAUUUUUGCCUGGUAUUUGGAAACUAUUCUGUGUGAGUGUGAAGCAUUAAUUUGCAAAUUCCUAGCUGUCAUGGUAAUCACUCACAGGCUUCCUAGAUGUCGGAUUAUUAUCAUCUGUCUGUGUAAAGACUGUUGUCUCUAGAAAUGCAACGAAGAUUCUGUCAACCCUUUUGGUUGUUGAAAAUGGGAAUGUCAGAACAUAAAAUCUUUUAGUUAUCAUAAUCGUCAUCUUCUUCUUCUUUGUUUUACAUGCAAAAGUUUUGUGUUCAUGCUUGUCUCAUAUUUUAAUCUGUCAUGAGCAGGACUACAAACUCCAUGUAGUCUUGCAUAUUCGAAUAAUGGUGUGCUUAAUUUGGUUUAGCAAAAUGAAUUUCACUGCCAGAUCAAAUCAAGUCAACAUAAAGAUGGAAGCUAAAACCACUAGGGAAUGGGGCACAACAGACAGUGCACAAAUGCAGGUUCUGAUACAUAGAUGAACUAGAUUUUUAGUGCGUACUCUAAUUUGCAAAAACUUGCCCCAUUCUUCUUUUCAAGCAAAGUUCCUUUUUUCGCUUAAAGCAUGUCGCAAUUAUUAUUCUGAAGUCACAGAUGAUGCGGUAUGGAAACUAAGCACAGAUCUUUUCUUUGCAAUGAAGCACGGAAAUGUUCAGUCAUGUCUAAAUCUUCAGGCUUCUUUCCAUUAGGAAGCUUCCAAUCAAAAUGGUAGAGCAGAUUUGCAAGUAUAAGCUCUACAAUUGCAAUACCAUACGUUAUACCAGGACACAUCCUCCUUCCAGCACCAAAUGGAAUAAAUUCAAAGUCUCCUCCCUUAUAAUUAAUUGAACUAUCACAAAAUCUCUCAGGAUAAAACUUCUCAGCGUCAGUCCAGUUAUUUUGAUUUUGUCCUAUUGCCCAUGCAUUAAUUAUGAUCCUAGAUUUGGCAGGUAUGACACAUCCGUUAACCUCACAGUUCACUUGGCAUUCUCUUGGAAGUAGCAAAGGAGCUGGAGGGUGCAAUCUUAGUGUCUCUUUGAUAACUAGUCUGAGGUACUUCAACUCAUGAAUGCCUGAUUCAUCAACAUCUCUUCUACCAGCAAACACAUGCCUCACCUCUGCCUGUGCCCUUUUCAAUACUUCAGGGUUUCUUAACAUUUCUGACAUUGCCCAUUCUACAACUGUAGAUGAGGUUUCAACCCCCGCAAGGAAUAUAUCCUGAAAUAGGUAGGAUUAUUAAGUUUCAAUUAAGCAUGCACAAAAGACUGAUUUUGUGUGUGUCAACAUUAUGAUCGCACCUAGCCAAAAUAUAGAAAAGAGAAAAAAAAAAAAAAGCAAUUGACUAUAAAGGAACAGACUUUGAAUUCACUAACCAGAAUAAUAGCUUUGAUGCUGCUGGUUGAUAACGGAACUUCAAGGGCUCCACGAUCCUGAAUAUCCAGAAGGACUUGGACGAGGUCGUCUACUUCACUUUCUCCUGUCAUUGUUGUUAAUUUUGUAGCUCUAUGUUCCUGAAUGAUGCUUUCAAGAAUCUCAUCUACCUUGUUAUGCAGUUUUUUAUUUUUAGGCCUCAUGGCAUUGAUCAGAUGGAGCAAUUUUGCGGAAGGAUAGACAUCAACAACACUGAGACCUCCAAACAACACUACAAUGUCCGGAUGAAGUUUCUUGAAUGCAUCCUGGUGCUUACAUUUCCCACCGAAGGCUGCUCUGGAGAAUAUGUUGACUGUUGAAGAGUACAAGAAGUUCUUAAGGUUGAUGGGCGAUCCUGCUUUCGAUGAGAUGGUUCUUACUAAAUUAGAUAUCUCUUCUUCCCCGAUUGGUCUAAAUGACUGAACUCGUUUCUGACUUAACAUCUCCAGCACACAAAUUGUGCGUAUUUGUCUCCUGUAAUCUCCACGGGCAAAUACAAUAUCUCUAAAUUUGUAAGUUAUGAACUGUGCAGCAUAGAGAAAAGGCCUCUCAGAGAAAACAGAGUCGUUGGUUUUCAUCACUUGUUUAGCAGCUUCUGGUGAAGAAAUCACAACUGUUGAUACUUCCCCAAGUUGCAGAAGCAUCACUGGACCAUACUUCUGAGCCAAUCGGGCAAGGCAGCGAUGAGGUUGAGUCCCAAUAAGAAGGUGCAAGUUUCCUAUCAGAGGUAAUUUUGGAGGACCUGGUGGUAGCAUUGAUGGAGAGCCACUAGAUUUGGUAUUCAUCCAUGUCCUCAAAGCCCUGAAUGUGAAGAAGAGAAAGGUAAGAAGGAAUAAGAAAAAGGGGAGUUGGUUUUCCAUGCGAGCAGUGGGAAAGAAUUAAAUGGAGGGGAAGUUUCCUUUAUUGAUUAUGAAUCUCCUCUCUUACUUGG